rnacentral:lncRNA from 1 species
UAGGCUUUAUCCACGGUGUGAGCUGCCGGCCUGACGCGGAGUUUGGUAGGGGAGGGGAAUUUGAAGUCUACGAUUUUUUGGGACGUUGGCGGGCAACAGUUGGUCGGGACUGCUCCACUUGGAAAGUCCGCAGCUCCGCAUUUGGCUAGGUCAGGCGGCGACACUGGCUUUGCAACAGCGAAGGGGUCGCUGCCAAGACCAGCCACUCCACCGUAUAGGCUUCCGAGACCUAUAAGUACAUUUCUUCUGUCUAGGUUUACUGGAGAAGGGUUUUCAUGGUCGUGAUCGUUGGAGCUAGUGGAAGGGUUUUUGUUUUGGUCACUACUAUUAUUUGUGGCUUUGCAUGAGACAGCUUGUAAAUUGGAAUGCCUAGGGUUUCCAAAUGAGGAUAUUCGGUGAUACUUUUGGGAGAAAGGGGAGAGGAAAGUUGUGGGGAUGAUACUUGUGGCGGAGGUGACGAGUGGAGCUGACAUAGAAGCCAUGGUUACUUUUGACUCUGAAUAAUACGUUGUAUUGGCUUUGCUUUUAUAAUGUGUUCUAGGUUGUACUUUUCUUUGCACAGGUGGCAGGCCGUACACACGUGGUCGGUCCUUAAGGGUUUGACGAGGAAUACUACGUAGUCAUUUAGUACAGGACAACCAUACACUAUAGCAAGUGGCAUGUAUUUAGAGAUCGAGAGAGAAUUGGGUAAGGUUCACGAGGGAUUUGUAGUUUCAGAAGGUGAAUUGGUUUUGGUCUUCUUGUGUACCAAUAAUAUUUACUUAGUCAUUUAGUGCAGGACAACCAUGCACUAUAGCAAGUGGCAUGUAUUUAGAGAUCGAGAGAGAAUUGGGUAAGGUUCACGAGGGAUUGUAGUUUCAGAAGGUGAAUUGGUUUUGGUCUUCUUGUGUACCAAUAAUAUUUACUUAGUCAUUUAGUGCAGGACAACCAUGCACUAUAGCAAGUGGCAUGUAUUUAGAGAUCGAGAGAGAAUUGGGUAAGGUUCACGAGGGAUUGUAGUUUCAGAAGGUGAAUUGGUUUUGGUCUUCUUGUGUACGGCUGUGGGUCUGCUGUCCCGGACUCUCUGUCUCAUUUGUGUCUUAUUUUUUAUUUUUUCACACGUGUCUUUUACUUAACGUCAAAUCAUGAUAGCAAUGUUAUGCAAUUGGGAGCUAAACGACCGAUGCUUUUAUUUUUUAGUUUGCUUUUUUUCCAGAUCUGAUCAAAUCAUGAUAGCAAUGUUAUGCAAUUUUCAAGAGGGAAAGAUGCACCUGGGAGAGAAACGGUACGGUGACUUCUAAAUCACCGUCCAACAGAACAAUUCUCAGUAGAGACUACUAGAGAGAGAUGCACCUCACCAAUGAAAAAUUUAACUGCAAAAAUUCUGGGUAUUGGGUAAGGAAAUUCGGUGAUACUUUUGGGAGAAAGGGAAGAGAGAAGUUGUGGGGAUGAUACUUCUCGUGGAGGUGACGAGUGGAGCUGACAUAGAAGCCAUGGUUACUUGACUCUGAAUACUACGUUGUAUUGGGUUUGCAUAUAUAUAUAAUUAGGAUUGAAGGAUGUAGAGCUUAUUUUGUUAUGUAUUUUAACGAUUUAAGUGCUUAUCUUUUAGGUUUUCUCUUAAACAUCAUGUCUAUAAAAAAUCACCAAAAUUCAAACCAUAUGACCAUUAGAUCCAUAGUCAUUUUAGUGUUUAUUUGUAAAAUGUAUUCAUUCAUUUUCUUCACUACAAAUGAGUGAAUUAAUGAUUUUAGAAUUUGUCUAAUUUUUUACAUUGAUUAUUUAUGAAUGUUGAAUUGAAAUUUAGACGAUUCAAAAAUAGUUGAUAUGCAUUACAAAAUGAACUCCACAAAAUAAGUGUCAAAAUAUGUAUAAAAAAUGGACAGCGUGAAUGGCUUGGAAAUUGGAAUAGGUUUGAAAAUUGUGCUUUUUGUAGCAAAUUUUAGCAAAGUUUGCUUGGACUUUCACAACCGUAUAAAUUAAAGGGAAACUUGAUAUAACUCCAAUUUUUUGAGCCAAUAGUAGGAAUAGUCCAGUUUAUUAAAAUAAGUUCAAUUCUUUAAAUUUAAUUAUUUAGUUAUCAAUAAUUAUCUCUUAAAAGAAAAAACUUAUUGUAAAAAUCAAAUUUCUUCCUAAUUAUCUCUUUGAUUAUUUCUUUUUAUUUAUUUAUUUGUUAUUUCUUGUUCUUCCUCCUGCUUUAACCCAUUUAUAGAUUUUUUUUUUAAUUUUAUAAUCAACCUAUGUCACAGGUUAAUUGUAUUUAUCUACCUAUAUGACAUAUUCUUUUUCAUAGUCAACAUUUCACAGAUUAAUGUGUCUUGCUUGUAGAUAUAUUAUGUUUUUUUCUACCUUUUAGUUAGGUUUCAUAUCUCACUUAUAGGUAUAAUAUACAUUCAUAUAUUUGCUACUUGAGUUAGGGUAGAAUGUUUUGCAGAUAGAUUUAUGUUAGUAUAUUAAUUUUUUUUUGUUUAUAAGAUAUUAAUUAGAUAUUUUGGAGUUGAAAAAUGCAUAAUAUUAAAAGCUUUUAAUUGAUUUUUAAUAUUUUUAGAAAAUAUAAAAGGAGUAUAAAAGAAAUCAAAACAUAUAAUUAGAUAACGGGAGUCACUCCUAAAAACACUCUAUGUUUUUUGACCUGGAUCUUAAAGCCCCUAAAUUAAACUGUUCGCUUUGUUGGGAAAAAGAAGUGGCCCUAGUUUCCCUUUGAUUUUUCAAGCACGGUGGGAGACUGGUCAUAGUUUCUAGAUUGAUGCUCUAAUUCUAAUGUUAUACAACGCGUACGCUAUAAUAUUUUUAUCAAAAUAUUAGUUUUAGUGUUAUCAAAACAAUAUGUUAUUCUUACCAUGUUUUUGUAUCACAAUUAUAUACCACCUUAGAUGGUAUCUGAUGUGGACAGCCACAUCAUUUAAAUUAAUAAGCAUUUAAUUUCAAAAUGUUAAUCAAUAAUUAAUAAAAAGAUUGUUAAUUAAAUGAUGAUUGUGGUAUACAAGGAGUCUCCUUCUUCCUUCCUCUUUCCAUUCUGCUUUUUCUUCUUACCUCUUUUUUUUUUUUAAUGCCAGUUUUGUAUUGAUUUCUGUUGAUUUCCAUGAUUAUGGUCAAUCUUUAUAGAAUUUACUAGUAUGCCACAAUCACCAUUGAUUUCUAUCUCCAGACUCAUGCCCCGUAGCCCUAAUCCUCAUUCCCCUUCAAGUAUUUCUGUCUCCAAUCUUCUUUGGUACUCCAUGAUUGUUCAUCUCGUGAUAUUUUUUUUUUUGAUUAUUUCAUUAAGUAACGCUUAUUAGCUUUCAUGCGAAUUAGGAGUCAAAAUCAAAUUUGUCUAUCGGAUUAGGGUUCAUACCCAAUUAAGUUACUAACGCCAGAGGGAUUUUGAAGUAUGCAAUUUUCCUUAUUUAAGUGUUUUAAUUAAUAAGAAAAUUGAAAUUAAACAAUUUAGCUUGUCCAACUCAUCUGCCACCUAAGAUGGUAAAUAAAUGUGGUAUAAAAUUGUGGUAAGAAUAUCAUUACUCUUAUCGAAAUUACAAAAAAAAAAAAAAAAGCUGAUUCAAUAUUUAGUUAUUAAAAAAAAAAUGAUCAAGUAACUAUCCAAUACCCAUGUAUUGGGUGCUUUGUUUGAAAAUUUUCAAAAUGAUAUUGGGCUCGUUUGGAUAUGUUUUUAAAAUGACUGAAAGCAUUUUUAGAGAAAAUAUUUUUUUGAUUCCAAAAGCACUUAAAGUGCUUUCUGCAAGAAGCACCCGUUAUGUGCUUCUUCCUGGAAGCACUUUAAGUGUUUUUCCAGCAUUUACUUGCUUUUUUACUAAGGACUGGUUCCAAAAACAUUUUCACAAAAAGUGUUUUCAGUCAUUUUAAAAGCACAUUCAAACGAGCUCAUUGUUUUUCCUAUUUUAAUCGAGUGCGUCGUCCUCUGUUGAGAAUGAAUCUCAUAUUAUGGGAGGAGGGAUCUUGCAUGAAUGGGAGGAGGGACCUUGCAUGAGCUUAUAAGUAAGUUGGGUUACUCUCCAUAUUGCCAAAAGAAAUUUUAUUUGGACCCAGUUUUCCUCUCUCUAAACCCAACUUUAAUAUUUUGUUACCUAUAAACUCUCUAGUUUACCCUCAUAAAUUAUAAACAUAAAUAAACUAGAAAAAGAAAAACUCAUCAAACCCAUUUCCCAACUGUUCUGGCGUCUCUUCCCUGUAUUUGUUGGGUCUGUCUCCCUCCCGACUGUUUUUUUUUUUCUGAUAUCUCUGUGUGUUCCCCCACCUCUCCCACACCCACCAAUUCUUUGUGGUGGCUAUUCCACCAAACGUCCAGUGAAUCUUUCCAUUUUUCUUCUAUUGCGCGUGAUAGGGCCUUGCUAUUAAUAGGCAAAACUAAGCGGCAUCGUCGACUCCGUAAGCGACUUGUUGCAUAAGUCCAAAAUGGAGUCAAAUGGAUUUUGUAUUGGGUCGGGUUGUUGAAGGCGAUGGCUGAUUUAGCAAUCCCGCCUAACUAUUUCUAUAUGUAGGAGAAGGAAGAGGGAGGGAGGUCUGAAGUGGUGGUUGAGUGGUGGCGAUGUAUGUGGGUUCUCUCUCGGUUGAAUGGGUGUAGAAAGAUAUUUAAUUUUCAAUAUCUUAUUUUAUUUUGUAUAAGGGAUAAUAUAGGAAUUACAUAAAAAGUUUUUUUUAUAGCUAGGUGUAGAAAUAGUAUUGUUGGGUCUAAAUAAAAUUACCCUAUUGCCAAUUAGUUUUAUGGUGAAAUCUUAACUUUGUUCAUGCUUUCAUAGUAGGUUGUUCCACGUGUGAAGUCAAACAUCCACACGCGCUGCACGUCACCCCGUUGUGUUGUUCACGUGUUAAGCUUGAAAAUUCAUCACACAUGAGGGAGCGUGUUGAGAAUAAAUUCCACAGUUUAUAAGUAAGUUGUACUACUCCGUAUAUUACCAAUUAAUUUUGUGGAAUUCCGUCAAAGCUGAAUUUGACGGAAAAAAAUAACUUCAUGUUUGUUCUUAACUAUAAAGUCAGUGAUACACUAAUUCUGGUUUGUUUGUUUUUUCCUUCCUUCUUAAGGAAAUUCCCAAUCCAACCAAAAAAAUGAAAUUCCCAAGAGAAUAGUAGCACGAACAAUCGUAGCUUUCUUCUUCGAUAAGCCUUGGGGAAACAGAAAAGGGAAAACCGGACUUUAACCCUAAUUUCUCCCAAUGCCGCAGCACUCUCUAUUUUCUCUCUCGCUCUAUAUCGCGGUCCCUCUCUCUCGCCGUCCUCUAUUGCUCAAACUCAAUGUCUCCAACUUCCUCUGUAUGGUUCCCGAGGAAGAUGGUAAAACAGUAAGGGCAAGAAAUUGUGACAAGGUUAGAUUUGGGUAUUAAUCUGGUGGGGCUACAAUUCUCCAAUCCACACCCCUUUCAUCUGUGCUAGUGUUUGAACCCAAUAUUAGAUAACCGGUCCAUGCAAUCGAUGCCGUUGAAUGAGAAAAAUUCUAGGCCGUGGGAUCAAAUAUAAUGAUGUGGAUUAAAUAAGGAAAAUUUAAAGAGUAAUGAUAUUCAUACCAUGUUUUUGUACCACAUUUUCAUACCACCUUAGGUGGCAUUUGAUGUGGAUAGCCACAUCAUUUGAAUUAAUCAGAUUUUAAAAUUUAGUUGAUUAUUUAAUAAACUAAUAAUUAAGAAAAACUAAUUAAUUAAAUGAUGAUUGUGAUAUACGAGGAGUCUUUCUCGUUCAUUUCUUUGGGUUUUGCAAAUUUUUCAAAUGAUGUGGCUGUCUACAUCGGAUGCCACCUAAGGUGGUAUAGAAAUAUGGUAUAAAAAUAUGGUAUGAAUAUCAUUACUCAAAUUUAAAUGUUUAUCUUGGUUAAAUUACCAUGAUAAUAUUGUGGAAUUAUCUUUUGCAUAACGGAAGAGCGAGAAAAGUCCAAGGGUGUAGGGAAGUUGUGUGGUUGACUACCGCUAUUUUGAUGGUAUAAUCUGUAGAGUAAUAUUACAUUUAACAUCUAUUUGUAUCAUAUUUCUAAUAAAGAUAAGGACCAUCAAUGCAUAAAUAAUUAAACAAAUAUAUAAUAAGAGUAUCAUUUUUGUAACUAGAAUAGGAGAAGAAAGACUUCAAGAUGGGAUCAGCCAAAUAAUUAGCGUUAAGAUAAAAAUAUUGAAAGGAAAACUAAUGAAAAUGGCUUGAAAACUUUGAGUUUUAACGAUAAGGACAAGAUAAAGGGUAAAGUGAAUAGUACCAGGAUUGACUUUUUAAUGUAAAAAUAUAGUUUUUCGUUAAAGUGAACAUUACCGGGAACUUUUCGUUAAAGUUUCCAAUGAGAUAAUAUUGCAACAGCUGGCAUGAGACAAUGAUGGUAUAAAGAUGGCUACUACGGCCAAACUACUACAUAGGAUUCCAUACAUGCGGUCAUUAUUUCGACAAAUCAAUGGCUGCCGCAAUCAUGUGCUCAUUAUUCCGACAAAUCAGUAGCUACUUGCAUUGGAUUAGGAUUGCAUGCGUGUGGUCAUUGAAUGAGGAUUGCGUGCACGUGAUCUUUAUUCAAACAAAUCACUAUUGACCAUAUAUUGCAAUUGGUUAAUGGUAGGCAAAUUGAAUUUUUACAUCAAAUAAUGUGAUUGCUGAUAAUUGAAUUAUUAUUUAAAUGUUGAUUAAUAUGCUUAUUUUUUAUUUGUGAUAUAUCAUUUAAUUUGUACAUUUAGUUUACCUAACAUUACCAACUGUAAUUUGUAUAAAUGGACUGGUACCUAACAUAACCAGUUGUAAUUUGUAUAAAUGGGACUGUAAUUUGUAUAAAUGGACUGGUGCCUAACAUUACCAGUUGUAAUUUGUAUAAAUUUACUGGUCCCAAGAGCACAUGCUACUGCUCAAGAAGCAAAGUUCUUAUUUGCCCAAAAAAAAUCAUGGUUUUUUAAUUGAUGCUCUCAUUUUAAUUUACUAGCCCCUUACUUGGCCUUUUUUAUUUAUCAUUUUAUACAUAUUAAUAUUUUUUUGUAAAAUAUAUUAGUUUGAGUUUUAUUAAAAUUAAAAAUAAAUAAAAAAACUUAGUUUUAGUUUUAUCAAAUUAAAAAAAAAUGACUUAAUAUUUAGUUAUUGAAAUUGUAAAAAAGUGAUCAAGUAUUGGGUGCUUUGUUUGAAAUUUUUCAAAAUGAUAUUGUUUUUACCAUUGAAACCCUGUUAUAUACAGUGAUGGCUAAUUUGUCAAGUUCUACGAAGUUGGGAUACCCAGCGUUUUAGCAUAUAACAUAGCUUAGUAUUACAAGCAUAAUUAAUUAAAAUAAAGGCAAAAUAAGAGGAUAGCUUAGUAUUACAAGCAUAAUUAAUUAAAAUAAAGGCAAAUUGUAACAGCCCGUCCCUAAAAAUGACGAUUUUAUAAUCUUAACACGUGAGUUUAUGAAGAUGCCCUUCGAGGCAAAGUGUUGACUACCGCGUCGUGUCAUGUGAGACUCAUCUUCUUGGCGUAUUCUCGUUUUACUCGUCGCUACGGAUGCGUGGGCGCAAACGACACGUGAUUUGGAGCUAUAACAAAAGAGUUAUUAACAUUUAAAGUUAAGGACAUUUUAGUAAAUUAAUUAAUUUCAGAUUUUGUUGAGGGGAAAAUCUGGAGUGCCAUGUGGGUGGCCCAGAUUAAAGGAAAUGAGGAAUGGAUGGUGGAGGUGUAAAGGAAAGAAGAUAAAAGAAAAAUGAGAGGAAAUGUGUGACUAAUAGGGAGAUGAGAGAGUUAGGAUGGCCCAAUUAGAAACAAACGAAAGGAGGAAAAAGGAGAGAAGAGGGGAGCAGGGGAUCCCUUCAACCCGGUUCCACUUUCCGACCCGACCCGAUCCUUUUCAUCUUUUCCGGUGGUUUUUCGUCAGUUUUUCCGGCGAACCACGUUAUCUAACCCCGUUGAAAAUGUUCCACGACCUUCCCUCUACCAUUACAACCCAAAAUUGUAGAAAUUUAGCCAUGAAAGUAUGAAAACCGCACCGGUGGGUGCGGGAAACCUUUGUCGUCGAUUCUCCCAUUAUUGAAACGAUUUUCACCAAUUAUCACCACCUACAGCAUCCUCUUGAGGUCUGGAAUAAAGCCCAAACAAGUUUUGGGGCGUUGGAGUUCGUUUAAGGUCGAAUUGAGCACACCCAAAUUCAAGGGUUCCGUACCGUUCAUGGUGAUUUGAGGUGUUUCUCGGCCAAAUUGGCCUUAGUCACAAGUAUGAAAGUUGCUCCACUCGUUGAGAUCUUCAUUUAUGUGAAAUUUGAGAAUUUUUUGAAAUAUUUGGAUUUUCCAGCGAGUCGGGGUGGCGGACCGCCACCGGCAGCAGCGCAUGGCCAGUGGUCCACCAAUGUCAUUUUACGUUAAAUUGAUAUCUUGAUUUUAGAUUUGAUGUCUAUAUGUUAUGACUUGAUUAUGUGAACCUAGUUUGAUUAAGGUGCGUUAAUUGGUAAAAAUAUGAAACGACGAUCCGACCGUGGGAUCGUCACCAAACUUUAAUAUGUUAUAGUACAUAAUAUUUGAGAAUCAUAGGGACUGACAGAUAGGAAAUCCGAGAUACAGAUCUUCCCGAAAUGGAAUUGUAAGUUUGAAGAAUAAACGUUAACCGCCACUUUGUUUUGACUAUUGGUGGAGAUCCAACCGUUGGAUCAUAAUGAAAUUUUAGGAUGAUGUUUUAGAAGCAUAAUGUGGAUCUUUGGAAGUUACUGAUCGGAAAUCCGAGGAGUGAAUCUUCCGAAUUGAAUUACGUAGGGUUGUGGACCUUACCGUCGAUCGUUGACCGAUGAUCGACUUUUGGUCAAUGGGGCUUAAAUCAAUCUAAAACGUUUUUAGGGAUGUGUUUUACGUAAAUUACAUGAUCUAUUGAUAAGAAUUAUGAGAUGUGGUUUGAUAAUUGUCCUAGGUGCCGAUCGUUAGGAACGCUUCGAUGGUUAUGCUAGGAAAUUGUAGCACAGACUCCUUGUGAGUGAAUCUUUUCCUUCUUAUCAUAUAUAUAUAUAUAUAUAUAUAUAUAUAUAUAUGAUUGACAAUUCCACAAACGUUUAUAAAUUGAUUAUUGCAUAUAACUACUGUGAAUACUUUGAAGUACUUAUGCGAACUACGAAUGGCUUGAUCCGUGUUUAGGGUACGUAGGCAGUCUAACAAGACGUUAGAUGUAGUCAUACAAUAAUUGAGAUUAAACAAUUGAGAUAAAGCCUUGUUUGGGGAACUGGGCAAGGUGAAGGAAUUUGGUAAAAAGGUGAGAUUUAACCUUAUGAAUUGGUGAUUAAAUGUUGGUCAUAAAUCAAUGUGUAAAGAAUCAAGAAUUUGAAGUAAGGAAACGUAAGUAAUGAUAAUUAAUUAAACUAGUGUCUAGUUGGGCUUGUCACCUAUAAUUAUCCCCGAAAAUGAAUAAUUCGGGAGUAGGGCGUUACAGCUUCUGCAUUUUUAUGCCACAUUAUAUAUAUAUAUAUAAUUGGAAAUGCUAUAACAUGGUUGAGUAUCAGAUUUCAUCAUGGUUUAUCUAUAUGUAUAUUACCUGCACACAAUUAUUAUGAACGCGUUGAAGUGCAAAGGUGAAUGCACGACACCCAGGUAAGUUCAGGUGAGUUUAUGGUAUUAGUUGAAAUGAUGGGGUUAUGGUAUGACUACAUGUAUGUUUAGGUUGCAAUGAUAGGCAACUCCAACACUGUCGUACAGGUUGCCCAUGAAUUGUACAUGUUACAAUAGAUACAGUUAGAGCUCAUAAACCUACACCCCGGUGUUAGUACUCCCGCUCGUGGCCAGGGCACAGUCCUUCACGUGAUGUUCACCUCCCGCACCUUACGCUCACCUUGGAUCCAAGGUAGGUGCACAAUCAUGUCGUACCACUAUAGGUGGUUCCGACUCGUAGAUGACCCGCGAUUAUUUGCACAGUCUUCACGUGAUUGUAGCACUUGAGCGUAUUUAUUUACACCCAGUUCUAUUGUACAGACCACUUUAGGUGGUUCCGACUCGUAUGCAGGUAUACUUAUUAAGCUAUGGAUAAGUCGUACAGGUCACUAGAAGUGACUCCGACUUAUGAGCUAGCAUAUGUGAUGAGCUAGCAUAUGUGAUGAGAUAAGUGAUGAGUUAGUAUAUGUAAUGAGAUAUGUGAUGAGCUAGCAUAUGUGAUGAGAUAUGUGAUGAGCUAGCAUAUGUGAUGAGAUAUGUGAUGAGCUAGCAUAUGUGAUGAGUUAGCAUAUGUGAUGAGCUAGCAUAUGUGAUGAGAUAUGGGUAAGUCGUACAUGUCACUAUAGGUGACUUCGACUUGCGUGCUAGUAUGGGUUAUUAAUCACAUGAUUAUUGAUAUUACUGAUGAGAUGCUGUGUUGUGGUAUAUUUAUGAUCUUUCUGGAAACUAUGCAAGUGUUGUAACGAGGGGUUAUAAUGAGGUGUUGUAACGAGGGGUUAUAAUGUUUUAUAUGGUUUCUGUUAAAAUUUUAUUUCUAGGGUCACUCACCCUUAUUUUGUUUUCACCCUCUAGGUUUUAUUAGCUGAGCUUUCUUAUCGUCGAAGAUUCGUGGCGAUUCUUAGUAUUGGAGAUUAUUUCGAGAGUACGAUUCUUAAUUCACUUUACUGUACUUGCUUAAGCUGUAACGUCACGUGUGAAGUGGGUUCAUUUCCGCUUACCAGCGCAUUCUGGUAUUUAGGCACUCUUAGGUUUAAAUUUAUUCACAUUUUUCCACAUCAUCAAACUUUAUGGCUUUGUCACUCUUUAGGUGUCGGCCAGCACAGCUCGAUUUGGAGUCCUAGUGGACAUUCCGGGUCGGGGUGUGUCACAAAUGAAGAGGAUGGUUGAACUUGUUAAGUUUCUUAAGUGUGUCUACUUGAAGUGUGUUGCUAAUAAAUAUUUUGUUGUAGGCAUAAUUUACUGAACAAUUAUGGAGGCAGAGAGAGAGAGAGGGAAUAUGCGGCAUAGAGAGAGAAGAGAGAGAUGUGUAAUUGUGAGGUGUGUUCUAUUCCACCCCAUUGUACCUUUAUUAUAUUAGUAGGGAAAGUUAAUUCCUUACCCUUUUAGGAUUACAACUCUAAUAGGAAAAUAUCUAGUCUAAGAGAUAUGAUAGAAUCUCAUAAGGAUAUCCUAGAUAUGUUAGGAUUUACACAAUCAUAUUCCUAUUCCAAUAAGACUGCAACACAUUUGUAUUUUUUUAGAAUUUUUUUGAUAAUUUGUUGGUAUUCUCAAUUUUUGUUAACAUUGAAAAUAUAACGGUUCAGAUGAAAAACCUUUGGAAAUCCAACAGCUUGCAAGACGUUGGGCUGUGCUGAAGGAAGCUGGGCUGUCACGUGGAUGGGGCCCUCCCUCUCCCUCUUGUUGAUUCAAAGGGCGCAGGCCCGUGCAACAAUUGGCGAGGCAGCCCAUAGAGAUCCUGCGAUUCACCCAUUCGCCAUUUUUUCCACCGCUGGAGCACCAAAAUUCGGUCAAAAGGCAGGGGUAUCAAUGGCAAGGGCAAUUUGGCUUCCGCUGGAGGUGCUCUUUGUCGACUUUGUUUUUUCUCUCAUUUUAGCUUUUGCAGUAAUAUUGAAGUAAUCACUCCAAUUUUAUCCAAACUUUUGUUGUCCGUCAAUUUUUAUCAAAACUAUUGGUUAAUUUACAUAUUCAGACUAACCUUCUCAUUAUUUUUAGUAUUUUUAUCAUAAAUAAUAUCUGAAAUAGUCACAUUUUAUUCAACAACCACUCAAUUAAAAAUUAAUUAGUGUUGUUUCUAAACCAUUACAUCAAGCUUUUGUAGAUACACAUCAAUAUUGCAGCGAUCCGAGGCAUUGUUUUAGUGACGGUAGUACUUUCUACUCCUUGGAUUUGGUGAAUCGGAAAAGAGAAGAGUUACGAGUAAAAGUCCCUCGCAUUGUUUUGGGGAGAUGAAGAUGAUGAUCUUUUGUUUUUGUUUUUUAAUGAUUAAUCCACGCAGCAACAUAUAAUUAAAUUGUUGGGAUCUACUCAAGUUCCAUAUCACACACUAACAUAAAAUUUGACAAACGAAACGAAAUAUGUGUGUAGACAUCGAAAUUUCGUAAAUAAAUGUUGACCGAUAAAUCAAAGUGUCAACGCUCAUGUAUUACAUAAAUUUUACACGUAGCGUGUGACUCAACGAAAAUUGAAAUGAGUUGGAAAAGUCAUCAAAUAGGACACGUGUCAACACCUGGCAGAAACGACUUAUUUCAUCUGGGAUAUUAUAUUCAAAAUUAGCCAUUGGAAAAUUCUAUAAAUACAAGCCCAUUUCAUUCAUUUAAGGAGAGGAAUUCAUAUUACACCUUGAAGCUCUGAAGCUCUGAAACUCCGAAGCUCUCAAGCAUCCAGGUUCCCGAAGAAUCAAGAAAGUGUUCUUCGUUCUUCGUUCAUCGUUCUUCCAAGAUCAAGCCUCGACGGCCCUUGGAUCAACAAUCAUCCACCUUCAAGAUCAAGCCCCGACGGCCCUUGAAGAAAGCGUUCUUCGUUCUUCGUUCAUCGUUCUUCCAAGAUCAAGCCCCGACGGCCCUCGGAUCAACAAUCAUCCACCUUCAAGAUCAAGCCCCAAAGGCCCUUGAAGAACUUCCACCAAUUCAAGAUCAAGCCCCGACGGCCCUUGAAGAAAGCACCAUCGUUCAUCAUCCGUUCAUCCAAGAUCAAGCCCCAACGGCCCUUUAGAUCAACAACGUCGACAAAUCCACACAUCCAACCGUUCUUCAAGAUCAAGCCCAAAAGCCCUUGAAGAUCCGUUCAUCACUGUUCUUCAAGAUCAAGCCCAAAAGCCCUUGGAGAUCCGUUCAUCACUAUUCUUCAAAGAUCAAGCCCAAAAGCCCCUUUGAAGAUCCGCUCAAAUCCACCUUCAAGAUCAAGUCCACGGCCCUUGAAGAACGUUCAUCCUUAGAUCAAGCCCAACGCCCCUUUGGAUCAAUCGCACAUCCACAAAUCAACACCUUACGGAGAUCGAAUCAGAGGAUCAAAAUAGAGAGAGAUUGUAACCCAAAAUCAUCAAAUACAAAUAUUUGUUUGUGCGCGUUGUUCUUGUCUCUUUCGUUUCAGGAAUUUUCCGUGUUCACAAUGUGCUCUUGAAAUCAAAAUGAGGGCACUGCUCCAAGAACAAGAAGGGCACCUUGUCGAGGUCGCCAUCCGCCGUGAGGGAAAACCGGAAGAAGUUGGACAACAAUGAUAACAUCAAUUUGCGGCACCCAUAUCGGGACAUCACACUGUGAAAUAAAUAUUGAAAUAAAUACUCAAAACUCCUGGAAAGUCCUCGAGACAACAAACUUUCAUCUCCUUCAAACAUUUCAUUUUACUAAGUUUUAUCUUUGAAGGGAGGGAAAAAAAGAGAAGAGAGAAUCCUACUCCUUAUUCCUGAAUAUAUUCAAGAAUAGCUAUUGAAUAAAGAGAGAAUGGAGGGUGAUCGAAAGAGGAGGGAAGAGAAUUCUAGUUCCAAACAUAAAAAGGACCACAACUUUUAAAUUAUCAGCACAAUCAUCACCUAAUUGAAGAGACCAUUCACUGUGAAACAUAUUGUCAAUCAGUCUAUCUAUAUCUAUUUAUAUACCAUAUUUUUAGAGUAAGAUUCUCUCACCUCCUAUUACCAUCCCCUUCCAUCCUUUCAUCUCAUACUCUUUUUUUGUUGUCUUAUUCUCUAUAUAAAAAAAUUCAAAACAAGAUGUAUACGUGACGUAAUCGUAACCGUUUAAAUAAGAGGGGAUAGAAGAGAAGAGAGAUUAGGAGAAGGGAGAAUCCUACUCCCACAUUUUUCUUCUUCAUAAACAAAAGAGAGGUUCUAGAUUACUUGACUCUAUGCCUCAUUUUUUUCAUCAAGUAUUUGUGAUAAGUGGGUUCAUUUUCAAGUAUUUUAGUUUUUUUGUCAAAAUUGAGAAAACUGAAAAUCAAACAUUAAUAUGAAAAAUUAAAAAAUCAACAUAUAAUUAUUUAGAAAUCGCAAUAGAAAAGAAAAAAAAUGGAGGUUUGUGAUGAAAAAUCUUUUAUACUAAGUAAUUUAGUAUCCUUAUGCAUGAAGAUAAAUCAAUUUGUUCGUUACGGUCAUACUCUUUUUUGAAUUUUUGAACACAUUCUCCAUAGGGCCUUCUUAUAUGUUCCUUCUCCAAGCUCGGGUUAUGGAAGAAGUAAAAGAAGGAAUCGAAAAGAAAGUAUUGGUAACAACCGAUUUCAUUACGAGACAACUCUUGAUAUUCAUAUCAAUCUAUUAUGUACCUUUGCAUCUAGCAUUAGACAAUAAUUGUCAUAGCUUUACCAUAUUUUUUUGUUUCAUUUCUUCUGAAACAAUCUCACACACUUUUUUAUUAUGUGUCUACUACUAGGAAUUCAAUACGUAAUCUUAGCAUUCAAUAGUUAUUCCUAAAUAAUUUCAAUUUUCAAAUGAUCAACCAUUUCAUUUUACCAAGUUCAAUCAAUGUUAGUCAGAUUAGUCAACAUUUAUAUAUUUUGAUGCAACAACAAGAUGUUAUUUGUAACAAGUGAUUUUGUUAGUUGGUUAAUUGGUCACAAGUUAAUGUUCGGUUCAGUUUAGUUUUUCUCUCGAUUUUUUGUGAUUCGGUUUUUUCAAUUCUCUUUAGGGUCGGUUCGGUUUUGUUUUUUUAUUUAUACUUGAAUUUUAUUUUAAUUUAUUUUAAUUUAUUUUAUUUUAAAUCUGGAAACACCAAGAACAACACAAGCACAUAGUCAAUCAAACAACUAUCCUUCUCCACAAAUCAUAGUAAUAAUUACAUUCAUUGAGCUGAAAUGCAAAUAACUAACAAACUCACAAAAAUCAAAUAAAAACUACAAAUUGCUUACUCUUUUUCUUUGGGUUUCACUCGAAAAGUGUCGGUAAAAUUUAGGGUUUGCAAGAACGCAACUGAAAUCUAAAACGGAGGCCUUGUGGCCUAUGGGUUGCUAUUGAGUUCCAGUACAGAGAACCUUGCUUAAUCUCGAUCACGGUACAAAGUAUCGAGUACCUUUAGCACUGUAUUUUGGUAUGAUUGGUAGAACCAAAUUAAAAGCUAACAUCAACAACAACUACCAGAGACAAAAGCUCUUAUCAAUGCUUUGGAAACAUUUAUGUAUCUCCAAGUGUAAUGAUAUAAUUGGUUGGAAACUUGUGAUUUCGUAUCAAAUCAAUAAAAAGUUACAAUAUUGACAAUAUAUUAGCAAUUUUUAUGUUAAUUAUGAACAAGUCAAUCAUGUAGAACCAAAUUAAAAGCUAACAUCAACAACAACUACCAUAGACAAAAGCUCUAAUCAAUGCUUAGGAAACACAGUCCUGUAUCUCUAGGUGUAUUGAUAUAAUUGGUUGGAAAUUUAAAAGAAAAAUGGUGAUUUUGUAUAAAAUUGAUAAAAAGUUACAAUAUUGACAAUAUAUUUGACACACCCCGACCAAGAUCAAGGCAUGCUGGCCGUCACAUGAGAGUGACGUAACCAUGUGCACAGUGCGGAAGCAAUAAUGAUAAGAAAUAUAUGAAUAAUUAAAAACCGAAUCUACUAGAGUGCACUACUAAACAGGAAGUAUUAGGAGUAAGAUACAAAAGUAAAUACUCCUAAUCAGAGCAUAGAAAGUCUAGGUGCAAUCCAGUAGGACAAGUACUAAUUAUACAGUAUAAAAUGUCUUACAAUUAUUUAGAUAGGUCAGAACCGCCGAAGUCCUCACACCCAACAACUGCAAACUUACUUAAAACCUGAAGGGGCGCAAAAUAGAAAACGUGAGUGGGAAAAAACAAAUGUUUUACAAAACCAUUUCAUUUAUCAAUAUAUCUAACCCCUCGCUGUAAACAUGUAUAAUUUUUCCCAGAAUCAAGAUAUAAGCAUAUACAUAAAUAUAUAUAUAAAUAUAUCAAUUCAAAUCAUGCUUCACAUAAUCAUAUUCAUAUGUAUGUCAUGCCAAGAUAUAACAGAGUAAGCAACUCAGGUAAGAGUAAUUUCAUAGAAAUAUAACAUGUUAGCCGGAACCCCUGUAGUAGUCUGUACGGCUGAAUUCAUAGCUCAAAAGUCAAUCUAGCCGAAGUCACUACAAUGACCUAUACGGCAAUAUACUGCACAAGAGUCGGAACCAAAUGAAAAGAUCUGUACGACAAUAAUGGGUGUUGUUGAUGCACAAAAUCAGUGAGGACUUUGGUACAACAGAAAGUGUUAAGUUUGUGACAUUCUCUAGAUUACUCCGAUCACUAGUGUGGAUAAGUAUGUAAAUGGAUAAAGACAGGGAAGCAAACACAAGAUGUACGUGGUUCACCCAGAUUGGCUACGUCCAUGGAGUAAAUGAGUUCUUAUUAAUUGUGAAGGGUUUACACAAGUAUAUAGGUUCAAGCUCUCCUUUAGUGAGUACUAGUGAAUGAUUUAGUACAAAUGACAUUAGGAAAUAUUGUGAGAGAAUGAUCUCUAUUUAUAGAAGAGAGUUUCUAGUUUCAUUCUGACAUUGACACGUGUCAUGUUGUGAUUGGCUUCUGAUGUUGACAUGUGUUGCACUAUGAUUGGCUUUAGAUGUCAACAUGUGUCGCGUUGUGAUUGGCCUCCUGGUUUGAGGGAAACUCUUCUGGCUCCUUGACGGUAUAACGUUGAUCGAUGCUCAGUAGUUUCGGGAUUGGUCAAGUAUGGUACAAACAGGUGUAAUAUAAUCAUACUCAAUACUACUCUCACAUAAUAGCUGGGUGAUAAAUCGCUAGUCACCUAUGAGUCAGAACGAUAAUAAAGGUCUGUACGAAGACUGUGCACCUAAAUUGGAUCCAAUAUGACCAUAUGGUGCGGGAUGUGACAUUAUAUACAGGCUUGUGCCAUCACUGGCGGAGCUACACCCACGGCUACAGUAGGCUGUAGCCUAGGGAGGAUUUUAACAAACUGCUGGUAUAAUAGUUUAUAUAUGAGUUUGUUGUUGCUUAUUGUAUGUAUAAUAGCCCACAUAAAUCCUGCCAAAAUUAUUAGUUAAUGUGUUUCUUAAUUUAUAAAUAAUACUUUUAUUACCUUUUAUUAUUUUAUUAUUUUUAGGCUAAAAGUAAAAAUGGUAAAUUAAUACAUAAUUAGGUUUCUCCUAUUCCCCAUGCUUUUUACCUAUUCGUUCAAAACAAAAAAAUUAAACCCUCUACCCUAAGAAAAGAAAAACUAUGAAUCACCAUCAAAUUAUUUUCUAAUGAAAUUCAACACUAGAUAUGCUCUUCAUGUCUUCAUUUAACCUAUUUCUUGAUUCAAUUGUUCAUUCCAUAUAUCUACAGCACGACUUGAAUUGGUAUCCCCUAACCUUUUUUCUUUUGGGUACUUGUUAUCAACAAAAGUGAUAAUAUUUGUUCUCUUUCUAUUGCUUUUUUGUAUGCAUGUUUUAUUUGUGUAAAAAUUAGUUGGAAAGUAAUUAAUAAACUUGUUUGGAUUAUUAGUACUUCAUGUUCCUACUUUUAUGUAGAUUACUAUAUAAUUUUAUGUAGGCAAAAAAAAAAUUCAUAAGAUUAUAUGCUAAUGAUUUUAGUUAGCCCACCCAAGAAAAAUUUUCUGGCUCCGCUAUUAUGUGCCAUAACUCUGGCAAAAUCACAAUCACCCUAAGUGCAGUUUUAUGAGUUCAACGUUAUUCUAUCACAUAUCACAUCAUCGAUAAUUCACAUAACCAAACAUAACUCACAUGAGCUUACCUGAGCGUCCACAGUACCAUAAUUAUAUAUAAUGCAUCAUAUACGAAAUAUAAAUUCAUAUGCAUGGCAUUUAAGGUAUACUUUCAUUUAAACACAUAUUUCUGGGAAAAUAUCAAGUAUAUAAAUAUAUACUGAAAACCAAAAGCCCACUCAUUGGUAUGUCGAAGGGUCGUAGCCCCCGAGUCGCCUUUGAAUACUCUCGUCCUCGUGAUAAGUCUCACCUAUAUGCGAAUUAACUAUAAAAACGUUAUUUUAGAGCACAUACAAAAAAUUAGCUAAUAACUCUCAUACAAUGCUCAAUUUUUGUAUUUGAAUAUAUCACAGUGACCUACACAACCUCAAGAUCAUCCCUAAAUUUUUACAAUAUUUUUCUGACCCCUCACGCGCUGCCACGCACCGGCAAGGGCAACGCCUUACUCGCCCCCACGCGCGGCCACGUGACAAGCAUACUGAUGGCGUCAAUCAACAUCAUCAGGAAUAUUCUAGGGAAUAUUCUGUUAAAACCCAAUGGUAACUGUUAAAGAUGACUGACGGCAUGAGCAUAUUCUGUCAACCUUGACGGAAUAUACUCCUUUCUUCUCCGAUGAGUCGUCGGUCGCCGGCGACUUCGCCGAUUUCUUGGUAAAACUUUAAAUCGCUUAUUCUUCUUCGUUUCUUCGCCAUUUUUCAUGAAAUUGGUACCAAAAUGAAGCUAAUAACAUGUAGAAUCACUUUGUAUAAGUUUCAAGGCUUAAAAUCUACUAGUUUUUCCCUGAGAAAGCUCGAUAGUUCGGCUUACCUAGAUAUGCGUCGAUCUCAGCCCUCCGACGUCCAAUUCCUUCCAACGAAGUACCCCAAGACUCGUGAGGACCUCCUUAAGCUUCCUAUAAGCUUCAAAUUCCCUGAAACACAAGAUUUUACGUAUGCAUGAACAAUGCACAAAGUCGGAGCUAGGGUUUCCACGUGAAAUCGAAGGUUUCCUUACCUGAAAAUGGUUCCUUUGAAUUCGUAUGGUUCUCACGAACACAAUGGUGAUCUUAAAACCUUCGAUCUACAAGGUUUAAGAGGGUUUCUGGGUUGGUCCGUACGAAGAAGGGAGAGAGAGAAUGAGAAUCUGCGAGAGAGAGGGCACGGGAAGGAAAGAGAAAUAAGAUAGGUGUGUGUAUGGUCCAAAAGCCACCAAUCAAAACUAAGAAAAGUCUUAGUUGUAAUUGGGUCACCAAUCUAAAACAAUUUAACCCAAUAAUAACUUACACACAUCAUUUAACAUCCGAGGGUAAUUCCGUCAUUCUACGUCAUCGAGAAUAAUCUUCCGGGACGGGCUGUGACAAUAUCAGCAAUAUUUAUGUUAAUUAUGAAUAGGUCAAUCAUGUAUUUAAUACUUAAAUGUAUUUAAAAUAAACACCUUAUCAAUGUUUUCUGAACUGUGCUCGAUUUUUCUCCUUCGCUUUGGUUCUGUCCCAUUGGAUUUUUCAAGCAAGAUUUUAUCAAGGCAACUAUCAUUAACUGUGAACAUAAUUUAUCAUUGAGACACGAACAUCCAAGGGGGAGUGUCGUGGAAAAAAAUGUAGAUAUCUUUAUACGUUGUAUGGUAGUAAACCAUCAUAAACACCAUAAAUAUGUAGAAACGCCCUUGCGGUACCUUUGAAUGAUAACUCAUGUAUUUGUUGCCCUAUGUAAAGAUGGCUAAUGAUAAUGGAAGACUAAUUUUCUCAUCCCAAUCUCUCCUGUCUCUCUUAUUCUCUUUUCUCUAUAUUUUAUUUCCAACAAGUUGUGUUUUUUUUUUAGUAUUGUUAAGCAACCCAAUAGAUUUUAAUCGUAGUCUUUGUUUUUUUUCUUUUAUAUUUUUAAUCAAUUUCAGUUGCUUAUCAGUUCUAGCUAAUUGAGCUCUUUUACAGCAAUUUUUUUCUUUAAAUAAAAUUAUUAUUAUUAAAAAGAGUGAGAAAAUUCGAAAUUGUUACAAUAAUUUAAAAAAAAUAGGAGUUUCAAAUCAUGAAGGUAGAGGGAGUUAACAACAUUUUAGGGGGGGGUGUAGUCAAACUAGGAUUUUGAAGGAUUUUAAAAGUGAUAGAUUUGAUAGGAUUUAAGAUGAUUAAAGACUCUUACAAAAUUCAUAUGGAUUUUAAAGAAUAUGAAUGGAUUGCGGUGGAUUGUGGGGGAAGGAUUUGAAAUCCUAGGGGGUGAGGUUUGAUUCUUUUUAGUUUUGGUUAUAUAUGGUAUGCUUUCAAAUCCCAGAAAAUCCACAACUUUUUAAAAUCCUUUAAAAUCUUAAUUUUUUUAAUACACUUAGAUUUGGAUGGAUUCUAAAAUCCUUUAAAAUCUUUUAAUUGACUACACCUAGAUUUGAAUGGAUUCUAAAAUCUUUUAAUUGACUACACCUAGAUUUUAAUGGAUUCUAAAAUCCUUUAAAAUCUUUUAAUUGACUACACUAUGAUUUUAAAGUCUUUAAAAUCCUCUCAAAUCCAAGUUUGACUACACCCCCUAAAGAUUUUAAGGAAAACUAAUGAAAAUGGCUUGAAAACUUUGAGUUUUAACUAGGGGUGGGCAAACGGGUACAGGAACCGCGGGUAGGGGUGGGUAAUUCAAGUUCGGGGCAGGUAUGGGACAUGUCCAAUAUUUCUAAACACAAAACGGGGCGAGGCUGUUCGGGUAUAUGAAAUUAUCGGGGCGGGGCGGGUCUUAAAAUAGAAGGGAACGGGCCCCCAGCCUGACCCGUUUCUUUUCCUCAUCCCUAGUCUUCUCUAUCUCUCUUCCCCGACACUUUUCAUUUCACUCAAACCCGGCCCAUUUCUUUUCCUCAUCAGUCAUCCCUAGUCUUUUCAAUCUCUCUUCCCUAACUCCUUUCAUUUCACUCGUACCUCGAGACCUCCUCUUAACUCGCUCCCAGCCUCCCACCGUCCUAGCUCCGUACCUCGCCAUCAUCAUCGUCAGACCUCCAUCUCUCCUGAUUUACUCAUGUCUUCCUCGCUGCGUCCGCCGCCAUGUCUCUCUUUCUGUGACGAACUUAAAGGGACGGACGAAGUUGAACAACUCGAAACGACGCCUCUUCUGUCUGAAUUAGACCCAUAUUUGCAGCGCACGACUCUGCUCAUAGUCCUCUUCGGUUUUAAGGUAUUACGUUUUAGAGAUUUAGGAUUGAAAAUUAAAUUAGGGUUUUCUAGAUUUAGGGAUUUUGUUGGGUUCUUGAACCUUGACCUCUGUUAUGUUCCAAUUUCAAAUAUAUAUUGAAUUGAAUUUGAAUCGACUGUGUUUGAAACUUCUGUUGAAUUAAAUUGAAUUUGAGCAGGAGAAGAGGCAGAUGUGGGUUGGGCAAUGUCGAAUCUCAUUGUGGGUGGUGAGGUGGGCAUGGCGGGCGACAAUAUUGACUGGCAAUGGUACGGGCGGUGCUAUUAAGUUGCAGAAGAAUACGAAGGAGGGGGUGUGGGCAUGGGUGGAUAUCGCAAGCUCAAUUGAAUUUUUUCUGGUUUUGUUUGUGAUUAAUUGCUUGUAUAUGAUAGUUAUUGAUGGAUCUUGACAUGCCCAUUUAAUUGUUAUUGGCAAUGCUAGUUUGAUUGUAACAAAUUCAAACCGAUUGAAUUGUAUCCCAGAAAAAAAAAUCAAUAAAGGAACUGAGGACCCGGCCCGAACCAGCCCAUUUCAACCGGGCCAGGUUAGGUUCGGUUCUUAUAUUAGAAAAUGUUGUUCCCGGCCCGUUUCUCUUAAGCCCGGAUCCAGUCCGAUCACUUCGAAAUUGGCCCCAACCCGGCCCGGGCCCACCUCUAGUUUUAACGAUAAGGACAAAAUAAAGGGUAAAGUGAAUAGUACCAAGUUUGACUUUUUAGUGUAAAAAUGUAAUUUUUCGUUAAAAUAAGAUUUUAAUGGAUUCUAAAAUCCUUAAUUAAGAAAUUAGGCUUCAACCCAACUCAUCUUUGCAACGCCGGUUCCACUUCACAUCAACAGGCAAUGUUUUCUCCUCAACAAAUAGUAUUCUUUUAUGAGACAAAGACUAAUGAGGGUGAUAUAUAUAAUUAAUAAUAAUACUUGUGUUCCCUUUGUGAGUGAAUGCACUUAUUUUACCAUUCUCUAAUAAUGUAUCUUUAUUAUAUAAAUUUAUAUCAUGUGGAUAUCUUCCUAUAAAAAAGUUAUUCAAAUUGGAAAUCCUUACGUCAUCAAAAUAUAUAAAAAAAUGGACGAUCUCAUCGUAAAUAUGUUAGUUACUCACACUAUAACUUUGUAUAUUCCCUCACGUAGGAAACGCAAUAAUUAUCCUCUAAUUAAUUCUUCUUGAGAGUAGAAUUUUUAUUGUUGGUUUUUCGCAACCUUCAGACCUAAAGCUGAUAUGGACCUCUCAUUGUUUUUUGGGUUGCCGUUCUUAUUUUGCUUGGUCCUUUUACCUUUUCUAUAGUUGUUUAUCUAGUUCUUUUGAGCCUCGUACUAAUUUUUAAUGUAAUGAAAAUUAUCUUCGUGAUAAAAAAAAAAAUCAUUAGUCCUCGUAUGAACAUGCGAUGUAACACACUUUCAUGGAACAACAGAUGAUAAAGACGAUAUCCAAAUUUUCUCUGUGUUAUGUGGACUUUCCCAACCAAAUAAAUAAUAACCAAUAAACAAAUAAAUAAGAGUUUAACUUCAAACAUUGAGAAGCGAAAUUCCAACACUACGAGCCUAACUUUUGUCUUCAUCAUCAUCAUAGACUAGUCUCCUAUCCAUCAACUCCUACAUCAAUUUUUUUUUUUACUAGAUUGUAGCUCACUUUCAAAAGAGUUACGUAAAGUAUUUAAGCACCAUAAAAGAAAAUUAAACGACAACGAUUGACAUAAUAUUAGUAGUAUCAUGGUCUAAAAUAUUCAUAAUAUCUUGAUAUUUUUAUUGAAAUUUUCGUGUUUUUAGACUACCUAUAUUUUCAAUAUCAUCGAUAUUUUAAACCUUGCUAAGUCACUCAUGUAUCUUACCAUGCAAUGUAUAAAGUGUAAAAUAUUGUACUAAUUCAUUAUAUAUAAAUGAUUAUAGUGUGUUUAAACUUCUUUCAUUAAUUACUACAUAUUUUCUACACUCACAAUGUUUGCCAGCUCGCUAUAUAAUCAACUUAAAUCAAUUAUAUCUAUCAUGUAAUGCAUUUCCUUCCAAUUUUUUGUGAUAAACUAAUAGAUAAUUGACUAAAUAAACAUCCUGCAAAGUUUCAAUAAAAAUUUCCAAGUUUUUCUUACAAUUUCCGUAGUUUUUAUUCAAUUUUUAUCGAUAUCGAUAAUAUCCCGAUAUUUCCAUCGAAAUUUCCGUAUUUUUAGACUACUGAUAUUUCCGAUAUCAUCGAUAUUUUAUACCUUGGUAGUUAUACAUUUUAUCGGCCUCAUUUUUAUGCAACUUAUACAUUAAAUUAUUGUCAAAAUGUACAUAUAAAGUAGCUGAUCAACGAUGAGAUUUUAGGCAACCAUUUUCUUCUACGACGUCAAAGGUUGUAGAGGUGGCCAUGUGCACUACAUGCGUAAAUCAACUAGGGACUUGGAUCCUCUCUUAAGCCCAAGGAGAGGAUCCUCCUAACCAAAUGACUUGGAUUGUUGGAUGAAAAUCUAACGAUUACAAACAGAUGAUCUCUUUAAAGUUAUAAUAUUUAUUACCGUUGAAUUUUCAUCAAACGGUCAAAUAUCAUUGGUCAAAAGGGUCCUCUCAUUGGGCUCAGAGAGGACCCAAGUGCAUCAACCAGAACUAUUGCUAUUAUAACAAUUCAUGAAAUCAAUUAAACAAUAAUUUUCCUUCUGGCAGGCAUGUUAGUUAUUUCUUAUUUGGCCAAUUGCCUAGUGGAUUUGGUAGAUUUAACCUCUCCACCACAAACACAUUUAAAAAUUUCCAGAAAUCCGUAACGUAAAAUUUAAAAAUAAAUAUUAAUAACAGCAAGUUCUUUUCACCGACCGUGACCGAGAUCUGUCACAUAUCCAAAAUGUCACCUCCUUAUCGCAAAAACCAAAUUUGACUUGGGAUAAAUACCGUGUACAAAUUAAACGCGUUUCUCUAGCUUUUGCGUAAAGAGGCAACCCAACACUAAACUAGGAAAACGUUGGGUUGACAAAGAUACCAUGAAGAAUAAAGGGGUUAUGCAAUCCACUUUGCAAGAUAAUCAAAGUUUCCCGUUGUAGACUUGUCUUAACCCAACACUAAACUAAGAAAACGUUGCUUUCCCGUUGUAACAUGAAACAACAUUAAACAACAUUAAACAAUAUUAAAUAACAUUAAAUAACAUAAAAAUUAUACAACAUAAAAAAAACCAUUUAACAACAUAAAACUUAAAAUGCGUACUUCUUGCUUCUUGUGGCCUAAAGAUGUGCAACAAGAUCUUGAUGUAGGUACUUGUUUGUGGCACGAAAACGUAUCAUCCUAGCCGUUGGAUUUGAAUUUUUUUUGUUUUCGGCCAAAAAAUUUUAAAUUUAAAAGUUGAAGAUGGUGAGAAAUAUGAUCCUACACUGUUCAUUAAAAUAUUAAUUUCUUGAAUGACCAAAAGGCUAAAACAAGCCAUCCUUCGGUUGGAGAUGCCUAAGGAGAGACUAGAGAUAGAGAGUUUCCUAUAUAUGAUUUUCAUUAACAAGAUUGAAAUGAUUUCAGAGAGAAGAUCAAGUAUGGUUAUUUUUAUUUUGUAGAGUGUAGACAUUAUAACUAUACAUUCAUAAUAACAUGAGUAAUGUUAUAUUUAUCACAUUUGUACUCUUUCUCUGAUAAAGGUAGGGUUCAUCAACACAUGUGGGUUCUAUUUGCCCAUCAACACAUGCGGAUCUCAUUUUUAUUAGAAAAAUAGUACAAAUAUGGUACGGAAAAUAUGAUAAGAUCGCAAUUUUGUAAUAACAUAUAUACUCAACUAUUUAUAUACCGACCCAUCUCCUUUUAGUGUAGAUAAUAUCGUUUGUUAAAAAAAAUGUUGAACUUGUCAUAAUCAUUGAAUCCAUUUACCAUGAACAAACGGCAGUUUACUAAACUUGCCCUCAGAGUAUAUAUAAAAGGUGAAUCACAAUCUAUUGCAUUAAUAUAAGGAAACAAUUUAUAGGGUUUGACGGGUGACUUAAUAUGCUAUAUGGCACAAUGAAAAUUAAGUUCACACUUUAUCCCAAAUAAGGUGUUGCACCUUUAAUUUAUGGAUGCUGGUUUGACGUGUGACCGAAAUAAUCAAAUUGUAGCCAUUAAUCAUUUUACAAGUAAUAAUAUGUAGUUUUUACUGUUUACGAUUCACACAACAAUCUGCUAGGAAGUAGAAAAUGCAGUACUUGUCCCUCUCACAGAAGUCAUGAAUAAUUAUCAAAUUCAAAGAUAAAGAAAAACCACACAAUUUACAAGAGGAAAGAAAAUGAAGGGAUAAAGAAAGUAAGAAAGGAAUACCUCUAUGGGAGGACUCUUAUUUGCUUCAGAUGCCUACAAUAUUCAUCAUAUAAACACUGAUUAAGUAGUCAUCGAAAACCAAAACAAAUGUCGAACAUAGGGUGAAAAACAGAAAGAAUAACCGCAGCUCAUCAUACCAAUAGAGAUAGAACUGCCCGAUGCCCAAGUAUGACUGAAAAAUGGCAAUCCAAACAUGGCGCCUUCUAGCUCAUCAAACUGUCAAAACCUAGGUUCCACCAAAAAGAUACAAGUCACCUAGUUACUUGUAAAAUAAAAAUCUGUUUCAAAAUAGUGGAAAAUAUUAUUAACAUUGUUCAAAGUCCACAUUGUUGUACCUACCAAGAAACAAGAAGGAUUGUAUCUUAUCAUGAAAAAGAACAUAGGUACCUUUUCAAUUGUAAUUGUACAAAAAUGAGAGACCACUUCCGAACUUCUCUUGGAACUUCAAUCAAUUUCUGCCCACUUUUAAAUGCCUUGACAUACUUAAGCCUAUUUCUUUGAGCUUCAGUUUUGGCUUCUGAUGCCUUUAAAUUUCUUAAAGAUUCUUACCAAGUUUUACAAACUCACUUCUAUACAACCAUUUGUCAGUAUACAUACCAUUUUCUUUGAGCUUCAGUCUUUGCAACACCAAAACCCCCCAAAUAGACCCGGAAUUUUGCAAUGUGCAGGGAAUAUACAAAAAAAACCCUCCUAUCCAUCUAAAACGAAAUCAGAACCCAAACCACAAUCAAAAUCCGUAAAAUUAAUUUAGCCAACCCUAAAUCUAAUAAUUCUAACAAAUAUUAUAGUAUCAAUUGAGAGAGAAUUUGAGAAGAUACCUAGAGAUGAAAGGAAGAGCGUUUCCUCUGAUAGGGGUUCCGUGAAAGCAUCUGUUGACCAGAAAAGAAAAGGCAAAAAACCCCAAAUUACAUAUCAAGCAAUUAUAGAUAGAUCGAACCUUGAAAAUUGAAAUUUCAAACAAGAGAAAGGUUAUAAACUUACAACGAUCUGGGUGUUGGUUACUGGGUUUGGAUUUGGGUUUCUGAUAAGAGAGAGAAUCGUAUGAGGAACCGAUAGAGGAACUGCACCGGCAACAGAGAGCAACUGAUAUGGUGGAGAAUAGAGAUGGGCAAAAUAUCCCGGUUAUCCGCCCAUUUAAAGUUCACAGUUACGGUUAUGGUAAUUGAACGGUUAUGGGUACUACCCGUGGUUAUAACGGGUAUCUAUUGGUUAUGGGUAUUAUCCGCGGUUAUAACAGGUAUUCAUUUACCCAUUUAAUUUCAUAUAUGUAAAAUUUAUAAUAUUUUUAACAGUUAUAACGCGUUUUUGUAUUUGUUGCCAAACUUUUCGUAUACAAAAAAUUUGAAGCACAAGAAGCCAACAAGGAGAAAGAUCAAAGAGCUUACUUGAAGCUUAUGAUCUAUCCUGCGGUUAAUAGAAAGUACUGGUAUUAGUGUAGAAAAAUGUUUGUUUUUAGAAGCUUUAUUUUGUAAUCAUAUGAAUUAUAAUUAAAGACUUGCUUGGGUGUAGUAAAAAAAUAUCGUUUGUAAACUAUUAUUUCAAUUAUUAGAAUUGUAUGAUGACCUAAAUGAUUAAAAUAGAGAAAUGCAUGCUAAAAUGUAUUUAUAACAGUGUUUAAUUGUCAGAUUUUUUUUUUUUUUGUAAUUUUCAAGUUGUUAAAAAAAACAUGCAGAGAGGUGAAAAAAGGGAUUAAAAAAUGAUAAACGGGUUCAAAACGGGUAAACGGGUAAAUGAUUAUGGUUAAAUAGGUAAACGGUUAUGGGUAAAUGGGUACACGGUUAUGGGUAUGAGUAUAACCGUUUAUGCAAUUACCCAACGGGUAAACGGCUAUGUGGGUAUGAACAUAAAUGGUUAUGAGUAAAUAACCGCGGUUACCCGCCCGCUAUAACCAUUGCACAUCCCUAAUAGAGAACAUACGAGAAUAGCCGCUUGGAUGGUCAAUCCAAGAAGAGAAAAUCUUGCCACAAUCACGGUACUUGAAAAAAAAAACAAUUUUAAAGGAGGGAAACAAUCGCGCCUUUUUUUUAAUAGACUCUGUCGACGAUAUUCUUGACAAAUAGUCGGGUGAGCUUAUUUUUCACAACAUUUUAUUUAGGACUAGGUUCGGUUGGCAAAUCGUGUCAAAUUUCUUGUGCCAUUUGCCAGCCACAUAUACAUAAUUACCAAAAAUCAGUUACCGUUCGCCAACCAUCUUCUUGCGGUUGCCAAAAAUCGGUUCAACCAAAAUGAUUGGCUGGUUCGGUUGGUAAAUGGCACAACCGGUGGUUUCCACUUCUUCCUCGCUAUCUUCUAGUUGCAAGGGCUCAAUUUGAUUUUCAGAUUGGGAUGCUUGUUCGGUUGCAUUGUGUGGUUCAUUUUGGGUUAAUCCAUGUUGUGCACUAGCAAUUAAUUGGCUAGACUCCAUCAUCCUAAACAUAAGCAACACAUAUACAUUCAAAAUCAUAUAUAUGUACGUGUAUAUAUAGUAUCAGUAAUCAUCAUGUUAUCAAUUUUGUUAACAAUAUUUUCUAUAUUGAUUAUGGCAUGAAUCAUAUACAUAUACAUAUAUUUUUUAAACCCUAAAACUAAGGAGUUAUUUAUUUUCUAAGCCCUAAAAUUGAGGAGUCAAGCAUGUAAAAAAAUACUUAAAAUAUCUAAAUAGAAAAAGAAAAAAAAAAAAAAAAAUAUAUAUAUAUAUAUAUAUAUAUAUCGGUAGGUAUGGCAUACCGCCGACAUACAAAAUCAAUUACCAAAGCCAUGCCAUUAAUUGUCGGUUCGGUAAAAUGCCAACCGAUUAUGAAAAAAUGCCAAAACUAUACCAUACCAUUUUGAGCCAACCGGUAUGGUUCGGUCGGUAAAUCGGCUUAUGGCAAAAUUUCUCACCCCUAAUUUUAUUUGUCGCCUUAAACCUAUUGGUUUCUAGCCUACAAUUUGGAUAUUUUGUUGGGGAAAGAUUUUUGUACCAAUAAAAUUUUGCUUUGUCAGCUUAGGAUUUGUCGGCAAAAUGACAUUUUCUAGUCGUUAUAAUAUUAGGUAGAUCAAAUUUGUAAACUAUGUGAUGUGUCACCAAUAGGAAAAAAAUUCAGUGUGCUGAAAAUACAGUCUAGAACACCAAGUGUCAUAAUAUAUACUUGGUUGGAAAUUUUUUAUUUUCAAGUUUCCAACUAAUUGUAUUGUAACAGUUGGUGUUCCAAGCUAUUUUCUCGAUGCGUUGGAAAAUCUCUUCACCAAUUAAAAAUAAACAUAUUAAUUAACACUUAAGUAAUAAUCAAAGUAUCAACAACUACGUCAUAAAAUUUACGAAAUAUGAUCUUAAUUAAUGAUCUCCAUGGCAUUACCCUUUAUCUUAGCGUAUACGUACGCCUUCACAUGUUUAUUUGCUGAUAUGCAGCUUGAGUAAAAAUUUCUUUUUAAGAACAUAUAUGUGAAUAUAAACAUAUAUAUCUAGUGAUCCAUGUUGCGUUAUUUAAAAAUAAACAAAUUAAUUAAUUAAUAAAUGAACUGUGUGCAUGUCUGUGUAGAGUAAUCCAUAUGCAUGCUUGAAUCCUGAUCACCACGAAACCAUAAUAUAAGCUACUCAAGGCCCGGAAGCUAGGAUUGAAGAGAAAAACACCCAGUCAGAUUAAGCCAAUAUAUCAAAGUUAAUACUUCGAAAUGUAAGCUUUAAGAUAGAAAAAUCACUUACUACCUUGAGCAGUCGAGCUUCUUCAAUGGCAUGAAGCUUUUAGCAUGAGAUUGACUGCAUCACAACUAAAAUUUUCUCUUGGAAACUACAUAAGGAAUAGCAUGUAUACCUAUAACGUUGAGAAAGUACGCCAAUUUUUUCCUUCUGCACAUUCAUGUUUAAAAGUAAUCCUCAAAUGAACUUGCCCACAAUGAAAUGCAAUUUGAGGUAGUCGAGUGUGUUCCAUUUCCAUUCCAUGGGAAUUACUACUAAACUUUGAGAUGGUAAAGGAUUCAUGAAAUUUUUUACUUUUGAGAUAGCCUCUUUAACAUUUCUCGACUAUAACAAUGAGGGAAUACUUCACCUUGUAUCAAACAAGGGAGAGCGAAAAUCAACUACUAAUAGCAUCACAGAGCCAGCAGAAGAUUGAGGAGGCCAUGAAGAGGAGAGAGAAAAUACACUCUUUUUUUUUGUAAGGACAGAGAUAAUACAUUCAGUAAGGGGUACUGAUGUUUAUAUGCAAUGCUGAUUAGGUUUAAAUAGUCCUAUUUAUUCUGUACAGUGCCAAUAUUACCACCCGUUAGUACACUUUCAAGACACUGUACUCCAGUGUGUGCGCUAUGCAGUACGUAGUACUCCUCAUUUUUUGGGGAAAUUCAUUAUUGGUCUUCAUAUCUUCUUUAUUUUCCUUUUCCUCAUUGUGCCACGUGUUUAAAUCACUAAUUGUAGGUAAUCUUUCAAUUUAAUUAAAUCUUAUGUAAAAAAAGAUAUUUAAAUAUCAUUUAGUAUUACAAGAUAGUGAUAUUCCUCUUUAGUAUAAAAUUUUUAUAAUUAAAAGCGUUCAGUUUUUUAAUCUUCAUUUGAAUACUAUCUAUAAAGAAAAAUUAUUCGAAUAAGAGAUCGUUUAUGCAUUCAAAUGUACAAAAUGCAUCGACAGUGUGAGAACGAAUUAAUAUAUUUUUGAUGAAGUACAAUUAUUGAAUACAUUUGAAUGAUCAAAUGAUAUAUGAUUCAAAAUACAUAUUAAGAUAAUAAAUAUAAGUGAAUUGUUAUUAGCACUCCAAGAAUCUUAUUAUACACUCUAAAUUUUCUAUAUUUUGAAUGAAAAAUAAAUUUAUGAAGAGUGUAGAAUGAGAUUUUUUAAUGCUAAUAACACUUCUCUAAAUAUAAUUAUGAAAUUAAUAAAGUAAAGAUACAUGACCUCGUGAAUGAUGUAUGUAUUAUUCAAAAAAUUAUUAAAAACAAAUUGAAAAAGGACGCUGUUGUUGCCACCACUUAUGCAAUGAUCGUCGCUGCCAUCACCAACCCCCAACACCCCAUUACAGCUCAUAAAAGCACAUCAUAAGCAAUUUAUGAAAUAAAUUUACUGGAAUACUAAUUUCCCCCUUAGUUUAGGUCACCAAUGUUUAAAUUUAGGGGUGUGAUAUGCACAUACCUUUUUUUGCUUCUCUCACACUUUUUUUGUUGUUGUCGAAUCAGAUGAAUUGAAGAAGAUCAAUUGACAGAAAUUAACAAGGGGUGUAUGAAAAGUAAAAAUGGAUGUGUAGAUAACACAUCCCUAAAUUUAUCACAACUUUCAUUCCAAAUUUAAUUUUUAUGCGUAGUUUUGUUUGUUCAAAUUUACUUUGACAUUUCAAUUAGUAUUAAAAUCUAAUUUAAAUUUUAGCGUUCAAGCUAGAAAAAGUGUUCCAUUUAAUAUUUAAUCUCAGUUUUUCUCUUUAUUCUUUUAUUCCGAUUUGGUUGCAUCGUAUCUCCAUUUUUCUCGGUGUUGUAUGUUCAUAAGGCCUGGGAAACGUUGGCACGGAGUGAAGGGUACUCACUUUUUGGCCCAAAAUGCAUAAGGCAUGUAGAUAUGUUAAUCAAAUUUUGUAAACUAAAGGAUAUAGAAGUUGAUACUUAGAUUAUAAUUUAAGAUAAUACUAAAGAGACUAAAUUUGCAAACUAAAUGAUGUGUCACCAAUAAAAAUAAGCACGUUUAUCAACGCUUAAGUAAUAAAUCAAUCAUCAACUUUCAUGUCCUUUAGUUUCCAAAAUUUAAUAUACAAAUUUAGUCUCCCAAGCAUUACUCUAUUACUUAAGUAUUGAUUAACAGACUUAUUUCUUAUGGUGACAUAUUAUUUAAUUUACAAAUUUAGUCAACCCAACAUUACUCUUUUGAAAUUGUCUUGUCCACUGAUAUAAUUCUAUUUUUCUUGUGAUCAAAACUUCAAAUGUUAGCAAGUCGCACGUAAAGUCACUUCUGAGAGAAUGUGCUCACAUUGUAGUUGAAAGAUUAUGUGGCUAGCAACAUUACAAAUUUAAUUUGGUAUAAUUUAAAAUAUAGAUUGAGGAAAAAAUGAUCACAUUAACUAGAAACUGAAAAGGUUUCAGCACAGUUUGUUCAAGCAAGAAACUCAAUUUUGAUGCUACCGAUCUUAACAGCCUGAGCGCCGUACCUGGGCACUAAAGUCACCACCACACUCUCAUCAUCUUCAGCACCCAAAUCCUCCAACAGGUCCGUUAACCCCAACCUUAAACAACUCUUGCUCUUUUCCUUCUGCUUAUGUGGAACACUCACAAAACUCCCAGCAAACUCGCUCUUGUCGGGUCCACUCGGUGCCGCAUCCUCAUCGUCCACGUCAUUCACAUACACAUCAAACUUCACAGCCACAUCUUUGUCAAGCUCAAUCCCCUGAAUCACCAGUAUCUCCUCCUCAUCCUCUUUCUCCUUCUUGCUCCUCUUCUUCGGCUUCGGCCUUGACACCACCGUACUUAUCUUUGUCUCCAAAUUUAUUGGAAAAUCUUUACCCGCCACCACCUUCCCCGAUGACGUCGUCUCAGCGGCCUUCGCCACUCCAGCCGCCUUUGCCUUUCUCGCAAGCUUUGUCCGACGUGGCGUCGGUCUAGACUUGAGCCAUGGAAUCUCAACAUCUUCAUACGUAUACCCUAGCUUUUUAUUAUCAAGAGUGUCCCUCACCGUGACCCUAACAAGCUCAGCAUUCUCGUCAUAAAACAAAAACCCCGUAUCCAACCAAUCCUUAUCGUUAAUAUCUUUAUUUUUAGUCCCUAUACUUUUCCAAAUAUUCCACAUUCGAUCUAUAUUCGAAUGGUGCGAAAAAAAUAUUGGAUCCCUUGCAGCGGAGUAAAAAUUCCCCAUGUCUUCAAAAUUAGGUUGCGUGUUAUCUCCGGUCCAUGUAUGAACCGGACCAUGUGGGGUCGUUUCGAUUGAACCGGCCCCUGGAUCUGGUUCGGUGCCAGCCCUGUAGGGCGAACCAAAGAACAACAGCGGUUUCUUGGAGUUGGAAACCAUCUGCCUAUACAUGAUUUUGAGGUUGGCGUCGAUUUGAGCAUCCUUGGACAUUGUUUCAUCCGUGCCGUUAAAGUCAAGAUCGAUGAGAGUCGGCGGCUGAUGGCUGGCAGCGCGGAGCUCGUCGUAAAGCGGAGAGUCCGGGUUAGCGAACAAGGCAGGGAGUUGCAUGCCAGCUGGCGCGUCCCAGUUCCAAAACGGCAACGCGAACGUCGGAUCGUCUAUGAGUUUGGCCAAGAUUCUUUCGUGGAAGUAUAGGUAGUAACGAUGGAAGGGGAAGAAAAGCCAGGAUUGAUGGAUUUGGAGCUCGAGGUUGGGGAAGCCGACUUGAUCGUACGCGCCGUCGCAAUAGGCACAGUGGAUAUCGGCUUGCUGGGUGAAGCUACGCGGAUCGUCGUCCGGGAGGGCUUUCAUGAGCUCGAUGGCUUUUGAAUAUUUUUCGAUGUAGGCUUUAUCCACGGUGUGAGCUGCCGGCCUGACGCGGAGUUUGGUAGGGGAGGGGAAUUUGAAGUCUACGAUUUUUUGGGACGUUGGCGGGCAACAGUUGGUCGGGACUGCUCCACUUGGAAAGUCCGCACCUCCGCAUUUGGCUAGGUCAGGCGGCGACACUGGCUUUGCAACAGCGAAGGGGUCGCUGCCAAGACCAGCCACUCCACCGUACAGGCUUCCGAGACCUAUAAGUACAUGUCUUCUGUCUAGGUUUACUGGAGAAAGGUUUUCAUGGUCGUGAUCGUUGGAGCUAGUGGAAGGGUUUUUGUUUUGGUCACUACUAUUAUUCGUGGCUUUGCAUGAGACGGCUUGUAAAUUGGAAUGCCUAGGGUUUUCAAAUAAGGAAAUUCGGUGAUACUUUUGGGAGAAAGGGAAGAGAGAAGUUGUGGGGAUGAUACUUGUGGUGGAGGUGACGAGUGGAGCUGACAUAGAAGCCAUGGUUACUUGACUCUGAAUACUACGUUGUAUAGGCUUUGCUUUUAUAAUGUGUUCUAGGUUUUACUUUUCUUUGCACAGGUGGCAGGCCGUACACAUUGGCGGUCCUUAAGGGUUUGACGAGGAAUACUACGUAGUCAUUUAGUACAGGGCAACCAUGCACUAUAGCACGUGGCAUGUAAUAUUUACGUAGUCUCAGAAGGUGAAGCGGUUUUGGGCUUCUUGUGUACCAAUAAUAUUUACGUACUCAUUAUUCCACUGGAUGGAUUGCGUGCACGUGAUCUUUAUUCAAACAAAUCACUAUUGACCAUAUAUUGCAAUUGGUUAAUGUUAGGCAAAUUAAAUUUUUACAUCAAAUAAUGUGGUUGCUGAUUAUUGAAUUAUUAUUUAAGUUUGAUUAAUGUGCUUAUUUUUUAUCGGUAAUACAUCAUUUGAUUUGCAAAUUUGAUUUACCUAAUAUUACCAGUUAUAAUUUGUAUAAAUGGACUGGUACCUAACAUUACCAAUUGUAAUUUGUAUAAAUGGACUCGUACCUAACAUUACCGGUUGUCCCAAGAGCACACGCUACUGCUCAAGAAGCAAAGUUCUUAUUUGCCCAAAAAAAAUCAUGGUUUUUUAAUUGAUGCUCUCAUUUUAAUUUACUAGCCCCUUACUUGGCCCUUUUUAUUUAUCAUUUUAUACAUAUUAAUAUUUUGUUUGUAAAAUAUAUUAGUGUUAGUUUUAUCAAAAUUAAAAAUAAAUAAAAAACUUAGCUUUAGUAUUUAGUUAUUGAAAUUGUAAAAAAAGUGAUAAAGUAUUGGGUGCUUUGUUUGAAAAUUUUCAAAAUGAUAUUGUUUUUACCACUGAACCCCUGUUAUAUACAGUGAUGGCUAAUUUGUCAAGUUCUACGAAGUUGGGAUACCCAGCGUUUUAGCAUAUAACAUAGCUUAGUAUUUCAAGCAUAAUUAAUUAACGAAAAAUUAGUAUCCGGUCCCUAGUUUUUACUGUUCAUUGACUAAGACCUUAUUAGUUCUCAAAUUUUGAUUCAAGUCCCUAGCAUUAAUGUGAUAAUGAAUUUACAUGUUUAUUAUAUAAUUUUUUAAUAUAAAAAUUAGUAAUUAAUUUAGGGUUUAAUACUCACACCUCUAUUAAACUUCUAAUUAAUUUUCAAUUCAGACAUUUCCAAAAUAAUAAAAAAUUAAAUUAAAUUAAGUUUGUACCUAUUAGUUUUUUUUUAUAUAUAAAAAGAUUCUCAAUUUUUAAUCUUAAAUGUACAUCUUAAAUGUACCCAUUCUCAAAUAUAUCAAUUUGUUAUAUGUAAAAUGUACCCUUUUUUAAUAUAAAAUCCAUUCAAAAUUUUUAAUCCAUGUUUAAACUUAUAUGGGUACAUUCUUUUUCGUUGAUUUGAGAAUGUAUCCAUGUUUUGGUACAAUAAAUUUUUUGUUAAUUUUGGUUAAUGUACCCAUACAUAUAUGUACACACACACACACACACACACACACAAUAUAAUAGAGAGUAUAAUUUAUAUUUUAUUAUUUUUAAUCCCAUAAAUGAUGGGUUUUAUUUAAAAUCUCAUUAAUAUAAACAAUUAUAAAUUUCAAUUUUUAAUUUUUAAUUUAAAAAAUAUAGUAACUUACAUUAUUACAUUAAUGUCAGGGACCUCAAUAAAAAACUAAAAACUAACAAGGUUUCAAUCAAAGAAUAUUGAUAGCUAGGGACCACAUCCAAAGUGUCCCUUAAUUAAAGGGUAAAUUACAUAGUAACCCCUCAGGUUUGAUGUCUAUUACAACCCCAUACAACAUCUUUAAAACAUUUCACUUUCAUACCUCAAGUACUAUUUUAUUUCAAUAUAAUACAUCUGUUAGAUUUUCCAUCCAUUAAUCCGUUAAAUGCUGACAUGGAUACCACAUUUGUGCCACGUGGCUGCCAAAUGCGUGUCAUGUGGCAAAAAUAAUAAUUUUUAAAUUUAAAAAAAAAUGAAUCUUCAACCCAAAAAAAAAAAAAAAAAAAAAACCCCAAACCCAGAUCCCAUCAACCCCCCCCAAACGAUUAUCCCUUCCCCAUAUCCCCCAUCCCACCCCCCAACCCCCCCUCUGCGACCAACCUUACCAUAGCGCCCCCCAACCUCGCGACCCACCUCACUCAAGGCCCUAAUCCACACUACCUACAACCCAGAAACGAAAAAAAAAAACAAAAAACAAAAAACUCAUCUCCCUUUCCCUGCAACCCAAAUCCCAUCUUCCCUAAUGGGUAUGGAUUUAAGAAGUGGGGUGUGUAGAGGAGGGAAGAGGGUGGGUGCGGAGGAUGGGUAUGGUGGGUUGCAAGGAAGGGGGGUCGGGUAAGAUGAAGAUGGGUUUUUUUUUUCUCUCUCUCUUCUUCUUCUUCUGGGUUGCAAGUUGUAGGUUGGGGUUUUUUUUUGGGGGGGGGGGGGAGGGAGGGAGGGAAGACGACGUGGGGUUUGGUUUUUUUUUUUUAAUUUAUUUAGAAGAUUUAGGUUUUUUGAAAAAAAAAAAAAAAUUCCACGUGGCACAAAUGUGGCAGCCACGUCAGCAUUUAACAGAUUAAUAGAUGGAAAAUCUAACGGAUGUAUUAUAUUGAAAUAAAAUAGUACUUGAGGUUAGAAAGUGAAAUGUGUUGAUGCACAAAACCGAAGGUCUUUGAACAACGUAAAUCCGAUCGUGAAUAUGCAAGUAAUGUAAAUAACACAAGAUGUAUCGUGGUUCACUCCAAUGUUUGGGCUACGUCCACACUGAUUAUUGUAUUUCUCUGAGAGGUGAGGGGGAGAGCUUUGAGAAAGCUUAGAGCUUAGGGGAUGUGAGAAGGCUUAAGAAUUGGCCUCCCUUAUUUGUGAGGGUGAUGAGUCCUUUUAUAGAAUAAGGGAUCCUCACUUAUUACAUAUUUGCCCAUUCCUUUAUUACAUAAUUACAUUUAAGUCCCCUGAGUACUUGUACAAGGUCUAAAUACGGAGGCCCUAAGUAUGGUACAAACAGUAGUCCCCCAAGUCUUCAGUCAAGAGAGUCUUUUGGCUAGAGACUUGAAAUUCUGUCCAUGUGUGAGCCGAAAUAACUAGAUGUCGUCUAGAACUGAUAUUUGAUAUGCGGCAGUGCCCAUUUUGAAAUAAUGCUCAACUAGAAGUAGCACAUGCUGCGAGGCUGCUCUGCUUGUGUUGCCUUGGUUGGCUCGACUUGUGGCGUUGAAGGUGAGAGAGUCCCUUUUAUAGAAUAAGGGCUCGCUCCUCAUUACAAAGAUGAUGGGUUAGUUGGUGCUUGCGGUGAGGCGGAUGCUCAGCUGGCGGCGAUGCUCUCUAAUGAUAGUGAGGGAGUCCAUUUUAUAGAAUAAGGGAUCGCUCCUCAAUACAUAAAUAAUAGGUGCUCUCUAAUGAAAGUAAGGGAGUCCCUUUUAUAGAAUAAGGGCUCACUCUUCAAUACAUAAAUAAUGGGCUAAGUCCCCUAAGUAUUUUUUAUGAGGCCUAAUUGAGGCCCAAUAUAUGGUACAUAAUGUAGUCCCCCAAGUCUUCGGUCAAUAGAGUCUGUUGGCUGGAGACUUCAAAUUGAAUCCAUGUAUGGGCCGAAGUGGCGGUUGUUCGGAAGCGGUAUUUGUAUACCCUGCACUGAAGCUUUAUAGGUGAAGCUUUGCAAGUGAAGCUUUGAAGCUGGAGCUCAGUAAAUGAAGCUUUUGAAGCUAGAGCUUUUGUAAAUGAAACUUUUGAAGCUGGAGCUCUAUAAAGGAAGCUUUUGUAAAUGAAGCUUUUGAAGCUGAUUCACAUGAGUGAUGCUCAUGAAUGUUUAUGUUGAUUGAUAUGAGUGAUGCUUAUGGAUGUUGACAUGAGUGAUGCUCAUGGAUGUUGACGUGAUGCUCAUGAAUGUUAACAUGAGUGAUGCUCAUGAAUGUUUAUGUAUGAUUGAUAUGAGUAAUGUUCAUGAAUGUUUAUGUAUGAUUGACAUGAGUAAUGCUCAUGUAUAAUUUGAAGUACUGGGCAUACUUUUGAUUACCUGGUUGGCGAUAAUAGCGGCAGGGUGCCGAAUAAUUUUUUGUAGUACUGGGCGUACUUUUGGUCACCUGGUUGGUGAUAAUAGCAGCAGGGUGCCGAAUAAUUUUUUGUAAUACUGGUCGUCCUUUUGGUCACCUGGUUGGUGCUAUUUUGAGCUUAUGGGCCUUCGCCCUCUACACAACAUUCCAGCCUAUUUAUUUUGGGCUUUACCGUUUUUUUUAAUUACCCUAUGAUGGGGUUUAUACAGAUGUCUCCGAAAGAUAUGAAAAAUAAAUUACAUCAUUCAAAAAUAAAUCCGACCCUCUGCUCAAUGGGUCACGCCAAUAAUUCUUUUUUUUUAUGCAUGCCAUCACCACCGCAAUUAUGUCUGCUUCUUUUUAUCUUCUUUUGCUUUCUGCUUUUGCUUUUACUUUAUCUUUCUCUUUUGGCAUAUGGCAGACAACGCCAAAACGGAAUAAUGAAUUAUUAUGAGAACAUGAAUCUUAUCUUUUGCCUGGUUUUCCACUAGUGCUCGUGGUAUUCUCAGGAGAUUGGAUCUGGGGGUAGGCGACUACCCCAGCACCUUGCCCUGAUACGUAAUAGCCUGAUGUCCCACUGCCAUCUCCAUACUGGAAGGUGUACGAACAAUGGUUAUUCUGUGUGGAACAAAUAGAAUCCGAUUGAGAUUCAAGACUGCACCUUCGAUCUGAGCAAGAAAUGAAUUGUGACGUUGAUGAACUUCUAGGAGGAGAAGCAGAGGAUCUUUGACUAUGAUGAUCUUUGAAUUCCAGAUGAAACUGAAUAAAAUGCAGGUUGUGGAGCUUGAUGUGGGCCCAGAUCUGCUUGACAGCUUUGGGGCGGGAGGAUUCCUUGACACUGAGGAAGAUUCCCAGAGCUGGAGGGAUGAGAAUCGACUUCAUAAUCCCGAUGGUGGGUUUGUGCUUGGUCGAAAGAUCAUUUCUGGCAGGGGAAAACAUGUACCAUACCUAUUGCAAAUCUUGCAAAUUCUCUGCUUCUCCAUGGAAGAUGAAGAGCAUCGAAUCUCUGUUUUCUCUCUCUCUCUCUAAAACGUUUUCGUUAUAGAGUGCCCCAAUAGAAGUGGACGGGCAGUGAGCAUGCCAUUUAGUGCCUCCUCCAAGACAGUAACUGAUACGGUGGUCUUUAUUGGCACUCCAAGUUUACUAAAAAGGGCAGCAAAAAUAGUAUUUACAGCACCCAAACUUGAAAGAUCUAGCUCCAACUAGUGGCUUUCUGUUUCAACAGCCUGAAAGCCGGCAGUGUCAUACCGACGCCGUUUGUCUGGAUCAAAUAAUAUAUUAUAAGAAAACAUGACCUUCUUGAAGAUAUCAGCUGUUUUAGAGUCAUUAGCAUUUUUGUCAGGAUGGUACUUGAGAGCCAUUUUCCGGUAAGCACUUUUGAUUUCCUGGUUGGUGGAAUUCCUAUUGAGGCCGAGGACCGCAUAAGGGUUUUGUCGGAGCUGCUUCUUAGCUUCUUGCUUCUCCGAUUUUGAUCGGCUGCCCUGCAUUUUUGAAAUUGACGGUCAAUUUCUUCACAAAACCCUAGAAAUUGCCUCUCGAUUACCUCCGAAACACAUAAUUCACGACUCUUGGUUGAAAUUUUUUUUUUUCAUUUCAAAGAAGUGGCGGAGGUAAAUCAGUUGUCACAUAGCACCGGAGCAUGAGGAAAACCUAGAAAACCAAGAGGCAGAGAGACUCCAUGCACAUCUAACCUGGAACCUUGCAGGAGAGAGCAGAGAGAAAGAGACAAGAAAGAUUGAGGGAGAAGCGAUCUUGGUGCAUCGUCUGUGAUUCCUUGGUGAUUUGCUCGAUCGGGACUCUGAAUUCGUGCAAGUCAUUGCUGUUAAGCAAGAAUCGCGAGGAGUCGGAGAGCUUGGAAAUCGAGAAGGAGAGAGGGCCUUUAGUCAGGGCUUGGAGGGUGUCGGACUCCGUCGGCCAAGAUUGGUGCACGGUCACGGCGUCUGGGCCCAUGGCGGUUGUGUAAAUGGGGGAGGUUCUAGGAGUCCAAGAAAGAAGAAGAAGCAGCGACCAUAGAUCUGGGAGUCCAUGGCGCUUGAAAGAUACGGCGAACAAGUCGGACUUGCUGCUGGGCAGCUGGCGGUGAUAAUGUUGGUGCAUGGGUUUUGGAGUGGGAGUGUUUGGAAUGGGUUUUUUGUUUAGUUUCUAUGUGUUUUUUCACAGAGAGAGAGAGAGAGAAGUGAUGGUGUUUAAGGGAUGAGUUUUGGAGCUUAGUGAAUGCUUUUUCUGGAAAAGCCCAGUGAGGUUUGUGGGUUUUUGCAGAUUUUGCAGAUUCGCGGUGGAGGUGAAAGAAUGAAAGAGAACCGACACAACUUUUCGUAUUGAUUCCCACAUACGGCGCCAAAUGUUGAUGCACAAAACCGGAGGUCUUGGAACAACGCAAAUCCGACCGUGAAUCUGCAAGUAAUGUAAAUAACACAAGAUGUAUCGUGGUUCACCCCAAUGUUUAGGCUAUGUCCACACUGAUUAUUGUAUUUCUCUGAGAGGUGAGGGAGAGCUUUGAGAGAGCUUAGAGCUUAGGGGAUGUGAGAAGGCUUAGGAAUUGGCCUCCCUUAUUUGUGAGGGUGAGAAGUCCUUUUAUAGAAUAAGGGUUCCUCACUUAUUACAUAUUUGCCCAUUCCUUUAUUACAUAAUUACAUUUAAGUCCCCCGAGUAUUUGUACGAGGUCUAAAUACGGAGGCCCUAAGUAUGGUACAAACAAAAUGUUUUAAAGAUGUUGUAUGGGGUUGUAAUAGACCUCAAACUUGAGGGGUUACUAUGUAAUUUACCCUUAAUUAAAAUAAGGGCAAAUGAAGAGGAUGGUUGAACUUGUUAAGUUUCUUAAGUGUGUCUAAUUUAAGUGUGUUGUUAAUAAACAUUUAUUAUGGAGGCAAAGAGAGGGAAGGUGCGGCAUAGAAAGAGAAGAGAGAGAUAUGUAAUUGUGAGUUGUGUUUUAUUCCAUCCCAUUGUGCAUUUAUUUAUAUUAGUUGGGAAAGUUAAUUCUUUAACCUUUUAGGAUUACAACUCUAAUAGGAAAAUAUAUAAUCUAAAAGAUAUGGUAGAAUCCCAUAAGAAUAUCCUAGAUAUGUUAGGAUUUACACAAUCAUAUUCCUAUUCCAAUAGGACUGCAAAACAUUUGUAUUUUUUUAUAAUUUUUUUGAUAAUUUGUUGGCAUUUUCAAUUUUUGUUAACAUUGAAAAUAUAACGGUUCAGAUGAAAAACCUUUGGAAAUCCAACAUUGAAAAUAUAACAGUUUGACGUUGGGCUGUGGUGAAGGAGGCUGGGCUGUCACGUGGGUGGGGCCCUCCCUCUCCCACUUGGUGAUUCAAAGGGCGCAGGCCCGUGCAACAAUUGAGGCAGCCCAUAGAGAUCCUGCGUUUCACCCAUUUGCCAUUUUUUCCACCGCUGGAGCACCAAAAUUCGGUCCAAAGGCAGGGGUUCCAAUUGCAUGGGCAAUUUGGUUUCCGCUGGAGGUGCUCUUUGUCGACUUUGUUUAUUCUUUCUUUUUAGCUUUGCAGUAAUAUUGAAGUAAUCACUCCAAUUGUAUCCGAACUUUUGUUGUCCAUCAAUUUGUAUCAAAACUAUUGGUUAAUUUACAUAUUCAGACUAACCUUCUCAUUAUUUUUAGUAUUUUUAUCAUAAAUAAUAUCUAAAAUAAUCACAUUUUAUUCAACAACCACUCAAUUAAAAAUUAAUUAAUGUUGUUUCUAAACCAUUACAUCGAGCUUUUGUAAAUACACAUCAAUAUUGCAGCGAUCCGAGGCAUUGUUUUCUACGCCUUGGAUUUGGCGAAUUGGAAAAGAGAAGAGUUACGAGUAAAAGUCCCUCACAUUAAGAGGGCUCCUCCUCGGGGAGAUGAAGAUGAUGAUCUUUUGUUUUUGUUUCUUAAUGAUUAAUCCACGCAGCAACAUAUAAUUAGAUUGUUGGGAUCUACUCAAGUUCCAUAUCACGCACUAAUAUAAAGUUUGACAAACGAAACGAAAUAUGUGCUCUCGAAAGCAAAAUGAGGGCACUGCUCCAAGAACAGGAAGGGCUCCUUGUCGAGGUUGCCAUCCGCCAUGAGGGAAAACCGGAAGAAGUUAGACAACAAUGAUGACAUCGAUUUGCAACACCCAUAUUGGGACAUCAAACUGUGAAAUAAAUACUCAAAACUCCUGGAAAGUCCUCGGGACAACAAACUUUUAUCUCCUUCAAAUAUUUCAUUUUACCAAGUUUUAUGUUUGAAGGGAGGGAAAAAAAGAGAUGAGAGAAUCCUACUCCUUAUUCUUGAAUAUAUUCAGGAAUAACUAUUGAAUAAAGAGAGAAUGGAAGGGGAUCGAAAGAGGAGGGAAGAUAAUUCUAGUCCCAAACAUAAAAAGGACCACAACUUUUAAAUUAUCAGCACGAUCAUCAUCUGAUUGAAGAGACCAUUCAUUGUGAAACAUAUCGUCAAUCAAUAUGUCUAUAUCUAUUUAUAUACCACAUUUUUGGAGUAGGAUUCUCCCCCCUCCUAUUACCAUCCCCUUCCAUCCCCUUCCAUCCCCUCCUUUCAUACUUUUUUUUUUCUUAUUCUCUAUAUAAAAAAUUCAAAACAAGAUGUAGAUGUGUCGUAAUCGCAAUAGUUUAAAUAAAAGGAGAUGGAAGGAGAGAUAAAUUACGAGGGGAGAGAAUCUUACUCCCACAUUUUUCUUCUUCAUAAACAAAAGAGAGGUUCUAGAUUACUUGACUCUAUGCCUCAUUUUUUUCAUCAAGUAUUUGUGCUAAACGGGUUCAGUUUCAAGUAUUUUAGUUUUUUGUCAAAAUUGAGAAAACUGAAAAUCAAACAUUAAUAUGCAAAAUUAAAAAAUCAACACAUAAUUAUUUAGAAAUCGCAAUAGAAAAGAAAAAAUGGAGGUUUGUGAUGAAAAAUCUUUUAUACUAAGUAAUUUAGUAUCCUUAUGCAUGAAGAUAAUCAAUUCGUUCGUUAUGGUCAGACUCUUUUUGAAUUUUUGAACACAUUCUCCAUAGGGCCUUCUUAUUUGUUCCUUCUCCGAGUUGGGGUUAUGGAAGAAGUAAAAGAAGGAACCAAGAAGAAAGUAUUGGCAACAACCGAUUUCGUUACGGGACAACUCUUGAUAUUCAUAUCGAUCUAUUAUGUACCUUUGCAUCUAGCAUUAGACAAUAACUGUCAUAGCUUUACCAUAUUUUUUUGUUUCAUUUCUUCUGAAACAAUAACACACACUUUUUUAUUAUGUGUCUAAUACUAGGAAUUCAAUACAUAAUCUUAGCAUUCAAUAGUUAUUCCUGAAUAAUUUCAUUUUUCAAUUGAUCAACCAUUUCAUUUUUCCAAGUUCAAUCAAUGUUAGUCACAUUAGUCAACAUUUAUAUAUUUUGAUGCAACAACAAUAUGUUAUUUGUAACAAGUGAUUUUGCUAGUUGGUUAAUUGGUCACAAGUUAAUGUUCGGUUCAGUUCAGCUUUUCUCUCGAUUUUUUGCGAUUCGGUUUUUUCGAUUCUCUUUAGAUUCGGUUCGAUUUUGUUUUUUUAUUUAUACUUAAUUUUUUUUAAUCUGAAAACACCAAGAACAACACAAGCAUACUCAAUCAAACAACUAUCCUUCUCCACAAAUCACAGUAAUAAUUACAUUCAUUUAGCUAAAAUGCAAAUAACUAACAAACUCACAAAAAUCGAAUAAAAACUACAAAUUGCUUACUCUUUUUCUUUGGGUUUCACUCGAAAAGUGUCGGUAAAAUUUAGGGUUUGCAAGAACGCAACCGAAAUCCAAAACGGAGGCUCUGUGGCUUGUGGGCUGCUAUUGAGUUCCAGUACGGAAAACCUUGCUUACUCUCUAUCACGGUACAAAGUAUCAGUACCUUUAGCACUGUAUUUGGUAGAACCAAAUUAAAAGCUAACAUCAAUAACAACUACCAGAGACAUAAGCUCUUAUCAAUGCUUUGGAAACAGUCAUGUAUCUCCAAGUGUAAUGAUAUAAUUAGUAAGAAAUUUAAAAGAAAAAUGGUGAUUUCAUAUAAAAUCAAUAAAAAGUUACAAUAUUGACAAUAUAUCAACAAUUUUUAUGGGGUAAAUUACAUAGGACCCCCUCAGGUUUGAGGUCUAUUACAACCCCAUACAACAUCUUUAAAAUAUUUCACUUUCAUACCUCACCUACUAUUUUAUUUCAAUAUAGUACCUCCAUUACAUUUUCCAUCAAUUGAUCCAUUAAGAGCUGAAUUGGUUGCCACAUUUGACACGCCCCGAUCCCGAUAUCCUCGGGAUAUCAGGAUGGUCACGUGCUGGCCGACACCCGAGGGUGACGAAAGCCAUUUAUUGAGUGCAAUUGCUGAAAAUAAAGGAUAGAUAAAACUUAUAAAUGUAAAAGAAUAAGGAAUAUGCAUUUAAGGAACGUGUUCAGAGCAUACAACUAACUAGAACACUAAAAGAAUGAUAUAAAAUGGAAUGAAUAAAAGAAUGAGUCUUACACCAAGAGGACUCGAAGAUGCCGAUGCGGAAGUACCUUGAUUGUCGGGAUUGUACGCCUCGAUCCUAAAUCCUGAAGGGGGCGCAAAACAAACAUGAGUGGACCAAGUUGAUAUAUAUAUAAUAAAACAGUUAUCAAUAUACUAACCCCCAGGUUUAUGAAAACAAAUAUAUAAUGAUGAACAUAGGUUUUCCGAAACCUAGCAUGAUGUGCAGUAUCUCAAAUCAUAACUCAUAUAUAAUAAUCACUAGUGAAUUGUCCGAUAACCUGCAGGCCCCAUGCCGGCUCCCCGUCUCUGAGCAGACAGUCAGAGGAAAAUACACUUCAGGCCCCAUGCCGGCUCCCCGUCCCUGUGCUAAAUAGCCAGAGGAAACACACUCCAGGCCCUAUGCCAACACCAAACCGUCGCCCGGGACGGACCGGAAUCUAUUCCUACGUCCCGUAGCGGAAAUGACCACUAGGUAAGUACAAAACCAUUGAACAUACAUAUAUUGAAAAACAACUUCAUAGUAUAAAGUCAUCCAUCAUCUAUACUAUAAAGAGGUGUUCGAAACAUGUUCUAAAUAUCAUAUCGUCAUCCAUCAGAUAUUCUAUAAGAACACGGGUUAUAGGAAAAAUAGUAAUAAUUCAAGGUAGCCUCAGUAAGCAUGUUAUCUCAAAACGUUUCAUAAAACGUAAUCAUUAAAUCAUGCAUUUCAUGUAUGCAUUUCUACUAUUAAAACAUGCUUUUGAAGGGGUCCACUCACAGUACUUAGCCGCCGAAGAGCCACGCAAACUAACGUCACCAAUAUUGCCCCUAAGCACAUAAAUGGUCCAAUUAAUAAAACUAUAUAAUAGCAAUUGGAUUUGGGAAAACGGACGUUGGAAACGGAUUCAGAACGUCGAAUUACCCUAAGAAGGGUCCCGGACGAAAACCCGAAAAGUCAACUCUAAAGUCAAUGUUGACCGGAGGUCAACGGUCAAAUUAGGUCUAACGGGUUUUAGGCUUGAAAUCCGGAUUAGGGUUUAGGUUAAAUAGGAUUAGGAUUUAUUGGGUUUUGGAAUUCUAAGGUUUUUGGGUUAAAAGGGUUUAGGGUGAAAAUGGGUGGUUUGGGCUUAAUCCCAAACUCACACACAACACACACACACACUACACAAACCCUAAAACACACACACACACACGGGCUGCACUAGGGCAGCCCUCACAACACUUCACAAAGGCCCUAAGGCCUUAUUAAAGGACAGGGCUUUAAGCCCUUUAAAGGAUACUGGCCCAAGGCCCGUCAAAAUAAGGCCCGAGGCCUUUGGGUUUUAAAAAGAACAAGAACAAAUUUAAAAGAAAAGGGGCUGGGGUCUACUGGGCUAAGAUAUAACGGGCUUAAGGCCCGUGGGGUUUUCUAAAGGGCCUGAGAGGCCUGGGUUUGUCGAAGGAGAAGGCCGGAAUUUCGGCCGGAAAACCACCCAACUUUAAAUGGCCAUAACUUUGUCAAUACUCAACGAAAUCAAGCAAGACAAAAAUGAAAGUUGUAGCCCUUGAAGCGACGAAGAGAAUGGUUCCUCACACGACGUCUAACUCGCCGUGGUUUGGCCGGAAAAUGCCUCGAAAUCCGUCGGACUCGCCGGAAACUGGGUAAGAUUCAAAUGAGUAUAACUUCUUCAAUACUCAACGAAAUUAAGUGAAACAAAAAGGAAAGUUGUAUUACUCGACGAGACGAAGAGAUUGAUACCUUACACGCCGGCCAACUCGCUGUGGUUUGGCCGGAAAUGGCCUCGAAAGGGGCGGUGCUCGCCGGAGCUUACUCCGUGCCGUCGAACUCGCAGGGUAGGGUCCGGGGUUCGUUGCAAGCCUCUCUUCGAUGGUGACUCGGUCCUAGUGAGUCCAGGGGAAGAGAGAGAUGCGAAAGGUUGAGGGAGAGAGAGACGGGAGAGCUGAGAAAGAGAGAGCUACGGGAGGGAGAAACGAAGAAGAAGAAGAGAGAGAUCAGAAAACAUAAAAAAAAUAAACAAGGUGGGCCCCACGGGCUCACCAAUUAAGGCUUUAAAACAAUUUUAAAAUAUAAAAGAGGGUUGGGGUGUUUCAACAUUUGUACCACGUGGCAAAAAAAAAACCUAAAUCUUCUAUACAAAAAAACUAAAAAAACCAAAAAAAGCAAAAUCGAACACUCCACCCCGCAAAAAUCCUAGCAUCUUCCUUUUAUUCCCCACAACCCCAAAUUCCCCCCCAAAACCCCUAAAACCCAAACCCUAAUUCCUCCCCCACAUGAAGAAAAUCCCAGUCCAAUUCAAUCCCAAUUACCUCAAAUCCCACCAUAGAAACCCUAAAUUUUGGUUCCUCAAUCCCUAGAUUUCCCACGCCUCUGUUGCCUACACCUUAUCAAUCUUUAGCUUUCUCCCUCAUCCCCUCCAUGAACGACACUUUCUCUCAUCCGCUGUUCCCCAGCAACGGCACCGAUACCUACGAGGCCUGGUACGGCAACAUCCAGUACCUUCUCAACAUCUCCGCCAUCGGCUCAUUCUUAUGUGUCUUCUUUUUCACCUUGGUCAAGCUUUGAAGCGAUCGCCGCCGCAUGCCCGGCUCGUCCUCCCUCGUUGCUAAGCUCUUCGCAGUGUGGUAUGCUACCUGUCGAGAGAUUAUGCUCCCAUGUGGCGCUGAGGCCAUAAUACUCACGCACCCAUCUACACACCCACACCACCACUACCGUGGACUCUCUCUCACUCUCCCUCGUCUUUGUAGAGCUAGGUGAAGCCUAGAAACCGAGAACUAGCUCCAGCAAACCCCGUGAGUUUCGAGCCAGAUCCCUGCCGACUCCGACCAUCCCAUGACCAAUCUAAGGUACAAAACAUUUCCCCUUGACUCUAUGCUCUUUUUCGUAUGUAGAUCGUAGGGAAAAGCCCACAGAAUGAGAGAGAAUAGUGACCUGAGAGAGUCCACGGUGAUGGUGGUGUGUAGAUGAGUGCGUGCGUGGGUGUACUGUCGGGGAUAGAGUCUGAGAGAGAUAGAGAGUGAAAGAGUCUGAGAGAAGAGUGACUUGCGAGAGUGAGAGAUUCGAGAGAGACUCGGGAAAAGAUUUAUGGGUUUGGGUUUUUCUGGUUUUUUAUUUUUAUAAUAAUAGGGUUAAUAUUAUAAUAUUUUUAAUGUAUAAAAAUUUCUUUUUUGCCACGUGGCAGCCACAUCAGCACAAAUGUGGUAGUUGUAGAUGCAAAUUUCUUCCUCUUGAUCUUGGACAAUUUUGCACCUACAAAACAAUUAACACCUUAGGUUAAGGCCAAAAGCCUCACACACCCACAAUGAAUGGGGGGCUUUGGCCGAAGAACCUCUGUUGCCAAAGUUAGAAUUUAGAGAGAAAGAGUCUUUACAGAAUUUUGGGAUUUUUGCCAAAGUGUUGGAAUGGCUUUCUGGUGAGAACGGGAUCACUUUUAUAAGGAUAGGAAGUGGUCGGCCUAGCUAGGGUUUUUGGGUUUAAUUUAGGUUUAAUUCUUCAAUUUAUUUGGCUAAUUAAACCCUAAAGAAUAAAUUGGUGGUUACAAAAUUGAUUAUUUGUAUAAAUGGGGUAAUAAAAUGGAGAAAAGUGAAAAAGGUUAGGAAAAGGGAGGUAGCUAGCUUCUUAGUAGUUUUAGGUGUGAGUGGGUGUUUUAAUUGAUAAUUAAGGGAUUGAUUAGGUAAUUAAUCCCUUAAUUAAACAAUUUUUAGGGAAUAUGAAAGGAAAUUAUUAUUUAGCUAAUUGAUUAGCUAAAUAAUGGAAUACAAAAUAUAUAGAAUAAAUUAGGCUUUAGGUAUUACCUUAUAGAAAUGAUUUGAUGAAAUAGGCUUUAAAUUGUUAACUAUUUUGGGCACUUUUGACUUGGUUGAGGAUGAUUGUCUGCCGCUCGCACGUAGGAAUCUCGAUAUGCCUUAAGGGUAUUUUUGUCCUCUUUUACCCAAAAAUCCACGUGUCGCCUUGUGAUUAUUUUUGGCUCCACAAAUGCCCCCACACCUGUUGGGCUGCUCGCAGAAAAUGGCAGCAGGUGUAGAGAUCAUCUUGCUUUAGGAAACGUAGGACUACUUCCUCUUUAGAUGUAGAUUCUCUCUUUAAUAGGAAAUUAGGUUCUUCUAGGAAAGGGAAAUAAAUUUCUGUUAAAGCCUAUUUAAGUCUACCUUAAGUGGGUUAUUAAAUCAACUUUGGAGAGCGAUUUCUUAUACCCUACAAGAGAGAGGGAGCUUAGAGAAUAUUUGUUCCCCCUCUUCUAGCAAUCUUCUACAUCUUUCCCGUGCAAAGGAUCGUCUUUCGUUGAUUUCUUCGUCUUCUCCGUGCCGCACCGAUGUAAGAAAAAUUUAAUUUUUUGCUUAUCUUCUUCUUGGAUAGUACUAUUACAGGGCAACCGUUAAGGUAGUGCGGCACGUCUACUGGCAGGGGCUAGGAGUUGGCUCGGCAUCGGUCGAUGAGGCAUUAUGGCAGGGGCCACUGCUUAGGCUGUUUGGCUUGGCUAGAGCCAAUGGCAGCUUGUGCGGCUGGGGUCGCGGAUUGUGGCGUUGGGGCGCAAUGCUAGGCGAGCCACAUGGUUAAUGUCCUUUAGGCUCUUAGACCUUACUCGGGCCAGGCUAGCGACUGAAAGAAAUGAGGAGGUCGUGGGCCUCAUGGGUUGUUGGAAUGUUGGGCAUGCAGGCCUCCUGUCUGCUAGAAUGCUAGGUUGAGCUCCUCUGCUGAGUACCGUGAAUGGCGUUGGCUGCUUAGUUCUUUUUACAGAGAGAAAGGUGGGCUGCUCCCGAAAGAGGAAGUAAAGAGGAUCAAGGUGGAUGCAUUGGCUCGUCUAAUCGCUGUCGUGGAACCUCCUAUGAAUGAAGAUGGAAAUAAGAGAUCUUCCCUGCCUACUCAAGAGAUGCCGAUCGAGAAAAAUUGAAGACUUUCUCCACUGCUGCUCAUGAUGAUUUGUCUGCUGUCGAUAGGCCUGUGAUUGGCAUGACUUCUUCCAAUGGGAAGAAAAAUGAGGCUGCUAGAUCUGAUCAUGUGGUGCCUUCCAUGUUGAGAAUUGCUAGUACAAUUGUUGAUAAGAUUGCUUAGCGCAAAGGUUUUAUCAUGCCCCCAGUACCGAAGUCUGUACCAGGACUUUCGUUUGGAGCAAAGUCUGGUUCACCUUUGGAGAUACUUGCUAUUAUGAAAAGUGGUAAGGUGGACUCUGCUGCUAAAGUGGCGUCAAGGCCCACUCCCUUUGUUGCUGAGACUGAUUCGCCUGCUAGGAAGGAAGAUACUACUUGUAUGGGCAGCUGUGAGAAAUCCACUAAACUUGCUUCUGGGGAGGCUGCUGAGAUCAUUGUGCUUUUGAAACUAUAUCUGCUUGAAGACAUGGACGCUUGUGCCAAGUUUGUUGAUGGCGGUAGAAAGGUUGUUUACCUAAGUUCCUUUGCGAAACAUACGACCCAAUAUAAAAUGACUGCUCUGCUUACUAGGAUGCAUAAAUAGCAAGGUUGUCAAGGAGGUGGCGAAGAUUAUGGCAGCUAAAGCUUAUUCCUCAGUCGAGGAGAUCAAAAGGUUGAAUUAUGAGCUUGUUGCUUUGAAAGAAAUGGAAGAACUGCAACACGUUCGUGUUAGUCUGUUUGAGAAGAAUGAGCAGCUAAACGGUAAGAAUGAUGGGCUUGAGGUUUCUCUAUUUUUCCGGAAGACUUGCUUACUUUUACUUUUGAGGCUUCCAUUGGUGAAGUAGUUGGAGACGUUAGUGCCCAGGCUUAGGCAACCGGGGGUGAAGCACCGGAUGAUGCCGCUGCUAAGAACGUUACGGCUGCUGAAGGUGUGGAGACCAAGUAGUCGUGGGAUGUCCAAGCUGCUGUAGUGUAGUAUUUUAGGUAGCUUUUAUGAUUUUCUUUGUUUUUCCUUGUAGCUCUUGUUUUGCUUGAACUUCUUCGGCCUUUGCUAGUUGUAUAAACAUGUUUUCCUUCGCUUUUCUUCAUCUUCGCUUCUUUUGUUCAUGCCCUAACCUUUAGACUUGAUAGACCAAUGGCAGGCAUGCUACUUUUUUAUAAGCAGACAAGCUCGCGUAGCCUAUGCAGCCGUAAAUGUUGGUGUAGAACUUUGCAAAGUUGUUAGCCAUUAGGUUGGUAACCAGAUACCUUACUUACAGAAGUAGACAAGUCCGCAUAACCACUAGGCUAUUAACCUUGACUUUCUCCAAUUCUGUAGGUUGCGUAGCAAGUAUCACAACACUUUAGGAAUUGGUAUAGGUUGCUCCGCACUUGGCAGAGGUGAAGCCUAUCGACUACGUAGCAUGUCGGCAGUGGAUAAAACUUCCAUAUAUGCGCGCUAGCUUGUUUAACCUUUCACAAGAAUGUGCGGUUGUAUAAGUCUAGCACGGUUUUACUGCUUGAAGGGCAAGCCGUAGGCAGUCUUCCGGAAUCCGUAGGCUACCUUAAUGUACUCGGUAGCAGCUUUAGGGUUCCAGGGCAGCCGUCUAUAGAGCGUACUGCGUAAUGUGCCCCAUCCGUCUCUAGCUCCCGGUUCCCCACAGAUUAGACCAAGAGACCCAAAAUCCUUCAGUUAGUUAAGCCUUGAAAAAGACCAUUGUGGCUACUUCUAGGAAUCCCGGCUCAAGCCAUCGUACAUCUAGUUAUACUAGGGUAGCCAGGCUCAUCAGCGUCUGGAUAUUCGGAGUGUAAAGUUUAUCCUCCCGUCUUAGAGAGCUGACCCAUAUGAGUGUCGGGGAAUUGGUUUACCCUCUCACACUAGAGAGUAAUUAAUUUACCCUCUCGCACUGGAGAGCAAUUAGUUUACCCUCUCGCACUGGAGAGCAUGGUUGGUCCAUCGGGGGGCGCAAUUCCUGCGAUGAGUCCCUAAGAAGGGCGCAGUCUUCUUUUGAAGUGCAGGAAUGAUUAGUUGUUAUAAGCAUGUGAUCGAGUCAAGUUGUGAUUACUUCUAAAUUCCUCAUUGAAAAACGAGUGAAACGAACGAGAACUUAGCCGUAAGGUAGGAACUGCAUAACAACUGGAUAGUCCUCAACUUGUGUGGUGGUACCCAUCGAGCUUCUUGAGUCUUCGGGCUUUGAUGUAGUGGGAGGUUACACAUGGCACCUUUUCAGAUUGUAGGCGCUCUACUGCUUUUCGAACUUUUUUUUUGUUGUGUAAUUGCUCUUGCUGCCUACUCGGCUAAUCUUAUACAGACUUUCUCGGAUGAGAUUCAUCUUUUUGGAGCUUCUCUGCUGGCAGUGAUGAAGGCUUUUCUUAGGACUAGAUCUCUGGGCUGGAACUGCCAGAUUUUGGCCUUUUUGUUGUGGCUGGAAAAGAACCACUGCUGGUAAGUUGUAAUGCAGAUGAUAGUCUGCUCGCACUUCUCCUCUGCCAAAUUUAAGCUUGUGGCCAUCUCCUUUCGGUUGCUCGUCUUUUGGUGUUGCGAUGUGCCCAUAGACAUCCAGGGAGUUUGUCUGGCCAUUUUCUUUUCUUAUUGGUAGGGGAUUUCUUGUGGCAGUCGAGGAUCAUCUUAGUGGAUGUUUUGGCCAGCCUAUUGCCUUGAGGAUAUCUUGGCGUAGACAUGUGCUGCUUGAUGCCAUAUUUUUAGAAGAAUUUCGCCAAAUCUUUGCCCACGAAUUACGGGCCGUUGUUGGUGACGAUGGAUUAAGGUAUGCCAAAUCGGCAAAUGAUGCUCUUUCAUAUGAAGCGCUCUAUGUCCGUUUGAAUUGUGAUCGUCAUGGGCUCUGCUUCUACCUAUUUGGUGAAAUAGUUGGUUGCCACGAUCAUCAUGCAUUUGCCCUUAGUAGUCUGGCUGGUGAUUAGCUGGGAAUCAGAAUGAAUUGAAAGCUUUUUCACCACCAAGUCUUUUGUCACUCGAAGGCCUGCUAGUGGGGCUUUGUACUCUGCUUCGUUGUUAGGUGCUUUGACGCUUAGAGUGAUCGCUUACUCGAGCAUUGAACCGUCUGGGGUGGCAAGAACCACGGUUACUUAUAAGCCUUUGUAGUUGGAUGCGCCGUCGACAUGCAAAUGCCAGAAAUUUCCAUUGAGGGAGUAGGUAUGGCUAAAGUGUGCUCGGCUACCUUCGAAGCGUCGUUGGGCCGCUUUGUUACAUUGUCAAGGCUAGGUUUGAAGGCGCGGUAGAGAGUCGUGGAGCUGGGGCCAUGUUACAUGUAGCAGGAGAUGCUCAACUUCCGGUAUUAGGCCACUCUAGAGCUGAAUAAUGGAGCAAAGGUCGGCUAGGGUCGUAUGACGCGCAGCAGAAGGUAGUGCUCGACUGCUAGUACAUGUUGCUCUUACGUAGAAUCUUCUGAGGCGACGAGGACAAAACUUGCUUUUAAGUGUUCCUUCUAGUGUUCGUCUGCCCUUGGCGUGUCUUUUGGGCUGAGUUGUUGCGUUCGUCAGAAAACUUUGCAUCUGCCAGGGUUUACGUCUUUAUCAUCACGGGUUUGGAUUAGGCGGAAUAGUGCGUCAUGAUGAUGACUGCGUACAUUUGAAGGUAAAACUUAAGCUUUUGGGUUACAACAACUAUCACCAAAGUUAGCUUUUGAAUUUUUAAUAGCAUCGAGGAGAGCUUUUGAACUAUAAAAUACAUGUAGUUGGGCCCCCAACUCUUCUCGCAUGACGGUACAGCUUAUUUCUACUUUAGAUACCGUCAAACAUGCGAAUAAGUCCUCUGCUGCUUCUAGGGAGGUGAUGUUGGGUACUUCUUCAAGCCCUUGAAUGUGCAUUGGCGAGCCUCAUCCCAAAGUGCAUGCUUCUCUGCCAAAGAAAAAGAGUCUACCAGAGUUAGAUAUUCUUUCAUGAUCAAUUUUCUAAAUAGCGGUGGUCUGCUGGAAGGCCUUUUUGGAAGGCUGCUCUAGCUAUUGAGUCGCUGCAUCCGACUAUCAUUGCCUUCUCUGUUUUGAAUCUCUUCACAUAGUCACGAAGUGACUCCUUUGGGUUCUUUUUUACGUCAAACAAAUGGUCGGACUUCUUUUUGAUCGAGCAAUAAGAUGAAUAUUCUUUGGUGAAAACCAAAGAAAGUUCGUAGAAAUUCUAGAUAGAUUGUGGCGGCAGGGUGUAGAACCAAUCUUGUGCCUCGCCUUCAUAGUGGUGGCGAAUAUCUUGCACAUGAGAUCAUCGUUGUUUCGAUAAAGGAUCAUUGUGCUUCGGUAGCGCUUUAAGUGUCUCUUCGGGUCUUCAUCCCCUUUGAAAGAUAUGAAAUGUUGCAUACUGAACUCGCAUGGAGGCUCUGCCAGCUCGAUCUCAUCCGUGAAGGGUGACCUGCUUAUGUUGGUCAUGUUCCGUCGUAGUGCCUCGUCGGUGACCUUGUUGCGUUAGAAAUCAUGCAAUCGCUUGAUUAAAAGUCUCUCUACUUCUUCCUGAAUUUUCAUUUGUUAGGGUAGCAGAGCUCUCGGCUGCCCCUAGCCAUAACUUACUGGUCUAGGAUGCUCUUCCAUGUGUUUGGCUCGUAUACCGUGGAUGCAGUGUAUGUGGUGCGGUCCUAGUAGGUGAGCGAGUUCUUCGCAGGCUGCUAGUUGAACUUGAGCUGGAUUGAGUGACUACUUCUCUCCGUCCGUCGUGCUGCCUACUCCAAUGUGAGGUGAAAGAUGCUCCUUGCAGGCUUAGCCACGAAUGAACACUUUACCUGGAAGGUUGCUCAUGUUGACUAUCAGAGUAUGACCCUAACCGUGAAUGUAUAUUCACCCGUGGGCUUAGUCGAGAGUGCACGCUCCUCCGCGCGCUAAGACGAGAGUAUACGUUAUCUCGGGAGCCCAAUUGGGAGUGUACACUGCCCGAACGCUCGGCUCGUGGCUGGUCGAGUGGCUGCUUGCCGAAACGCUGCGGGAAAGGUUCGUCUGCCCUUGUCCUACUUCGGGAUACCUUGUUUGGGGCACGUUGGAUUCUGGUGCAUUGCAAAAGUUGAUUCACCAAGGUUGUCUGUUGUGCAAGGGUGCUCGUAAACGCUACGACUUGUCGAGACAAGUGUUGUUCGUCAUUUGGAUUGGAAUAGCUUGGAAGGAAUGUGCCUUCUUGGGCAGUGGAAGGGUGGUAGACUCCGGGCUCGAGAUUUGAGUUGGGAAAUGUCAAAUCUACGAAAAAAUGUGGUGAGAAUGCCCCCGGCUCGAUGGUAGGUCCGGAUGGUUGAGAUAGUCUUGGGCCGACUUGGGCUGCUUGGAAAGCCACGGGAGCAGGCUGGGCCACGAGAGUGAGCUGCUCGGCAGGAGUAGGCUGGGCUACGAGAGUGGGCUGCUCGGCAGGAGCAAACUGCUUGGAGUGUGAUGCACAUGGGUGCGAGGCUUGGGCUCGGCUUGGUAACACAUUGAGUUCGGGUUUGGCUUGGAGUGACAUGACUUGGGCCGUGGCCUUGGUGUCGUGAGCCUUGGAUGGCACGGCUCGGGCAGUGGUAGCUGUGCCAUGGACCUCGCCGCGGGUAGUGGUGACCGUGAUGGCCACCGCGGUGGUUGCCAUGGUGGAGCCCCGUAGUGAUGGUGCCGCUCCUAUGAUCACAUUUAGCCUCGUGGAUCGUCGUGGUCCCAUUUCUUGAAUAUUAGAAUUUUCACUUAUGGAAUUUUCUAAAUUUCUAGCCAUUAUAUUUUUCUUAUACGUUUUAUCAAAGAACCUUUGCAAAUAAAAAAUUCUAAUAAUAAGAACGUAUGAAAAAAUAUUCAAAUGGACUAGAAAAUAGAGAAAAACCUUUUUAUGCGAGAGUCUUCUACGAGUAUAGAUCUCAACUCUCAAUGAAAGCACCAAUUUGUGGAUGCAAAUUUCUUCCUCCUUGAUCCUAGACAAUUUUGCACCUACAAAACAAUUAACACCUUAGGUUAAGGCCAAGAGCCUCACACGCCCACGAUGAAUGGGGGGGCUUUGGCCGAAGAACCUCUGAUGCCAAAGUUAGAAUUUAGAGAGAUAGAGUGUUCAGAGAAUUUUGAGAUUUUUGCCAAAGUGUUGGAAUGGAUUUUUGGUGAGAAUGGGAUCACUUUUAUAGGGAUAGGAAGUGGCCGGCCUAGCUAGGGUUUUUGGGUUUAAUUUAGGUUUAAUUAGUCAAUUUAUUUGGCUAAUUAAACCCUAAAGAAUAAAUUGGUGGUUACAAAAUUGAUUAUUUGUAUAAAUGGGGUAAUAAAAUGGAGAAAGGUGAAAAAGGUUAGGAAAAGGGAGGUGGCCGGCUUCUUAGUGGUUUUAGGUGUGAGUGGGUGUUUUAAUUGAUAAUUAAGGGAUUCAUUAGGUAAUUAAUCAAUUUUUAGGGAAUAUGAAAGGAAAAUAUUAUUUAGCUAAUUGAUUAGCUAAAUAAUGGAAUACAAAAUAUAUAGAACAAAUUAGGUAUUAGGAAUUACCUUAUAGAAAGGAUUUGAUGAAAUAAGCUUUAAAUUGUUACCUAUUUUGGGCACUUUUGACUUGGUUGAGGAUGAUUGUCUGCCGCUCACGCGUAGGAAUCUCGAUAUGCCUCAAGGGUAUUUUUGUUCUCUUUUACCCAAAAAUCCACGUGUCGCCUUGUGAUUAUUUUGGCUCCACAACAACCACGUCAGCAUUUAACAGACCAAUGGAUGGAAAAUCUAACGGAGGUAUUAUUUUGAAAUAAAAUAACAAGUGAGGUAUGAAAGUGAAAUGUUUUAAAGAUGUUGUAUGGGGUUGUAAUAGACCUCAAACUUGAGGGUCCUAUGUAAUUUACCUAUUUUUAUGUUAAUUAUGAAUAGGUCAAUCAUGUAGAACCAAAUUAAAAGCUAACAUCAAUAACAACUACCAGAGACAAAAGCUCUAAUCAAUGCUUCGGAAACAUAGUCUUGUAUCUCUAGGUGUAAUGAUAUAAUUUGUUGGAAACUUAAAAGAAAAUUGGUGAUUUUGUAUAUAAUCGAUAAAAAGUUAUAAUAGUGACAAUAUAUCAGUAAUAUUUAUGUUAAUUAGGAAUAGGUCAAUCAUGUAUUUAAUACUUACAUGCAUUUAAAAUAAACACCUUAUCAAUGUUUUUUUAACUGUGCUCAGUUUUUCUCCUUCGCUUUGGUUUUGUUCUAUUGGAUUUUUCAACUAUCAUUAAUUGUGAACAUAACUGAUCAUUGAGACACAAACAUCCAAGGGAGAGUACCGUGGAACAAAAUGUGGAUAUCUUUAUACAUUGUAUGGUAGUAAACCAUCAUAAACACCAUAAUAAUGUAGAAACGCUCUUGGGGUACCUUUGGAUGAUAACUCAUGUAUUUGUUGCCCUACGUAAAGAUGGCUAAUGAUAAUGGAAGUCUAAUUUUCUCAUCCCAAUCUCUCCUGUCUCUCUUGUUCUCUUUUCUCUAUAGUUUAUUUCCAACAAGUUGUGUUAUUUUUUUUUUUUAGUAUUGUUAAGCAACCAAUAGAUUUUAAUUAGCAGUCUUUGUUUUUUUCUUUUAUAUUUUUAAUCAAUUUCAGUUGCUUAUCCGUUCUAGCAAAUUGAGCUCUUUUACAGCAAUUUUUUUCUUUAAAUGAAAUUAUUAUUAUUAAAAGAGUGAGAAAAUUCGAAAUUAUUACAACAAUUUAAAAAAAAGAAGUUUCGAAUCAUAAACACAGAGGGAGUUUACAACAUUUUAAUUAAGAAAUUAGGCUUCAGCUCAACUCAUCUUUGCAACGUCGGUUCCACUUCACAUCAACAUGCAAUGUUUCAGAAGGUCACGCGGUUUUGGGGUUGUUGUGUACCAAUAAUAUUAUAUAUAUAUAAAUUAGGAUUGAAGGAUACACGCAUUUUGUAGAGCUUAUUUUGUUAUGUAUUUUAAUGAUUUAAAUGCUUACGUUUUUCUUCACUACAAAUGAGUGAAUUAAUGAUUUUAGAAUUUGUCUAAUUUUUUACAUUGAUUAUUUAUGAAUAUUGAAUUGAAAUAUAGACGAUUCAAAAAUCGUUGAUAUACAUUACAAAAUGAACUCCACAAAAUAAGCGUCAAAAUAUGUAUAUAAAAUGGACAGCGUGAAAGGCUUGGAAAUUGGAAUAGGUUUGAAAAUUGUGCUUUUUGUAGCAAAUUGUAGCAAAGUUUGCUUGGACUUUCACAACCGUAUAAAUUAUGCCGCAGCACUCUCUAUUUUCUCUCUCGCUCUAUAUCGUGGUCCCUCUCUCUCGCCGUCCUCGAUUGCUCGAACUCACUAUCCUUUAUUGCUCGAACUCACCGUCCUCAAUUGCUCGAACCCACUGUCCUUUAUUGCUCGAACUCACUGUCUCCAACUUCCUCUGUUUGGUUCCCGAUGAAGAUGGUAAAACAGUAGGGGCAAGAAAUUAUGACAAUGUUAGAUUUGCAUAUUAAUCUGGUAGGGCUACAAUUCUCCAAUCCACACCCCUUCCAUCUAUGCUAGUGUUUGUACCCAAUAUUAGAUAUCCGGUCUGUGCAAUCGAGAUCGUUGAAUGAGAAAAAUUCUAAGCCGUGGGAUCAAAUAUAAUGAUGUGGAUUAAAUAAGAAAAAUUUAAAUGUUUAUCUUGGUUGAAUUACCAUGAUAAUAUUGUGGAAUUAUCUUCUGCAUAACGGGAUAGCGAGAAAAGUCCAAGGGUGUAGGGAAGUUGUGUGGCUGACUACCGCUUUUUUUUAUGGUGUCAUUAGUAGAGUAAUAUCACACUUAACAUUUAUUUGUACCAUCUCUCUAAUAAAGAUAAAGACCAUCAAUGCAUAAAUAAUGAUACAAAUAUAUAAUAAGAGUAUCAUAUUUGUAACUAGAAUAGGAGAAGAAAGACUUCAAGAUGGGGUCAGCCAAAUAAUUAGCGUCAGGAUAAAAAUAUGAGUAAUGAUAUUUGUAAACAUCGAAAUUUCGGUAAAUAAAUGUUGACCGAUAAAUCAAAGUUUCAACGCUCAUGUAUUACAUAAAUUUUACACGUAGCGUAUGUCUAAACAAAAAAUCGAAAUAAGUUGGAAAAGUCAUCAAACAGGACACAUGUCAACACCUGGCAGAAACGACUUAUUUCAUCUGGAAUAUUAUAUUCAAAAUUAGGCAUUGGAAAAUUCUAUAAAUAGAAGCCAAUUUCAUUCAUUUGAAGGAACCAAAAUCAUUAGGCAAAAUUCUUGAAGCUCUGAAGCUCUGAAACUCCGAAACUCUCAAGCAUCCAGGUUCCCGAAGAAUCAAGAAAGCUCUCUUCGUUCUUCGUUCUUCGUUCAUCGUUCAUCCUAAGAUCAAGCUCCAACGGCCCUUUAGAUCAACAAUCAUCCACUAAUUCAAGAUCAAGCCCCGACGGCCCUUGAAGAAAGUGUUCUUCAUUCUUCGUUCAUCGUUCUUCCAAGAUCAAGCCCCAACGGCCCUUUGGAUUAACAAUCAUCCACCAAUUCAAGAUCAAGCCCCAACGGCCCUUGAAGAAAGUGUUCUUCGUUCUUCGUUCAUCGUUCUUCCAAGAUCAAGCCCCAACGGCCCUUUGGAUUAACAAUCAUCCACCAAUUCAAGAUCAAGCCCCAACGGCCCUUGAAGAAAGUGUUCUUCGUUCUUCGUUCAUCGUUCUUCCAAGAUCAAGCCCCGACGGCCCUUGGAUCAACAAUCCACCAAUUCAAGAUCAAGCCCCAAAGACCCUUGAAGAACUUCUACCAAUUCAAGAUCAAGCCCUGACGGCCCUUGAAGAAAGUGUUCAUUGUUCAUCAUCCGUUCAUCCCGAAGAAUCAAGAAAGCCUUAUUCGUUCUUCGUUCAUCGUUCUUCCAAGAUCAAGCCCCGACGGCCCUUGGGUCAACAUCAUCAACAAAUCCACACAUCCAACCGUUCUUCAAGAUCAAGCCCAAAAGCCCUUGAAGAUCCGUUCAUCACCGUUAUUCAAGAUCAAGCCUUAACGGCCCUUGAAGAAACACUCAUCCUCAAGAUCAAGCCCCAACGGCUCCUUGAAGAUCCGCUCAAAUCCACCUUCAAAGAUCAAGCCCACGGCCCCUUGAAGAAACAUCCAACAGUUCAUCCAAGAUCAAGCCUCGACGGCCCUUGGAUCAACGAAACAUCUACAAAUCAACACCUUACGGAGAUCGAAUCAGAUGAUCAAAUUAGAGAGAGAUUGUAACCCUAAAUCAUCAAAAUACAAAUAUUAUUUUGUGCACGUUGUUCUUAUCUCUUUCGUUUCAGGAAAUUUUCGUGUUCACAAUAUUCUUACCAUCUAAAUAUACUAUAAUUUUAUACCAUCUUAUGUGGCAAUUGAGAUGGACUUCCACAUAAGUUUUAAAAAAAUCUCAUGUCAGCUAAGGUGGAUAUUUACGAUUUUACGAUUUUACUCAAUGAUUUUUAUUAAUAAAAUAAUUAAAAAAUAAUAAUGAAACCUACUUGCUCCCGUUUUCAAGCCUCAUCGCUGGGCCUCCUCCCUCUUCGCUCUCCAAUUUCACCUUCCUUCACCAACGAUCGAUGGUGCUCGACCCCCUUCAUCAUUGCCAACUGGCCGAAUAUCUUGAUGGUGCUCCCAGUGAUUGUUUUGCUCUGCCACCAAAUCAAGUUUGCAAUUUUAAUGGUUUAUGCCUUCUGGCCAAGUGUUGGAUUUGAUAGGUUUUUAAUUCCAGCAACAUUGAACAAAAAUAUGAAAAGGAUUGGAUACGAUAUUUUCCUCUGUUCUACUGCUGAGGAUUUUCCGAAUAGAAGAAGAUUUGGAAGACAACCUCUUUUCUUUUUUCUUCAUGGACUUUUGGUUAGCACCAAAAUCUUUUCCUAAUCCUCUAUAGGAAUGAAAAUUUCAUUCCAUGUUAUAUCCCGAUGUUGUCCAAGGUUUUGGCUUGAAUUUUCAUUGGAAUUAUCAUAUGUUGGAUCAGAUCAGGUGGAGAGAUGAAACGUAUCUAACAAGGAAGUUGAACGGGUAGGGUUUGAGCAAAAAUAAACAGAAAUUCCACCUAGGUUGACACCUAAGCUUCCACAUCAUGUGGUAUACUAAAUGUGGUAUAAUAAGAUGGUAAGAAUAGCAUUAUUGAAUGGGUAAUGUUAAGAGAAAUUUUUAGUUGUGACGGGAACACGGAUGGUACACCAUGCGUUUUUAUGUAAAUGGUGGAAAAUUUUAAUUUUUAAAUUAUUAACCUUUUAGCACACAUAUCCCACCAUUUAUAUGAAAACACGUGAUGUAUCACCUCGUGUGAUAGUCACAUUGAAAAAUCUCUCGUAAUGUUAGGAAAACUAAAUUUAUAAACAAAAGUUACAAAUUAAAUGAUGGGUUACCAAUAAGAAUGAUUACGUUUAUCAAUGCUUAAAUAAUAAAUCAUUCAUCAACUUCCAGUCCUUUAGUUUUUAAAAUUUUGUCUAACAUUACCCUUUCAAAACUCAUGAAAAUAAUUUUCAAUUUUUUUAACUGAAAAGUGAAAGUUACUAAACAAGAUUUCAGUUUUUAGCUUUCAAAAAAAUAAAAACAAAAGCUAAAAAUAAAAUGGUUAUCAAACAUCCCUAGAAGUCAUUCUUAGUGAUAGUAAGGUCAUCUCCAACCGAAAGAUCCAGGGGGCUAGAGGGCCGAAAAUAGUCUGAAAACCAUUUCCAAUCAAAGGCCAUGCCAAAGGGGUCGUGGACCCCAUUAGACAAAAAAGGGCCAAAGGGCCAACUGGCUGGCCCCAGUUCCAACAAUAACUAGAUGACGUCAGUUAACCGUUAUUUUUGAAUUUUUUUUUUAACAAAUUUUAACUUUCUAAGCCAUUAAACAACAUUAAAUUAAGUAAAAAAGAAAAUUCCUAUAACUUCCUAAGUCAUUAAACAAUAUUAAAUUAAGUAACAUGAAACAACAUUAAACAAUAUUAAACAAAAUUAAACAAUAUUAAACAACAUUAAAUAACAUUUAACAACAUAAAAAUUAUACAACAUAAAAAAAAACAUUUAAGAACAUAAAAUUUAAAUGCCUACUUCAUGCUUCUUUUGGCCCAAAGAUGUGCAACAAGAUCCUAAUGUAGGUACUUGUUUGUGGCACGAGAGCGUAUCAUCCUAACCGUUAGAUUUGAUUUUUUUUUGUUUUCGGCCAAAUUUUUUUAAAUUUAAAAAUAAAUUAUGUUUGACCUUUUGGCCCUCGAUUGGAGAUAGUUUUUUUUGUGACAUGACUAUGUUUAGCCCUAUGACCCUUUGGCCCUCAGUUAGAGAUGGUAAGAAAUAUGACCCAACAAUGUUCAUUAAAAUAUUAAUUUCUUGAAGAGCCAGAGGGCUAAAACGAGCCAUCCUUCGGUUGGAGAUGGCCUAAGAAGAGACUAGAGAUAGAGAGAUUCCUAUACUUAGCUGUGAGAGUUUCCUAUAUAUGAUUUUCAUUAACAAGAUUGAACUGAUUACAUAGAGAAGAAGAUCAAGUAUGGUUAUUUUUAUUUGGGAGACUUUGGAUGUGGUCCUUAGUUAUGAAUAUUAUUUGAUUGAAAUCUUGUUGGUUUUUAAUUUUUUAUCAAGAUCCCUGAAAUUAAUGUGAUAAUUUAUUUCUAUGUAAGUUACUAUAUUUUUUUAAUUAGAAAUUAGAAAUUUUAGUUGUUUAUAUAAAUGAGAUUUUAAAUUAAAAAAACCAUAAUUUGUGGGAUUAAAAAUAUUAAAAUAUAAAUAUACUAUUGUGUGUGUGUGUGUGUGUGUGUGUGUAUAAAUAUGGGUACAUUCAUCAAAAUUAACCAAAAAAUUUAUUGUAUCAAAACAUGGGUACAUUCUUCAAAAUCACAAAAAAAGAAAGAUAUUAGGCUUAAUAACAUUAGUAAAUUUCUUCGAUUAAACUUGACAUGGAUACAUUUUAAAAUCAAAGAAAAAAAAUGUACCCAUAUAAGUUUAAAAAUGGAUUAGAAAAAAAAAUUGAAUAGAUUUUAUACAAAAAAAGGGUACGUUUUACAUAUAACAAAUUGGUAUAUUUAAGAAUGAGUACAUUUUAAGAUUAAAAAGUUUUACAUGAAUGGGUUCAUAUAAUUAGCAUGGGUACAUUUAGCAAAAUAAAAAGUACAAAUACAAAAAAAUAUAUGUGUACAAAUACAAAUAAACUUUAAAAAAUAUGGGCACAAAAAGAAAUUAAUAUAUGGGUACAAAUUAAAACCGAAAAGAAAAUUGGUACAAGUUAAAAAAGAAUUACAAAUUAAAAAUGGGUACAAACUAAAACUAAAAAUAUAUGAUAAAAAAUUUAGUCAUAAAUAUAAAUAUACUAAUUGUAACAUUUUUAACAUUAAAUGAAUAUAUUUAGACAUAAAAAAUAUAUUUUAUUAUUGAAAUAAUUAAUGAUGUUAUUAAUACCCAAGGACCUUGAUAAAAAAUUGAAAAGAAAUAGAAUUUUAAUCAAUGGAGUAGCAAAAGAAAAGAUGAGAACCUAAUUUCUCCUUUGUAUUGUGUAGACAUUAUAACUAUACAUUCAUAAUAACAUGAGUAAUGUUAUAUUUAUCACAUUUGUACUCUUUCUCCAAUAAAGAUAGGGUCCAUCAACACAUGUGGGUUCUAUUUGCCCAUCAACACAUGCGAAUCUCAUUUUUAUUAGAAAAAUAGUACAAAUAUGAUAUGGAAAUUAUGAUAAGAUCGCAAUUUUGUAAUAACAUAUAUACUCAACUAUUUAUAUACCAACUCAUCUCCCUUUAGUGUAGUUAAUAUUGUUUGUUCAACCAAAAAAAAAAAAACUGAACUUGUCAUAAUCAUUGAAUCCAUUUACCAUGAACAAACGGCAGUUUACUAAACUUGCCCUCAGAGUAUAUAUAAAAGGUGAAUCACAAUCUAUUGCAUUAAUAUAAGGAAACAAUUUAUAGGGUUUGACGGGUGACUUAAUAUGCUAUAUGGCACAAUGAAAAUUAAGUUCACACUUUAUCCCAAAUAAGGUGUUGCACCUUUAAUUUAUGGAUGCUGGUUUGACGUGUGACCGAAAUAAUCAAAUUGUAGCCAUUAAUCAUUUUACAAGUAAUAAUAUGUGGUUUUAUUGUUUACGAUUCACACAACAAUCUGCUAGGAAGUAGAAAAUGCAGUACUUGUCCCUCUCACAGAAGUCAUGAAUAAUUAUCAAAUUCAAAGAUAAAGAAAAACCACACAAUUUACAAGAGGAAAGAAAAUGAAGGGAUAAAGAAAGUAAGAAAGGAAUACCUCUAUGGGAGGACUCUUAUUUGCUUCAGAUGCCUACAAUAUUCAUCAUAUAAACACUGAUUAAGUAGUCAUCGAAAACCAAAACAAAUGUCGAACAUAGGGUGAAAAACAGAAAGAAUAACCGCAGCUCAUCAUACCAAUAGAGAUAGAACUGCCCGAUGCCCAAGUAUGACUGAAAAAUGGCAAUCCAAACAUGGCGCCUUCUAGCUCAUCAAACUGUCAAAACCUAGGUUCCACCAAAAAGAUACAAGUCACCUAGUUACUUGUAAAAUAAAAAUCUGUUUCAAAAUAGUGGAAAAUAUUAUUAACAUUGUUCAAAGUCCACAUUGUUGUACCUACCAAGAAACAAGAAGGAUUGUAUCUUAUCAUGAAAAAGAACAUAGGUACCUUUUCAAUUGUAAUUGUACAAAAAUGAGAGACCACUUCCGAACUUCUCUUGGAACUUCAAUCAAUUUCUGCCCACUUUUAAAUGCCUUGACAUACUUAAGCCUAUUUCUUUGAGCUUCAGUUUUGGCUUCUGAUGCCUUUAAAUUUCUUAAAGAUUCUUACCAAGUUUUACAAACUCACUUCUAUACAACCAUUUGUCAGUAUACAUACCAUUUUCUUUGAGCUUCAGUCUUUGCAACACCAAAACCCCCCAAAUAGACCCGGAAUUUUGCAAUGUGCAGGGAAUAUACAAAAAAAACCCUCCUAUCCAUCUAAAACGAAAUCAGAACGCAAACCACAAUCAAAAUCCGUAAAAUUAAUUUAGCCAACCCCUAAAUCUAAUAAUUCUAACAAAUAUUAUAGUAUCAAUUGAGAGAGAAUUUGAGAAGAUACCUAGAGAUGAAAGGAAGAGCGUUUCCUCUGAUAGGGGUUCCGUGAAAGCAUCUGUUGACCAGAAAAGAAAAGGCAAAAAACCCCAAAUUACAUAUCAAGCAAUUAUAGAUAGAUCGAACCUUGAAAAUUGAAAUUUCAAACAAGAGAAAGGUUAUAAACUUACAACGAUCUGGGUGUUGGUAACUGGGUUUGGAUUUGGGUUUCUGAUAAGAGAGAGAAUCGUAUGAGGAACCGAUAGAGGAACUGCACCGGCAACAGAGAGCAAUUGAUAUGGUGGAGAACAGACGAGAAUAGCUGCUUGGAUGGUCAAUCCAAGAAGAGAAAAUCUUGCCACAAUCGCGGUACUUGAAAAAAAAAAAAACAAGUUUAAAGGAGGGAAACAAUCGCGCCUUUUUCUAAUAGACUCUGUCGACGAUAUUCUUGACAAAUAGAUGCUUCGUCGGGUGAGCUUAUUUUUCACAACAUUUUAUUUAGGAUUGGGUUCGGUUGGUAAACCGUGUCAAAUUUCUUGUGCCACUUGCCAGCCACAUAUACAUAAUUACCGAAAAUCAGUUACCGUUAGCCAACCGUCUUCUUGCGGUUGCCAAAAAUCGGUUCAGCCAAAAUGAUUGGCUGGUUCGGUUGGUAAAUGGCACAACCGGUGGUUUCCACUUCUUCCUCGCUAUCUUCCAGUUCCAAGGGCUCAAUUUGAUUUUCAGAUUGGGAUGCUUGUUCGGUUGCAUUGUGUGGUUCAUUUUGGGUUAAUCCAUGUUGUGCACUAGUAGUUGAUUGGCUAGACUCCAUUAUCCUAAACAUAAGCAACAAAUAUACAUUCAAAAUAAUAUAUAUGUACGUGUAUAUAUAGUAUCAGUAAUCAUCAUGCUAUCAAUUUUGUUAACAAUAUUUUCUAUAUAUUGAUUUUGGCAUGAAUCAUAUACACAUACAUAUAUUUUUAAAACCCUAAAACUAAGGAGUCAUUUAUUUUCUAAACUCUAAAAUUGAGGAGUCAAGCAUGUAAAAAAAUACUUAAAAUAUCUAAAUAGAAAAAGAAAAAGAAAAAAAAAUAAAUAUAUAUAUAUAUCGGUAGGUAUGGCAUACCGCCGGCAUACAAAAUCAAUUACCAAAGCCAUGCCAUUAAUUGUCGGUUCGGUAAAAUGCCAACCGAUUAUGAAAAAAUGUCAAAACUAUACCAUACCAUUUUGAGCCAACCAGUAUGGUUUGGUCAGUAAAUCGGUUUAUGGCAAAAUUUCUCACCCCUAAUUUUAUUUGUCACCUUAAACCUAUUGGUUUCUAGCCUACAAUUCGGAUAUUUUGUUGGGGAAAGAUUUUUGUACCAAUAAAAUUUUGCUUUGUCGGCAAAAUGACAUUUUCUAGUAGUUAUAAUAUUAGGUAGAUCAAAUUUGUAAACUAUGUGAUGUGUCACUAAUAGGAAAAAAUUUCAGUGUGCUGAAAAUACGGUCUAGAACACCAAGUGUCAUAAUAUAUACUUGGUUGGAAAUCUUUUAUUUUCAAGUUUCCAACUAGUUGUAUUGUAACAGUUGGUGUUCCAAGCUAUUUUCUCCAUGCGCUGGAAAAUCUCUUCACUAAUUAAAAAUAAACAUAUUAAUUAACACUUAAGUAAUAAUCAAAGCAUCAACAACUACGUCAUAGAAUUUACGAAAUAUGAUCUUAAUUAAUGAUCUCCAUUACCCUUUAUCUUAGCGUAUACGUACGCCUUCACAUGUUUAUUUGCUGAUAUGCAGCUUGAGUAAAAAUUUCUUUUUAAGAACAUAUAUGUGAAUAUAAACAUAUAUAUCUAGUGAUCCAUGUUGCGUUAUUUAAAAAUAAACAAAUUAAUUAAUUAAUGAACUGUGUACCUGUCUGUGUAGAGUAAUCCAUAUGCAUGCUUGAAUCCUGAUCACCACGAAACCAUAAUAUAAGCUACUCAAGGCCCGGAAGCUAGGAUUGAAGAGAAAAACACCCAGUCAGAUUAAGCCAAUACAUCAAAGUUAAUACUUCCAAAUGUAAGCUUUAAGAUAGAAAAAUCACUUACUUCCUUGAGCAGUCGAGCUUCUUCAAUGGCAUGAAGCUUUUAGCAUGAGAUUGACUGCAUCACAACUAAAAUUUUCUCUUGGAAACUACAUAAGGAAUAGCAUGUAUACCUAUAACGUUGAGAAAGUACGCCAAUUUUUUCCUUCUGCACAUUCAUGUUUAAAAGUAAUCCUCAAAUGAACUUGCCCACAAUGAAAUGCAAUUUGAGGUAGUCGAGUGUGUUCCAUUUCCAUCCCAUCGGAAUUACUACUAAACUUUGAGAUGGUAGAGGAUUCAUGAAAUUUUUUACUUUUGAAAUAGUCUCCUUAGCAUUUCUCGACUAUAACAAUGAGGAAAUACUUCACCUUGUAUCAAACAAGGGAGACCGAAAAUCAACUACUAAUAGCAUCACAGAGCCAGCAGAAGAUUGAGGAGGCCAUGAAAAGGAAAGAGAAAAUACACUCUUUUUUUGUAAGGACAGAGAUAAUACAUUCAAUAAAGGGUACUGAUGUUUAUAUGCAAAGCUGAUUAGGUUUAAAUAGUCGUAUUUAUUCUGUACAGUGCCAAUAUUACCACCCGUUAGUACACUUUCAAGACACUGUAAUCCAGUGUAUGCACUAUGCAGUACGUAGUACUCCUCAUUUUUUUGGGGAAAUUCAUUAUUGGUCUUCAUAUCUUCUUUAUUUUCCUUGUCCUCAUUGUGCCACGUGUUUAAAUCACUAAUUAUAGGUAAUCUUUCAAUUUAAUUAAAUCUUAUGUAAAAAAAGAUAAUUAAAUAUCAUUUAGUAUUACAAUAUAGUGAUAUUCCUCUUUAGUAUAAAAUUUUUAUAAUUAAAAGCGUUCAGCUUUUUAAUCUUCAUUGGAAUAUUAUCUAUAAAGAAAAAUUAUUCGAAUCAGAGAUCAUUUAUGCAUUCAAAUGUAUAAAAUACAUCGACAGUGUGAGAACCAACUAAUAUAUUUUUGAUGAAGUACAAUUAUUGAAUACAUUUGAACGAUCAAAUGAUAUAUGAUUCAAAAUACAUAUUAAGAUAAUAAAUAUAAAAGAAUUGUUAUUUGCACUUCAAGAAUCUCAUUCUACACUCUAAAUUUUCUAUAUAUUAAAAGAAAAAUAAAUUUGUGAAAAGUGUAGAAUGAGGUUUUUUUAAAUGCUAAUAACACUUCUCUAAAUACAAUUAUGAAAUUAAUUAAGUAAAGAUACAUGACCUCGUGAAUGAUGAAUGUAUUAUUCAAAAAAAUAUUAAAAACAAAUUGAAAAAGGACGCUGUUGUUGCCACCACUUAUGCAAUGAUCGUCGCUGCCAUCACCAACCCCCAACACCCCAUUACAGCUCAUAAAAGCACAUCAUAAGCAAUUUAUGAAAUAAAUUUACUGGAAUACUAAUUUCCCCCUUAGUUUAGGUCACCAAUGUUUAAAUUUAGGGAUCGUGAUAUCCACACACAUUUUUUACUUCUUUCACACUUUUUUUUUCGGUUGUCGGAUCAGAUGAAUUGAAGAAAAUCAAUGAACAGAAAUUAACAAGGGGUGUGUGAGAAGUAAAAAUGAAUGUGUGGAUAACACACCCCUAAAUUUAUCACAACUUUCAUUCCAAAUUUAAUUUUUAUCCGUAGUUUUGUUUGUUCAAAUUUACUUUGACAUUUCCAUUAGUAUUAAAAUCUAAUUUAAAUUUUAGUGUUCAAGCUAGAAAAAGUGUUCCAUUUAAUAUUUAAUCUCAGUUUUUCUCUUUAUUCUUUUAUUGGGAUUUGGUUGCAUCGUAUCUCCAUUUUUCUCGGUGUUGUAUGUUCAUAAGGCCUGUGAAACGUUGGCACGGAGUGAAGGGUACUCACUUUUUGGCCCAAAAUGCAUAAGGCAUGUAGAUAUGUUAAUCAAAUUUUGUAAACUAAAGGAUAUAGAAGUUGAUAAUUAGAUUAUAAUUUAAGAUAAUACUAAGGAGACUAAAUUUGCAAACUAAAUGAUGUGUCACCAAUAAAAAUAAGCACGUUUAUCAACAAUUAAGUAAUAAAUCAAUCAUCAACUUUCAUGUCCUUUAGUUUCCAAGAUUUAAUAUACAAAUUUAGUCUCCCAAGCAUUACUCUAUUACUUAAGUAUUGAUUAACAGACUUAUUUCUUAUGGUGACACAUUAUUUAGUUUACAAUUUUAGUCUACCCAACAUUACUCUUUUGAAAUUGUCUUGUCCACUGAUAUAAUUCUAUUUUUCUUGUGAUCAAAACUUCAAAUGUUAGCAAGUCGCACGUAAAGUCGCUUAUGAGAGAAUGUGCUCACAUUGUAGUUGAAAGAUUAUGUGGCUAGCAACAUUACAAAUUUAAUUUGGUAUAAUUCUAAAAUAUAGAUUGAGGAAAAAAUGAUCACAUUAACUAGAAACUGAAAAGGUUUCAGCACAGUUUGUUCAAGCAAGAAAUUCAAUUUUGAUGCUACCGAUCUUAACAGCCUGAGCGCCGUACCUGGGCACCAAAGUCACCACCACACUCUCAUCAUCUUCAGCACCCAAAUCCUCCAACAGGUCCGUUAACCCCAACCUUAAACAACUCUUGCUCUUUUCCUUCUGCUUAUGUGGCACACUCACAAAACUCCCAGCAAACUCGCUCUUGUCGGGUCCACUCGGUGCCGCAUCCUCAUCGUCCACGUCAUUCACAUACACACAUCAAACUUCACAGCCACAUCUUUGUCAAGCUCAAUCCCCUGAAUCACCAAUAUCUCCUCCUCAUCCUCUUUCUCCUUCUUGCUCCUCUUCUUCGGCUUCGGCCUUGACACCACCGUACUUAUCUUCGUCUCCAAAUUUAUUGGAAAAUCUUUACCCGCCACCACCUUCCCUGAUGACGUCGUCUCAGUGGCCUUCGCCACUCCAGCCGCCUUUGCCUUUCUCGCAAGCUUUGUCCGACGUGGCGUCGGUCUAGACUUGAGCCAUGGAAUCUCAACAUCUUCAUACGUAUACCCUAGCUUUUUAUUAUCAAGAGUGUCCCUCACCGUGACCCUAACAAGCUCAGCAUUCUCGUCAUAAAACAAAAACCCCGUAUCCAACCAAUCCUUAUCGUUAAUAUCGUUAUUUUUAGUCCCUAUACUUUUCCAAAUAUUCCACAUUCGAUCUAUAUUCGAAUGGUGCGAAAAAAAUAUUGGAUCCCUUGCAGCGGAGUAAAAAUUCCCCAUGUCUUCAAAAUUAGGCUGCGUGUUAUCUCCGGUCCAUAAAUGAACCGGACCAUGUGGGGUCGUUUCGAUUGAACCGCCCCCUGGAUCUGGUUCAGUGUCAGCCCUGUAGGGCGAACCAAAGAACAACAGCGGUUUCUUGGAGUUGGAAACCAUCUGCCUAUACAUGAUUUUGAGGUUGGCGUCGAUUUGAGCAUCCUUGGACAUUGUUUCAUCCGUGCCGUUGAAGUCAAGAUCGAUGAGAGUCGGCGGCUGAUGGCUGGCAGCGCGGAGCUCGUCGUAAAGCGGAGAGUCCGGGUUAGCGAACAAGGCAGGGAGUUGCAUGCCAGCUGGCGCGUCCCAGUUCCAAAACGGCAACGCGAACGUCGGAUCGUCUAUGAGUUUGGCCAAGAUUCUUUCGUAGAAGUAUACGUAGUAACGAUGGAAGGGGAAGAAAAGCCAGCAUUGAUGGAUUUGGAGCUCGAGGUUGGGGAAGCCGACUUGGUCGUACGCGCCGUCGCAAUAGGCACAGUGGAGAUCGGCUUGCUGGGUGAAGCUACGCGGAUCGUCGUCCGGGAGGGCUUUCAUGAGCUCGAUGGCUUUUGAAUAUUUUUCGAUGUAGGCUUUAUCCACGGUGUGAGCUGCCGGCCUGACGCGGAGUUUGGUAGGGGAGGGGAAUUUGAAGUCUACGAUUUUUUGGGACGUUGGCGGGCAACAGUUGAUCGGGACUGCUCCACUUGGAAAGUCCGCAGCUCCGCAUUUGGCUAGGUCAGGCGGCAACACUGGCUUUGCAACAGCGAAGGGGUCGCUGCCAAGACCAGCCACUCCGGCUUUGCAACAGCGAAGGGGUCGCUGCCAAGACCAGCCACUCCACCGUAGAGGCUUCCGAGACCUAUAAGAAGAUAGAAUUCAGUUCUUGGCAGUAGAGGACUCUAUUGCAGGGAAAAACUGAUUUGAAUUAGGAAGGCUUAAGUAGUUUUCCAUAAGGAUUUUAAUAGGGAAUCCAUAUUCUAAUAUGAGAAGGAUAUGUGUGUACAUAUAUAUAUAUAUAUAUGGCAAUCUCUUCUCUCACAGGUGUGUGCUCUUUUGGAACUAAGCCCUAUUCUUAGUUUGAGUGAUAAAUACCCUGACAGAGAGAAGAAGAAUUGAUGUGCUUUUCAGGUUGAUCGAGAUCCACCAUGACUGCAUCAAACGGGAGUUCUACAGGUUAGUAUAAUUAGGUUUUAUUUGGAUUGAUGUUUUGUGUCUACUUGGUUGUAGUUUAAGUAACUGAAUCUUGCAGCUAGAUUUUGGUUUACAUGUGGUAUCAGAGCCAUAGAUUCAUGUUCUUAAAUUCAAUCGAUAAAAUUGAUUGAAUCCAAAAUAAAAUUCCGAUCUUCAGACUUCGAAACAGGUUCUGGUAGUUAAAAUUAGGAAAAGAAGAAACGGUGCGUUUUGAUUAAAAUAUGAUGAUUAAUACUUGACCGUUAAGAGCUAAUAAACUAUCUUCUCUUCCGAAUUGGGAAUACAAAUCGACAUCUAUCGAUUUCGAUUUCGGGGUUUGAAAAACUGGGUUAUAUGACAUCUAUCGAUUUCGAUUUCGAGGUUUGAAAAACUGGGUUAUAUGAAUUGUUAUUGAGUAUCCACAAUUUAUAUUAAUUGCUUCCGCUGCUGGGUGUUGAUGCUCAUAGAACAAACGGGUAUGUCUCCUGAACAUUGAAUUGAAAUUUGUUUUUUAAUCAAUCUUAUCUUGAAUUUCAUUAUGUUCUACAGCAUGAUUCGAAUAGUGAGCAUAAAAAUAUGCUUAUUUAUGCUGAUUAGUCCUAUGUUUAUGCGUUUUUCUCUAACCAUCUAUGGAAGGGAGUUCUUCGAUAAGAACCUCUGCAGAUUUCACUUGUUUUAUGCAGAAAGUUUUAUGAAGAACUGUUCAUUUGAUAAAGAUCUGCUAAAACUGUGUUCUUAAAUGGAAAAAUCUUUUAUUCUAUAUGUGCUUAUCAAUUCUUCAUUGUUAAGAUUAUAUAUAUGGAUAAAAGGUUUUGAUGAUAUGAUGUACAAAGGAUUGUGAGAUGAAAUCUGGAACUCUAAACGUUCUUCUGUGAUUCAUUGUGAUUUCAUUGUGCUACAGUGUCUGCAAUAUCAAUGAAGACUCUGAAUUUGGCUAACAUCCCAAUUCUUACUGGUGGGGGAAAUUACAAGAAGUGGAGAAGGGAAAUCAGUUUGCUGUUGACUCUAAACGAGUUUGAUAUAGCAAUCGAGAAUCCCAAACCCGUGGUCAAUGAUCAGAGCAGCACAAGGGCUGAAAAGGCAGAUUUUGAGAGAUGGACAAGGGCUAAUAAGGUAGCAUUGUCCAUCCUUGAGAGUGGCAUGACUGAUACAAUCAGAUGAGGAAUUAAGAAGCACGAUUUGGCUGCUGAUUACCUAAAAGCUAUUGAAAAGAAAUUUCAAGAAUCUGAAAAAGCUGAAGUGAGUCAGUAUAUGUCUUUAUUAACUACUUACAAGAUGGAGGGUACAAGCUCUAUAAGGGAUCACAUAAUGAAGAUGACAUAUGCUGCAGAAAGACUCAAUGCAAUGGAUAUAAACAUAGGUGAAAAGCAGUUAGUAUUCAUGAUUCUUCAAGCACUUCCCAGUAAAUAUAGUCAGUUGAAGAUCUCCUACAAUACUCAAGACAAAAACUGGGAUAUUGAUCAGUUGAUUGCACAGUGUGUGCAAGAAGAAACUCGUCAAAAACAAGAAAGAGGCAAAGAAGUUGAGGACAUCAACUUUGUGCAAACUAUAAAUGACAAAAAGCAGUUCAACAACAGAAGCUUUUCUGGUUCUGGUAAGAGUUCUAAGCCUUUUAAAACUUCUAAUAAGUUCAGUAAUUCUGCUAAAGUAGUUGACUCCCCUAGAAAAUCUAUCAAGUUUAAAGCUAAACCUAAAGAUGUGUCUAAAUUAAAAAUGUUUUUGGUGCAAAACUAAGGGCCAUUUAAAAGUUAACUGUGAAAUUUUCAAAGAUUAUGUAAAGAGCAAAGAAAAGGAACAAGUACUUGUCUGUAUUGAAUCAAAUUUGUGAAGUAUACCUGUUGAUUCUUGGUGGUUUUGAUAUACCGGAUGCUCAGUGCAUAUAACUAAUUCUUUAAAUGGUUUUCAAAAACAAAAGGAAUUUGGAAAUGCUACAUAUAAUGUUUUUGUUGGGGAAGGAACUAAAGUUGCAGUAGAGUCAAUUGGGAUAGUCAAAUUAGUCUUAUGUUCUGGUUAUGUUUUAGAGUUGAAAGAUGUGUGCUAUAUGUGCCUAAGAUGAGAAGAAACUUAAUUUCUGCCCUCUAAAAUUGUAAAAGAUGGUUUUUCUUUUCUUGGUGAUGAUGAGUGCCUCAAAAAUUUUCAAGAAAAACUGUCCUUGUCCUAACACUAUUUUAGGGACUGCUUUUUUGUCUGAUAAUUUAUGGAAUCUAAAUUGCACUGUUAAGGCACUCAAUCACACGAUUUUCAGCAUUAGUACUAAGAGAAUGAUAGGUCAGGAUACUUCAUACAUUUUAUGGCACAAAAGACUAGGACACAUCUCUAAAGAAAGGAUAAUUAAGCUGUAAAAAACUGACUUGAUUCCAAAAUUAGAUCUUUCUACUGCAACUGAAUGUGUUGACUGCCUAAAGGGUAAAAUGACCAAUUUUAGAAAAACAGAUGCCAAAAUGAGCCAGGGGUUACUUGAAAUCAUACACACUGAUAUCUGUGGUCCUUUUCCAGUUAAGACAAUAUGUGGAAACAAGUAUUUCAUUAAUUUCAUAGAUGAUUUUUCAAGGCUGGGAUAUACCUUUCUGAUUAAUGAAAAAGCUGAUGCCCUUAAGUGUUUUAUAAUUUACAAAACUGAGGUUGAAAAACAGUUAGGCAAGGUUAUUAAAAUUGUUAGAUCGGAUAGGGGAGGUGAAUACUUUGGCAGGUACACUGAAUCCGGGCAGCAAAAGGGACCAUUUGCUCUCUAUCUCGAGAAGAAUGGUAUUGUGGCGCAGUACACCACACCUGGAACGCCUCAACAGAAUGGUGUUUUUGAAAGAAGAAACAGGACUCUUAUUGGUAUGGUUAGAAGCAUGAUGUCCAGAUCAAAAUUGCCAGGAUUCUUGUGGGGAGAAGCUUUGAAAACAGCUAAUCAUAUAUUGAAUCGAGUUCCAAGCAAGGCAGUAUCUACCACACCCUAUGAGUUAUGGCAUGGGAGAGUUCCUAGUUUUACUUAUUUCCAUGUUUGGGGUUGUAAAGCAGAAGCUAAGUUAUAUAAUCCUAAUGAAAGAAAGCUGGAUUCAAGGACUCAGUCAUGUUAUUUUAUUGGCUAUCCUGAGAAAUCAAAAGGAUACAGGUUCUAUAUCCCUCAAGGUCACACUCGGAUCCAAGAGACACACAAUGCAGUUUUCCUAGAAGAUGAAGAUGUCUCUCAUUUGUCAAGGGAAAAUUUCAUAUUUGAAGAGAUGCAUUCAGAUGGUGGGGACCAUGUGACAAUGGAUUAUAAUAUCGGUCUCAUUGUUUCCCAAUCAAUCAUCAAUUGCCAUUGAAGAUAUGAGUGAAGAUUUAGGAGUUCCUGAUGACAACUCUGUAGGAGUUGAUUCCACAACAUAAGCUGCAACAAUUCCUUUUGCAGAAGCAUGUGAACCAGUUGCUGUUCCACCUCCAGUUGAAAUCAGAAGGUCACAAAGAGCUCGGAAAACCACUGCAAGCAAUGACUAUGUGUACUUAUAAGAGACUGAGUUCGAUAUUGGUGACAUUUGAUGAUCCUCUUACAUAUACUCAGGCAACUGAAAGUCCUCAAGCAGUUCUUUGGAACAAUGCAAUGAAGGAUGAGUUAGAUUCAAUGUCCAAAAACCAGGUUUGGACAUUGGUGGAAUCCAACUCUGAAAUUAGGCCAAUAGGCUGCAAGUGGGUAUAUAAAACCAAAAGGGAUGCUGCUGGAAGAAUUGAAAGAUAUAAAGCAAGGUUGGUUGCUAAGGGGUUUACUCAAACGGAGGGGAUCGACUAUAAUGAUACUUUCUCUCCAGUUUCCUCCAAAGACUCCAUGCGAGUUAUCAUGUCUUUAGCUGCCUACUUCGAUCUUGAAUUACAUCAAAUGGAUGUAAAAACCGCUUUUCUUAACGGAGACUUACAAGAGGCUAUAUACAUGAAACAACCUGUUGGAUUUGUUGAAAAGGGGAAAGAGAAUUUAGUAUGCAAGCUCAAUAAGUCCAUAUACGGCUUGAAACAAGCAUCAAGGCAAUGGUACCUAAAGUUUGAUCAAAUUGUCUCUGCAUAAGGUUUUGUAGAAAACAAACUGGAUGAUUGUAUAUACAUUAAGUUCUCAGGUUCCGAGUUCAUCUUCUUAGUACUUUAUGUUGAUGCCAUUCUCCUAGCUAGUUCAUGUCCCCAAUUGCUUCAUAGCAUUAAGAGAAUGCUAAGUGAUAACUUUGAGAUGAAAGAUCUUGGAGAAGCACAUUAUGUACUAGGAAUAGAGAUUGUUCGAGAUAGGAAAAUGAGGCUCCUUGGUUUAUCUCAAAAGGGGUACAUUGACAGAGUGUUGGAGAAAUUUCAUAUGGCAAAUUGCAAUUGUGGUCAGGUUCCAGUCAAUAAAGGUGACAAGUUUUCGAAGAUUCAAUGUCCAAGAUCUGAUUUGGAGGUGAAGAAAAUGCAAGCUAAGCCUUAUGCCUCGUUGAUUGGAAGUCUUAUGUAUGCAACUAUCUGUACAAGGCCUGAUAUUGCCUUCAUAGUUGGUAUGCUAAGACGAUUUCAAGCAAAUCCUGAGAAGCACAUUGGGGGUGGCAGCCAAGAAGGUUCUUCGAUACUUGCAGAGAACCAAAACUCACAUGUUAGUAUAAUGGCCGAACUGAUUCUUUGGAGCUCAGGGGGUAUAUACUCGGAUUUAGCUGGAGAUGUGGAUGACAGGAAGUCCACAGGGGUUAUAUCUUCAUACUCAAUGGAGGGGCAGUUUCGUGGAAAAAUGCAAAGCAAACUAUUAUAGCCACAUCAACUAUGGAAGCUGAGUUUGUAGCCUGUUUUGAAGGCAUGAAACAGGCAGCAUGGUUGAAGAAUUUUUUGACAGAUUUAAAGAUUGUGAAUUCGGUUCAGAAACCAGUAACAAUGUUCUGUGAUAAACAACUCGGCUGUGUUUUUUGCUAAGAAUAAUAAAAGGACUUCAGCAUCUAGAUUUGGAUGGACGAAGUUUCUUAAGGUCAGAGAACAAGUCAAGAAAGGAGUUAUUGAAGUACAGCACAUUAGCACUACUAUGAUGAUUGCUGAUCCCUUGACUAAGGCACUGCCAAUUGGAGAAUUCAAGAAACAUGUUUCUUCAAUAGGAGUACUAGAAGGUUUUGAUCAGUGGGAGUAAUCACGUGUGUGUUAAAGGCUUGGGAUUGCAGAAGCAGAAGUAUAUAUGUGUUUCAAGAACUGUAUGUGCAAUUCUGACAAGCUGAACUAAGGAUGCUUUAUGUUUUAACUUGCUUUAGUUAGUUUGUUAAGGUUGUUUGUGUUUUAAUAAGUGUCCUUGUCUGCUACUCAAUACUUUGGCUUUCAGGUGUUGAGGUACGGAUACUGGACUGAGUUAGAAUUUAGUUUCAUUAGUAACUUUGAAAGAACAGUUUGUCUGUUUUUUAAGUUUGUGGUUAAUGAUGUUAUAUAGUCAAUUACUAUGUUGCUUUUCUGUGAAGAUUAAUGUGUGUUGUGAUCUUUUGAAAAGUGGGAGCAUAAUGUUUGACGGUUUAUGUUAGUCAUGAGUCAUAUUUACAAAUUGAAUAUAUGUGAGCCUUGAAUUAAUACUACAAUUUGGUUGUGGUCUGAGAUUCUUGGUUUCUAUAUUUUGAGAUGUAAUGGGACAGUGGUCAUGAUGGUUAAAUCUUAGAUGAGGUUAUGUGAUCACUUCUUAUGAUUGGUGACGGCAAGGUUUGAUCUUUGUCUCAUGUUCAAGUGGGAGAAUGUAAGAAUGUGAACAUGAGAUAAGAUGAUCGGAUAUUAGUUGUUUGAGUCCAAUCCGAAUAAGAAAGCCUCUAAGAAGAUGGAAUUCAGUUCUUGGCAGUAGAGGACUCUAUUGCAGGGAAAAACUGAUUUGAAUUAGGAAGGCUUAAGUAGUUUUCCAUAAGGAUUUUAAUAGGGAAUCCAUAUUCUAAUAUGAGAAGGAUAUGUGUGUACAUAUAUAUAUAUAUAUGGCAAUCUCUUCUCUCACAGGUGUGUGCUCUUUUGGAACUAAGCCCUAUUCUUAGUUUGAGUGAUAAAUACCCUGACAGAGAGAAGAAGAAUUGUUGUGCUUUUCAGGUUGAUCGAGAUCCACCAUGACUGCAUCAAACGGGAGUUCUACAGGUUAGUAUAAUUAGGUUUAUUUGGAUUGAUGUUUUGUGUCUACUUGGUUGUAGUUUAAGUAACUGAAUCUUGCAGCUAGAUUUUGGUUUACAUAUUUUUCGAUGUAGGCUUUAUCCACGGUGUGAGCUGCCGGCCUGACGCGGAGUUUGGUAGGGGAGGGGAAUUUGAAGUCUACGAUUUUUUGGGACGUUGGCGGGCAACAGUUGGUCGGGACUGCUCCACUUGGAAAGUCCGCAGCUCCGCAUUUGGCUAGGUCAGGCGGCAACACUGGCUUUGCAACAGCGAAGGGGUCGCUGCCAAGACCAACCACUCCGGCUUUGCAACAGCGAAGGGGUCGCUGCCAAGACCAGCCACUCCACCGUAGAGGCUUCCGAGACCUAUAAGUACAUUUCUUCUGUCUAGGUUUACUAGAGAAGGGUUUUCAUGGUCGUGAUCGUUGGAGCUAGUGGAAGGGUUUUUGUUUUGGUCACUACUAUUAUUUGUGGCUUUGCACGAGACAGCUUGUAAAUUGGAAUGCCUAGGGUUUCCAAAUGAGGAUAUUCGGUGAUACUUUUGGGAGAAAGGGGAGAGAGAAGUUGUGGGGAUGAUACUUGUGGCGGAGGUGACGAGUGGAGCUGACAUAGAAGCCAUGGUACUUGACUCUGAAUAAUACGUUGUAUUGGCUUUGCUUUUAUAAUGUGUUCUAGGUUUUACGUUUCUUUGCACGGGUGGCAGGCCGUACACACGUGGUCGGUCCUUAAGGGUUUGACGAGGAAUACUACGCAGUCAUUUAGUACAUGACAACCAUACACUAUAGCACGUGGCAUGUAUUUAGAGAUCGAGAGAGAAUUGGGUAAGGUUCACGAGGGAUUGUAGUUUCAGAAGGUGAAUUGGUUUUGGUCUUCUUGUGUACCAAUAAUUUUUACUUAGUCAUUUAGUGCAGGACAACCAUGCACUAUAGCACGUGGCAUGUAUUCAGAGAUCGAGAGAGAAUUGGUUGGGUAAGGUUCACGAGGGAUUGUAGUUUCAGAAGUUCAAGCGGUUUUGGGCUUGUUGUGUACGGCUGUGGGUCUGCUGUCACGGACUCUCUGUCUCAUUUGUGUCUUAUUUUUUAUUUUUUGACACGUUUUAACGUCAAAUCAUUAUAGCAAUGUUAUGCAAUUGGGAGCUAAAUGACCGAUGCUCUUAUUUUUUAGUUUGCUUUUUUUCCAGAUCUGAUCAAAUCAUGAUAGCAAUGUUAUGCAAUUUUCAAGAGGGAGAGAUGCACCUGGGAGAGAAACGGUACGGUGACUUCUAAAUCACCGUCCAACAGAACAAUUCUCAGUAGAGACUACUAGAGAGAGAUGCACCUCACCAAUGAAAAAUUUAACUGCAAAAAUUCUGGGUAUCGGGAGUUGUGGGGUGGGUCUUGGCAGUUUUCUUAUUUCUUUGAAUUUUUUAUAAUUUAUUUUAUAAAAGUAACAGUGUUUUGUGGGGGUUAAAUUGUAAAACACGUGUCAUCAAACUAAAUAAAGAGACACCAAAGAGACAUGGAAUUCGGGACAACAGACCCACAGCCGUUGUGUACGGAGGCAGACUCUCUGCUCUCCUACUUUCUGUGUCCUCCUGUUUUGUGUAGUCACGAUUAAAUCACGUCAAUAUUUUAUAUUAUUAUUUUAUAGAUAUAAUAAGACAAAAAAGAAUAGUAAUUUAAAAUAUUAACGUGACUUAACUGUGACCACACGAAUAGGAAGGCAUGAGAAGUGGGAAGGCAAAGAAUAUGCCUCCGUUGUGUACCAAUAAUAUUAUAUAUAUAUAUAUAUAUAUAUAUAUAAUUAGGAUUGAAGGAUGUAGAGCUUAUUUUGUUAUGUAUUCUAACAAUUUAAGUGCUUAUCUUUUAGGUUUUCUCUUAAACAGCAUGCCUAUAAAAAAUCACCAAAAUUCAAACCAUAUGACCAUUAGAUCCAUAGUCAUUUUAGUGUUAAAUGAACUUCACAAAAUAAGUCUCAAAAUAUGUAUAAAAAAUGGACAGCGUGAAUGGUUUGGAAAUUGGAAUAGGUUUGGAAAUUGUGCUUUUUGUAGCAAAUUGCAGCAAAGUUUGCUUGGACUUUCACAACCGUAUAAAUUAAACUGUUCGCUUUGUUGGGAAAAACAAGUUUGCCGCUGGUCUUGGGUUCCAAGAUCGGCCAAUUUGACGGCACACUUUUUGGCGUUGAGAAGCAGUACGGAGAUGUGCAGAUUAACUUGGAUUGAUACUCCUCCAUCUUCGUUGGUUCGUGUAUUGAACAAAGAUGGCCUUCCUUGCCCUCCUUAAUAUUUUUUGUUCUUCCUGCAGUGGAGGCGGUGACGCCUUGCUCUUGGUGCAGCGUCUAGUGUUCUGUACCCUCCUCUUCUGCAUAUGUUUGUAUUUCCCCUCGUUGCCCCUUCUAAGUGGGCUUCCUAUUGUUUUGGCUUCGGCCCUGGUUAUGAAAUAUUUCCAAUCUUACCCAAAAAAAAAAAAAAAAAGAAGAAGAAGAAGAAGUCAAGCACGGUGGGAGACUGGUCAUAGUUUCUAGAUUGAUGCUCUAAUUCUAAUGUUAUACAACGCGUACGCUAAAAUAUUUUUAUCAAAAUAUUAGUUUUAGUGUUAUCAAAACAAUAAUGUUAUUCUUACCAUGUUUUUGUAUCACAAUUAUAUACCACCUUAGAUGGCAUAUGAUGUAGAUAGCCACAUCAUUUAAAUUAAUAAGCAUUUAAUUUCAAAUGUUAAUCAAUAAUUAAUAAAAUGAUUGUUAAUUAAAUGAUGAUUAUGGUAUACAAGGAGUCUCCUUCUUCCUUCCCCUUUCCAUUCUGCUUUUUCUUCCUACCACUUUCUGUUUUUUUUUUCAUGCCAGUUUUUGUAUUGAUUUCUAUUGAUUUCCAUGAUUAUGGUCAAUCUUUAUAGAAUUUACUCGUAUACCACAACCACCAUUGAUUUCUAUCUCUAGACUCAUGCCCCGUAGCCCUAAUCCUCAUUCCCCUUCAAGUAUUUCUGUCUCCAAUCUUCUUUGGUACUCCAUGGUUGUUCAUCUCGUGAUUUUUUUUUAUUAUUUCAUUAAGUAACGCCUAUUAGCUUUCAUGCGAAUUAGGAGUCAAAAUCAAAUUUGUCUAUCGGAUUAGGGUUCAUGCCCAAUUAAGUUACUAACGCAAGAGAGAUUUUGAAGUCUACAAUUUUCCUUAUUUAAGUGUUUUAAUUAAUAAGAAAAUUGAAAUUAAACGAUUUAGCUUGUCCAACUCAUCUGCCACCUAAGAUGGUAAAUAAAUGUGGUAAGAAUAGCAUUACUCUUAUCGAAAUUACAAAAAAAAAAAAAAAAAAAAAAAAAAGCUGAUUCAAUAUUUAGUUAUUAAAAAAAAUAUAAAAAAAGUGAUCAAGUAACUAUCCAAUACCCAUGUAUUGGGUGCUUUGUUUGAAAAUUUUCAAAAUGAUAUUGGGCUCGUUUGGAUAUGUUUUUAAAAUGACUGAAAGCGUUUUUAGAGAAAAUAUUUUUUUGAUUCCAAAAGCACUUAAAGUGUUUUCUGCAAAAAGCACUUAAAGUGCUUUCUGCAAAAAGCACCAGUUAUGUGCUUCUUCCUAGAAGCACUUUAAGUGUUUUUCAAGCAUUUACUUGCUUUUUUACUAAGGAUUGGUUCCAAAAACAUUUUCACAAAAAGUGUUUUCAGUCAUUUUAAAAGUACAUUCAAACGAGCUCAUUGUUUUUCCUAUUUUAAUCAAGUGCGUCGUCCCCUGUUGAGAAUGAAUCUCAUAUUAUGGGGAGAGGGGUCUUGCAUGGAUGAGAGGAGGGACCUUGCAUGAGCUUAUAAGUAAGUUGGGUUACUCUCUAUAUUGCCAAGAGAAAUUUUAUUUGGACCUACUUUUCCUCUCUCUAAACCCAACUUUAAUAUUUUGUUACCUAAACUCUCUAGUUUACCCUCAUAAAUUAUAAACAUAAAUAAACUGGAAAAAGAAAAACUCAUCAAACCUAUUUCCCAACUGUUCUGGCGUCUCUUCCCUGUAUUUGUUGGGUCUAUCUCCCUCCCGACUGUUUUUUUUCCCUGAUAUUCUCUGUGUGUUCCCCCACCUCUCCCACACCCACCGAUUCUUUGUGGUGGCUAUUCCACCCAACGUCCAGUGAAUCUUUCCAUUUUUCUUCUAUUGCGCGUGAUAGGGCCUUGCUGUUAAUAGGCAAAACUAAGCGGCAUCGUCGACUCUGUAAGCGACUUGUUGCAGAAGUCCAAAAUGGAGUCAAAAGGAUUUUGUAUUGGGUCGGGUUGUUGAAGGCGAUGGCUGAUUUAGCAAUCUCGCCUAACUACUUCUAUAUGCAGGAGAAGGAAGAGGGAGGAAGGUCUAAAGUGGUGGUUGAGUGGUGGCGAUGUAUGUGGGUUCUAUCUCGGUUGAAUGGGUGUAGAAAGAUAUUUAAUUUUCAGUUUCUUAUUUUAUUUUGUAUAAGGGAUAAUAUCGGAAUUACAUAAAAAGUUUUUUUUAUAGCUGGGUGUAGAAAUAGUAUUGUUGGGUCUAAAUAAAAUUACCCUAUUGCCAAACAUAGUAUUGUUGGGUCUAAAUAAAAUUACCCUAUUGCCAAUUAGCUUUGUUUGAAAAUUUUCAAAAUGAUAUUGUUUUUACCAUUGAACCCUUGUUAUAUACAGUGAUGGCUAAUUUGUCAAGUUCUACGAAGUUGGGAUACCCAGCGUUUUAGCAUAUAACAUAACUUAGUAUUACAAGCAUAAUUAAUUAAAAUAAAGGAAAAUGAAGAGGAUAGCUUAGUAUUACAAGCAUAAUUAAUUAAAAUAAAGGCAAAAGUAACAGCCUGUCCCUAAAAAUGACGAUUUUAUAAUCUUAACACGUGAGUUUAUGAAGAUGCCCUUCGAGGCAAAGUGUUGACUUGUGUUGACUACCGCAUCGUGUCAUGUGAGACUCAUCUUCUUGGCGUAUUCUCGUUUUACUUGUCACUACGGACGCAUGGGCGCAAACGGGACAUGAUUUGGAGCUAUAACGAAUGAGUUAUUAACAUUUAAAGUUAAGGACAUUUUAGUAAAUUAAUUAAUUUCAGAUUAUGUUGAGGGGAAAAUCUGGAGUGCCGGUGGGUGGCCCAGAUUAAAGGAAAUGAAGAAUGGAUGGUGGAGGUGUAAAGGAAAGAAGAUAAAAGAAAAAUGAGAGGAAGUGUGUGACUAAUAGGGAGAUGAGAGAGUUAGGAUGGCCCAAUCAGAAACAAACGAAAGGAGGAAAAAGGAGAGAAGAGGGGAGCGGGGGAUCCCUUCGACCCGGUUCCAUUUUCCGACCCGACCCGAUCCUUUUCAUCUUCUUUGAUGGUUUUUCGUCGGUUUUUUCCGACGAACCACGUUAUCUAACCCCUUGGAAAAUGUUCCACAACCUUCCCUCAACUAUUACAAUCCAAAAUUGUAGAAAUUUAGCCAUGAAAGUAUGAAAACCACACCGGUGGGUGCGGGAAACCCUUGUCGUCGAUUCUCCCAUUAUUGCAACGAUUUUCACCAAUUACCACCACCUACAACAUCCUCUUGAGGUCUGGAAUAAAGCCCAAACAAGUUUUGCACUACUACAAUAUUAGCUUUAGAUGGCAGAUGAUGGUGGCGGAUUUAGAAAAAUAUUGUCGGAUAAAUUAUAUCUGACACAUUAUUUAAUUAGUGGUGAAUAUAAGAAAAAUCAUGUCGGUUAUAACCGACAUAAAUUCGUGGCAGAUACUAGCAGAUAUUAAAAAACUCAUGUCGGUUAUAACCGACAUAAAUUCCUAGCGAAUAAUUACUGACAGAUAUUAUAAAACUUCUGUCGGUUAUAACCGACAAUAUUUUUGAAUUGGGGGAAUUUAAAAUUUUGGGAGGGAAUUUAAAAUUUUGGGAGGGAAUUUAAAAUUUUGGAGGAAAUUUUGGGGGGAUUUUUACCCAUAUUAAUUCAUGGCGGAUAAUUACUGACGAAUAUUAUAAAGCUCAUGUCGGUUAUAACCAACAAUAAUGAAAAUGUUUAUGUCGAUUUUUAUUAAAAAAAUGUUUCUGUCAGUUUUAACCGACAUUAAUGAAAAUAUUCCACAGUAAAACCCCUACUUCUUCUCCUUGUGCUGGUGCCUUCUCCCUUCCCCCUUCUUUCCCCCUUUUCUCUUCUCCUCAUUUCCUUUUCCUUUGUAUUUUUGAUUUUGACAAGGUCUCUCCUUUAUUUGAUUCUUUGUUGUUCAUCUCUCACAAAUGUAGAGAGAGUAAAGGAGAUGCUUAGAGCGCUUUCUUUGUUCCUUUUUUUUUUCUUUUCAUUUUUUCCCUUUUCAAACUCCGACUAUGUCUUACAUGGCCGGUCCCAAGCCCGGAUAAAGGAGGAGGGGGAGGGCGUCAGGUAGUCGACAGCCGGCACUCCAUGAUCACGUCGAAUCCUUAUGAAAAUGAAUCCAGAACAAAAUCGCGCUAAAGCUAGGGCGCCACCCGUAAGUGGCGCGCUGUGUGGCCCGAGCACAGUGAUAAGUGAGCAAGGGUCGCUGUAUCUCCAUCGGCACUCGGAUGCAGUGUUAAAUGAGCAAGGGGGCCAUAGAAACUUCUUUUCGAACGACUCCACUCAAAGUUGUUUGGGAGCAUAUGCUCCUAUCAACUUUACCCGGGACACACAAAAGAAGUACUUUGAUCCUAUUAGACGGGGGAGGGUGAAGAAGCUAGGACAGAAGGGUAGAGUUCAAGAGAGCAAAAUGCGUUUAGGAACGUGGAAUAUAGGAACCUUAACGGGAAAAUCUAUGGAAGUAGUGGAAGUUAUGGUGAGGAGAAGGAUAAAUAUUAUGUGCCUACAAGAAACUAAGUGGGUUGGUAGUAAGGCAAAGGAUCUAGAAAACUCAGGGUUUAAACUUUGGUAUUCGGGCACAAAUAGAACGAGAAACGGUGUUGGCAUCAUCGUGGACAAGACCUUGGUACAAGAUGUUGUAGAUGUCAAGAGUGUAGGAGAUAGAAUCAUGGCAAUCAAGAUUGUAAUAGGACAAGAACUUAUCAAUGUGAUUAAUGCGUACGCACCUCAAGUAGGGUUGGAUACGAGUUCGAAGGAGAAAUUUUGGGAAGAUCUUGGAGACUUGGUGCAAGGAAUUGCUCAGACGGAGAAGUUAUUUAUAGGAGGAGAUUUAAAUGGACACGUGGGCAGGGAGACAGGCAACUAUGGAGGUUUUCAUGGUGGCCAUGGUUUUGGGGAGAGAAACGAGGAUGGGGAAGCUAUCUUGGAUUUUACAAUGGCAUAUGAUCUCUUCUUAGCCAACACCUUCUUUAAGAAGAGAGAAGAACAUGUGAUCACCUACAAGAGUGGGUCGUCAAAAACACAAAUAGAUUUUCUUCUAAUGAGGAAAGGGGAUCGUAUAACUUGUAAGGAUUGCAAAGUUAUACCAGGAGAGAGCGUGGCUAAUCAACAUCGCUUGUUGGUGAUGGAUGUACAUAUCAAAAGAGUAAGACAAAAGAACAAGACUUGGAAGUGCCCAAGGACUAGAUGGUGGAAUCUAAAAGAAGAAAAACAAGUCAUUUUCAAAGAGAAGGUAAUCACCCAAUGUGUGUGGGAUAGAGAGGGGGAAGCUAGCCAAAUGUGGGAUUUCAUGGCUAGUUGUAUCCGAAAAGUAGCAAAAGAGGUAUUAGGAGAGUCUAAGGGCUUUGCCCCACACUAAAAGGAAUCUUGGUGGUGGAAUGAGGAGGUACAAACAAAGGUGAAGGCUAAGAAGGAAUGUUGUAAAGCCUUAUACAAGGAGAGGACCGAUGAAAAUGGUGAAAGGUAUAGAAAAAAAGCGAAGCAAGAGGCGAAGAAAGCUGUCAGAGAAGCUAAGUUAGCGGCUUACGACGAUAUGUAUAAACGACUAGAUACCAAAGAAGGAGAGUUGGAUAUCUAUAAACUAUCUAGAGCAAAGGAAAAGAAGACAAGGGACCUAAACCAAGUGAGGUGCAUCAAGGAUGAGGAUGGAAAGGUUCUUGCUACAGAGAACGCGGUUAAAGACAGAUGGAGAGGUUAUUUUCAUAAUCUUUUCAAUGAAGGACAUGAAAUGAGUGCUUCUUUAGGGGAGUUGAGUAACUCAGAAGAGUGUAGAAACUACUCUUUUUAUCGUCGAAUCCGGAAGGAAGAAGUGGUUGUAGCUUUGAAGAAGAUGAAGCAUAAAAAAGCAAUAGGCCCAGACAAUAUACCAAUCGAAGUGUGGAAACUUUUGGGAGAGACAGGUAUAACAUGGCUCACUGACCUUUUCAAUAGGAUUUUGAAAACGAAAAAGAUGCCAAAUGAGUGGCGAACGAGCACUUUGGUGCCUAUCUACAAGAAUAAGGGCGACGUACAAAAUUGCAUGAACUAUAGGGGUAUUAAGCUAAUGAGUCAUACAAUGAAGCUCUGGGAGAGAGUCAUUGAGCAUAGAUUGAGGCAAGAGACACGGGUUUCGGACAACCAAUUCGGGUUCAUGCCAGGGCGCUCAACCAUGGAGGCAAUCUAUCUCUUACGAAGAUUGAUGGAAAGAUAUAGAGAUGGGAAAAAUGAUUUACACAUGGUCUUUAUAGAUUUGGAAAAAGCGUAUGAUAGGGUCCCAAGAGACAUUCUUUGGAGGAUUUUAAAGAAGAAAGGAGUACGAGUAGCAUAUAUCCAAGCUAUAAAGGACAUGUAUGAAGAAGCAAAGACUGCCGUAAGAACUCAUGAAGGACAAACCGAAAGCUUUCCCAUAACUGUAGGAUUACAUCAAGGCUCAUCCUUAAGUCCUUACCUUUUUGCGUUGGUAAUGGAUGAGUUAACAGGACAUAUUCAAGAUGAUAUUCCUUGGUGUAUGCUUUUCGCAGACGAUAUAGUGUUGAUAGAUGAAACUCAGGAAGGGGUAAAUGCAAAGCUUAACCUUUGGAGAGAAGUGUUGGAAUCUAAAGGUCUUCGCCUAAGCCGAUCAAAGACAGAAUAUAUGGAGUGCAAGUUCAGUGCAAAUGGAGGCCAAAACGAGUUAGGGGUGAGGAUCGGAGAUCAAGAAAUACCAAAGAGUGACCGUUUUCGUUACCUAGGAUCUAUCUUGCAAAAGAACGGAGAAUUAGAUGGAGAUCUCAACCAUAGAAUACAAGCUGGAUGGAUGAAGUGGAAGAGUGCAUCUGACGUGUUGUGUGACCGUCGUAUGCCACUGAAGCUCAAAGGAAAAUUUUAUAGGACGGCAAUAAGGUCGGCGAUGAUUCAACUUGGCGGGUUCGAGCAAAUAGGCGUUGGGCCAUAUUAGACACAGAACCUGCACACUGAACACUGAGAGCUAGCGAAUCCUUAACAGCUAACUCAUCAGACCGUUUGGAAAGUAGUCUGUUAUCUUUGGGAGUGAGAAGGUUCCUGGCCACCACCGCAGCGGUCAUAUCAUUCUUCAUCACGGAAUCCCCAACGGUAAGAGGACCAGUAGGGGAGACAAAGGAUGGGCGCCAUAUGUUGUCUGGAGAAGGCGGGGCUGCCUCUUCAACAAGGUUCAAGUCAAAAAACGACGGUCGGAGGGCCAGACAUUUUCAAAGGUGUUGAAGAGAGAAGAGGUCGGACACAAAUCAAGAUCUUAGAAGUGCAAGAAUGAAGCUUCUACUGGUGGAGAUUCAAGUGUGCUUUGGAACUUAAUGCCAGCCCCUAUAAAAAUCUGCACUCGACGGAGCUUCAGAAAUCGAAGAGGCGUUUGCUUUCUCAAAAGCUGGGCUGCUUAGAGAUCACGAGGGUUGAUCUCAGGAAUCGAAGAGGCGUUUGCUUUCUCAAAAGUUGGGCUGCUCAAAGACCACGAAGGCCGAUCUCAGAAAUCGAAGAGGCGCUCACUUUCUCAAAAACUGGGCUCCCCAGAGACCACGAGGGCCGAUCUCAAAAAUCGAAGAGGCACCUACUUUUCCAGCCUUGUCAGCACCUGUCACACGCACACUCAGCUUUGCGGAAAUUAUGGGCAUUCUGUCGAAGACUUCUGGGGAAGUAGAAAACACAUGAAUCUUACUGUUCAAUCACCCACUUCCCACACGCAAUAAUAGCUCAUGGGUACCACAGAUAACUUUGCCAAAGUUCUCUGCCAAAGUUGAGCACGUGAAGCUUGCAGCUCCCACUACAUCGCUCUGACCAAGAAGGGUAAAAAGAAUAGCAAAGAAACAGCACUAACAAAGUUUAGACCCAUAAAUUUUGAAGGUCUAGCUACCAUAUUAUUACCCACAAGGGUAAAGGAACAGUACCACUGCUGGAUAAUUGGAAAGUCCCUAUGUGUCAACCUCUGUGCUUCGUGGCAAGGUAGACUAGCAAACAUGCCCAACCUUUACUCACAUUCGAGAAAACACUCCCAAUAAGAUUGCUUGCUCCAAAAUCGAAGAGGCACCGUCCUCCGAAUCUCGAGAGCCAGACUCCCAACAUGACUACUUUCUUAAAAAUCGAAGAGAGGGUAAAGGAACAGUACCAUUGCUGGAUAAUUGGAAAGUCCAUGUGUGUCAACCUCUGUGCUUCGUGGCAAGGUAGACUAGCAAACAUGCCCAACCUUUACUCACAUUCGAGAAAACACUCCCAACAAGAUUGCUUGCUCCAAAAUCGAAGAGGCACCGCCCUCCGAAUCUCGAGAGCCAGACUCCCAACAUGAUUACUUUCUCAAAAAUCGAAAGAGACACUGCUCCCCGAAUCUUCGAGAGCCAGACCCCCAGCAUGAUUGCUUUCUCAAAAAUCGAUGAGGCAUCGUUCUCCGAAUCAAUCGAAGAGGCGCUCGCUUUCUCAAAAGCUGGGCUGCUCAGAGACCACGAGGGCCGAUCUCAGAAAUCGAAGAGGCACUUACUUUUCUAGCCUUGUCAGCACCUGUCACACGCACACUCAGCUUUGCAGAAAUUAUGGGCAUUCUGUCGAAGACUUCUGGUGAAGUAGAAAGCACAUUAAUCCUACUGUUCAAUCACCCACUUCCCACACGCAACAAUAGCUCAUGGGUACCACAGAUAACUUUGCCAAAGUUCUCUGCCAAAGUUGAGCACGUGAAGCUUGCAGCUCCCACUACAUCGCUCUGACCAAGAAAGGUAAAAGAAUAGCAAAGAAACAGCACUAACAAAGUUUAGACACAUAAAUUUUGAAGGUCUAGCUACCAUAUUAUUACCCACAAGGGUAAAGGAACAGUACCACUGCUGGAUAAUUGGAAAGUCCCUGUGUGUCAACCUAUGUGCUUCGUGGCAAGGUAGACUAGCAAACAUGCCCAACCUUUACUCACAUUCGAGAAAACACUCCCAACAAGAUUGCUUGCUCCAAAAUCGAAGAGGCACUGUCCUCCGAAUCUCGAGAGCCAGACUCCCAACAUGACUACUUUCUCAAAAGCGAAGAGAGGGUAAAGGAACAGUACCAUUGCUGGAUAAUUGGAAAGUCCCUGUGUGUCAACCUUUGUGCUUCAUGGCAAGGUAGACUAGCAAACAUGCCCAACCUUUACUCACAUUCGAGACAACACUCCCAACAGGAUUGCUUGCUCCAAAAUCAAGAGGCACCGCCCUCCGAAUCUCGAGAGCCAAACUCCCAACAUGAUUACUUCCUCAAAAAUCGAAGAGACACUGCUCUCCGAAUCUCGAGAGCCAGACCCCCAGCAUGAUUGCUUUCUCAAAAAUCGAAAAGGCAUCGUUCUCCGAAUCUCGAGAGCCAGAUACCACAGACCACUUUUUCAAAGUGCUCUGACAGAGUUAAAACAUGUGAAACUGGCAGCUCCCACUACCGUGCUAUGACCAAGCAGGGUAAAGGAAUAGCAUUACUACUUGUUGUUAGGGAGACUCCUAUAUAUGUCGACCUCCAUCCCCAACGGACAGGCAGACCUGCAAAAAUGCUCAACCCUUCAUCAUAUCUGAGUGGGCACUCCCAACGAAGCCUUUCGAAAUAUUCAGCUUUCUUUCCCCCCGAUAAUACCUCUGCAAACAAGCUAUACUAGAGCAAGAAUAUCUCAUAUCAUCAGGGUUAAAAGCAAGAGUAUCCCAUAUCAUGCUUUUUCCCUGUCUUUUCCUUUGGCCUUGUUUUUACCUGCAAGACAAGGAGAAAGAGAGCAAUCAGUCAGCACUUGGAAUCAAGCUUCCAACCAGGAAAUGACUGCCUGGAACCCCUUACUUGGCAUUGCUCUCGAGUACUCAUCUUCAACAUCUUAUGUUUCCAGGGAAGAUUCUGCAUCUGCUUGAGGAACAGAUAGGGCAAGUGCGAAGGAUACAAGGAAGCAUGCGGAGACAAGCGUAACAGCACACGUGCCGAUACAUCCAUUACUCUGUCAAAAGCAAAAGUAUCCCAUAUCAGCAGGGUGGAACGUACUCUAGAUUUGAUGGACUUGUUUUGACCCUCAAAUUCUUCAGUCGGCCUUAUAUUCUGGAGGAAACCAGAAAACCCUCCAGCUCAGUUCAAGAAUAAGCCUGUGGAAAGUUACUUCUUCAAAAGCAAAAGUAUCUCAUAUCAUCUCUUCUCAUUUUUCUUCUCUCUUUAUCCUUCAUGCUGCUGCAAGAUGGGGAGAAGGUGAACAAUCAGUCGGAGCUCUGAUUGCUUACCUUGUCUGUCACCUCUUUCAGCAGACCCCCUAGCUCGGCGACUUGGGGGACUCCUACUAAAUGGUUUGUAUCGCGCUUGACCAAGCCUGAAACUACAAGUAAGCUUCAAGUGAAAUUGAUACAUUACCUUGUGCAUCUCCACCAGUUAAAGAUACCACCCCUGGAUGGAGGAAGAGUACUUCCAGAGAAGAUGCCACAUCUACCUAUGAGACAGAUAAGGCAAGUCAAGACGACACCACACUCCGAUACUUAGAAGUUUCGUGAUUAUGAGAUCAUUCUCCCACAAUAUUUCCUAAUGUCAUUUGUACUAAAUCAUUCACUUGUACUCACUAAAGGAGAGCUUGAACCUAUGUACUUGUGUAAACCCUUCACAAUUAAUGAGAACUCUUCUAUUCCGUGGACGUAGCCAAUCUGGGUGAACCACGUACAUCUUGUGUUUGCUUUCCUAUCUCUAUCCAUUUAUAUACUUAUCCACACUAAUGACCGGAGCAAUCUAGCGAAGAUCACAAAAAGCGACCGUUUUCGCUACCUAGGAUCUAUCUUGCAAGAGAACGGAGAAUUAGAUGGAGAUCUCAACCAUAGAAUACGAGCUGGAUGGAUGAAGUGUAAGAGUGCAUCCGGCGUGUUGUGUGACUAUCGUAGGCCACUGAAGCUCAAAGGAAAAUUUUAUAGGACGGCAAUAAGGCCAGCGAUGUUGUAUGGCACAGAAUGUUGGGCGGUGAAGCAUCAACACGUACACAAAAUGGGUGUAGCGGAGAUGAGGAUGCUUCGUGGGAUGUGUGGGCACACGAGAAAGGAUAAGAUUGGGAAUGAGGAUAUCCGAGGUAAAGUAGGAGUAGCCGAAAUUGUAGGAAAGAUGAGAGAAAAUCGGCUCCGGUGAUUUGGACAUGUGCAAAGAAGGCCGACUGACGCUCCGAUUCGAAGAUGUGACUACGGGACAGAGGUUCAGGGCCGAAGGGGUAGAGGAAGACCUAGGAAAACUUUGGAAGAGACUCUAAGAAAAGACUUAGAGUACUUGGAUCUAACGGAGGACAUGACACAAAACCGAGCGCAAUGGCGUUCUAGGAUUCAUAUAGCCGACCCCACUUAGUGGGAAAAGGCUUUGUUGUUGUUGUUGUUGUUGUAUUUUUUCCCUUUUCAAAAUCGAAAUGUUCUAAAUUAUUUCACUAAUCCUUGCUAGUUUGAACUGCAGGAGUCUGUCUCUGGAUUUGAAAGAUUAUCUGGACUUACAGUUUUGAAGAAUUGGGAUUCUAGUGUUACACAUAUUAUUGCAUCGACAGAUGAAAAUGAAGCAUGCAGAAGAACCCUUAAAAUUUUGAUGGGUAUCUUGGAGGGGAAGUGGAUUCUGAGUGUGGAGUGAGUUUUACUGUUUUCGUUUUAAUUGUUCUUCCUCAAGUGCUUGGACUUUACAAUUGUAAUGAGUACAGAAGCCGAAAUGAGAUAUUGAUAUACAUGUUCACAUUGCUGAUAAUUCGUUAUCCGUCUGUUUGUGUAGGAAUUAAUGCUUGCACAUAAGUAAUGAAACUAGUUAAUGAGGAGCCUUAUGAAAUCAACGUUGACAUUUAUGGAAUCAGGGAUGGUCCUCGACUUGGUAGACUAAGGCUGCAGAACAAGGUUAGCUUUUCCUCGAGUUUAACUAUCAUCACGAAAACUUUAGAUUUUCAUGGAUUCACCAUAGGCAUUGUUAAUCUUGUUCAGUCCAUAAAUAGGUUACACACUUAUCUUAACAAAGGUGAGACCUUCUCAAUUCCUCAUCGAGAUGAAUCAAGAGCAUAAUUGUAGCAGUGAUCAAGAGCAAUUUUUUUAUGUUUCUUCCAAAUUGUUGAGAUGAAUCAUCUGUGUUUUGUUCUAAUAAUCUUACAAAUUUGUUGAGCAAUUUUUGUAAAGUCAGAAUCUUUGGUUUCGGUUGUGAGGUAUCUGAUUUGGGUAUAUGUGUUUUGCAGGGCACGGUGGUUGUGGCGGAGGAAGAUUAGGAUUGACGACAGAGCUCUGGCCAUGAACUAUCAGCUCUGUCUUUCUCUCUCUAACUAUGAAUUGAAUACAAAAGUCUGUGUUGAUAUGGAAAAUGUAGCUCAAAAUUAUUACACAAAUGGCAAAAAAAAAAAGUUCGAGUGUGGAGUUUCACUUACUGAUACAGGGCUUUUGAAACAGGGUUGUCUAGACUGUAGAAGAAAUCCAUGGCUUUUGGAAGAGGGGAUGUUCCAAAUCUAUCUUUUCUCCCUCUCUAAUGUUCUUCGAGGGGUUCUUGUGAUGCAAAAAGUGGUUUAUAUAUAUUUUUUAUUAUUAAUAAAUUUUCUGUCGGUUUUAUCAGACAAUAAUUCUUUUAUUUAUUCUUAUUAAUAAUUUCUCUGUCGGUUAUAUCUGACACAAUUUCUGUCGAUUUUAGAGUAUUUUCUAUCGAAAAUUUCAUUUCCUGACGCAUCAAUUAUGUCGCUUAUUAUAUCCGCCACUGCACUCAUUUCAUGUCGGAUUUUGCUUAAUUUCCAACAGUAUUAUACAUUUCUUGUCGGUUUUUAAACCGACACUAAUGGGUACUUUUGUAGUAAUGUUGGGGCGUCGGAGUUCGUUUAAGGUCGAAUUGAGCACACCCAAAUUCAAGGGUUCCGUACGGUUCAUGGUAAUUUGAGGUAUUUCUCAGCCAAAUUGUCCUUAGUCACAGAUAUGAAAGUUGCUCCACUCGUUGAGAUCUUCAUUUAUGUCAAAUUUGAGAAUUUUUAGAAAUAAUUGGAUUUUCCAGCGAAUCGGGGCGGCGGACCACCACCGGACAGCGCAUGGCUAGUGGGCCCCCAAUGUCAUUUUACGUUAAAUUGGUAUCUUGAUUUUAGGUUUGAUGUCUAUAUGUUAUGACUUGAUAUGUGAACCUAGUUUAAUUAAGGUGCGUUAAUUGGUAAAAAUAUGAAACGACGAUCCGACCGUGGGAUCGUCACCAAUCUUUAUUAUGUUAUAGUACAUUAUAUUUGAGAAUCAUAGGGACUGACGGAUAGGAAAUCCGAUAUACGGAUCUUCCUGAAAUGGAAUUGUAAGUUCGAAGAAUAAACGUUAACCGCCACUUUGUUUUGACUAUUGGUGAAGAUCCAACCGUUGGAUCAUAAUGAAAUUUUAGGAUGAUGUUUUAGAAGCAUAAUGUGGAUCUUUGGAAGUUAUUGAUUGGAAAUCCGAGGAGCGAAUCUUCCGGAUUGAAUUACGUAAGGUUGUGGACCCUACCGUCGAUCGUUGACUGACGAUCGACUUUUGGUCAAUGGGGCUUAAAUCACUCUAAAAUGUUUUUAGGGAUGUGUUUUACGUAAAUUACAUUAUCUAUGGAUAAGAAUUCUGAGAUGUGGUUUGAUAAUUGUCCUGGGCGCCGAUCGUUAGGAACGCUUCGAUGGUUGUGCUAGGAAAUUGUAGCAUAGACUCCAGGUGAGUGAAUCUUUUCCUUCUUAUAUAUAUAUAUAUAUAUAUAUGAUUGACAAUUCCACAAACGUUUAUAAAUUGAUUAUUGCAUAUAACUACUGUAAAUACUUUGAAGUACUUAUGCGAACUACGAAUGGCUUGAUCCCUAUUUAGGGUACGUAUGCAGUCUAACAAGACAUUAAAUGCAGUCAUACAAUAAUUGAGAUUAAACAAUUGAGACAAAGCCUUGUAUGGGGAACUGGGCAAGGUGAACGAAUUUGGUAAAAAUGUGAGAUUUAACCUUCUGAAUUGGUGAUUAAAUGUUGGUCAUAAAUCAAUGUGUAAAGAAUCAAGAAUUUGAAGUAAGGAAACGUAAGUAAUGAUAAUUAAUUAAACUAGUGUCUAGUUGGGCUUGUCACCUAUAAUUAUCCCCAAAAAUGAAUAAUUCGGGAGUAGGGCGUUAUAGCUUCUGCAUUUUUAUGCCACAUUAUAUAUAUAUAUAUAUGUGUGUGUGUGUGUGUGUGUGUGUGUGUGUGUAUAAUUGGAAAUGCUAUAACGUGGUUGAGUAUCAGAUUUCAUCAUGGUUUAUCUAUAUGUAUAUUACCUGCACACAAUUAUUAUGAACACUUUGAAGUGCAAAGGUGAACGCAAGACACCCAGGAAAGUUCAGGUGAGUUUAUGGUAUUAGUUGAAAUGAUGGGGUUAUGGUAACUACAUGUAUGUUUAGGUUGCAAUGAUAGGCAACUCCGACACUGUCGUACAAGUUGCCCAUGAAUUGUAUAUGUUACAAUAGAUAGAGUUAGAGGUCAUAAACCUGCACCCCGGUGUUAGUGCUCCCACCCGUGGCUAGGGCACAGUCUUUCACGAGAUGUUCACCUCUCGCAUCUUACGCUCACCUUGGAUCCAAGGUAGGUGCACAGUCAUGUCAUAAAGACCACUAUAGGUGGUUCCGACUAGUAGAUGACCCGUGAUUAUUCGCACAGUCUUCACGUGAUUGUAGCACUUGAGCGUAUUUAUUUACACCCAGUCCUGUCGUACAGACCACUUUAGGUGGUUCCGACUCGUAUGCAGGUAUACUUAUUGAGCUAUGGAUAAGUCGUACAGGUCACUAAAGGUGACUCCAACUUAUGAGCUAGCAUAUGUGAUGAAAUAUGUGAUGAGCUAGCAUAUGUAAUGAGAUAAGUGAUGAGCUAGCAUAUGUGAUGAGAUAUGUGAUGAGUUAGCAUACGUUAUGAGAUAUGUGAUGAGUGAUAUAAUCAUAAUUGCAUACAUUUUCAUGCCCUUUUAGUUUAGAUUUUUGUUAUCCUUUUGAGUGAAUUUAGUUUGUUUCACUUAGUUUUAUGUUUUUCUUAGAUUUGAAGUGUGAAGAUGAAGAAAGAAGAAAAAAGAGCAUUUUUAGCGAUUGAAAUGAGUUUGGCAUGCUGGAAGCAGAGGCUAUUUGUGCGGAUCAGCCAACUUUACGGAUUAAACUGUACUUCCUUAGAAUGCCAGCUGUUGAGUCUUAUACCAUUGGAAAGAUAUGAAAGUUAGCUUUCAGAGGAAUUUUACGAUUCGUGAUUCCGAGUUUCCUAGAAGACGUUAUAGUGGUUUUUCUACCAGAUGUCUGCCAGCAAGGUUUUACGCGGGAUUUGCAAAGAGAUUCCAGAUUUACAAAGUUUAAUUAAAGGAAACAAGCAGAGAAAAAAGAAGAGGAAGCUUUUAGAAAAGUUCAGGACUAUUCUAAACGGUGCAUAGUUAAUAUAUUUAAUAGUUUAGUGUGCCACAUCAUCAAUAAACUAAUCUAAGUCAGAAGAGAAAUUCAAGAGUCCCAUUCAAGUAAGUAUUCCAGCAGUUUUAUUCAGGAAUAAAGGAGGGCAGACCGUCGGACUUUAGGAGCGGACAGAGAGAGUUUUUGGGUUUUCGAAGGUGCAGAGAAGAGGUCGCAGCAAGGAGUGAAACAGAGUCGCCGAUCAUCUGGGCAAUCCAUCACCAUCGUGUGGAAGUAUUUUAUGUUUUUCAGAUUUUUAAUUAUGUUUUCAGAUUUUAUGAGUAACUAAACUCUUUUUCUAAGGUUAGGAUGAUGCCCUAGCAUGGAUGUUUAUGGUUUGUAAUGUUAUUCAUUGGAUUUCCAGUUUCUUUUAGAUGAAUGCUUAAUCACUGUUUGAAUUGUUACUGUUUGUUUGAGUUCUUUGAUUGAUCACCUUAGGACUUUGCAUCUAGUAAGAUUGGAAGAUGAAUUUGAGACUGAACUAACAAUAUAAUUCAAUUAGCUUCUUGUGGUUAAGUGUGGUAAAUUACAUUAUUGCUUGAAAAAGAAUAAUGGUUUGUUUGGGUCCCUUGUUUUCUAGAGGGUAAAGAGUCCUACUUGUUAAAUUUAUGCCUUAACUAGGAUAGACUGCUUGUUAGGAUAUACGACCUCUGCCUAAACUAGGAGAGAAUCAUUCACAUAAGGAAAACUAUGGUCUAAUAUGCCUGACAAGGACUUAGAUACGGGAAUUAUCAUCUAAAGAAUUGAAAGAUCCAUUGAAUGCAUUGAAACCUAAACUAGAUUGCUUGUGGUUGAUUCCGAAUCCCUAGAUUUUCAUCACUUGCCUUAAAACACAACCGUUUCUUUUCUUUAAUUUCAGUUUUUACUUAAGGUUCUGUUUUUGUUCAUUUAUAAAAUCAUCACAACAAAUUUUUUACAUCUUUGAUUGACUUAUUAAUUAAGAUCGAGUCUAGUUCGUUGUUUGGGUUUGUGUGUCUUUAAUAUAAUUAGAUUUGGUUUAGUUUAUCAAAUUGGAGAUUGAAUUAGAAUCCUCGUGGGAACGAUACUUGGACUUGCAAAACGUUAUAUUACGACUAUCUUGUGCACUUGUAAGUUUACACCAAGUUUUUGGCGCCGUUGCCGGGGACUCUAAUUGAGUCCCCCAAUUUGAUAUCAUAUUCCAUAUCUAAUAAGUAGUUUAUUGUAGAUUAUUCAAUUUGAUUUUGUUUUGUUCUCUAGUUUCGAGUAAGAGUCAUAACUAUUAAGAUAAGUAAAAGUAAUUUUCGUCACUGUUUUAUUUCAGUUUUGUAUCACUGUUUCGACACAGUUUUGGACUAAACUAUUCGAUUUUUUACCAGGAAUAUUGUGUAUCGUUGGAAAGCCCCAGAAGUCUAGUUUUCAACCCAAAAAACAGAUCAAUGAUUGGAUUUUUGAGCUGCAAGAAAUGUACAAAAUACUGAGCAGUGGUCAAACAAGGAGCACAGUCUGGUCGUAUAUGCAAGGUAGACGUUCGUUGCAAUUUGAGUUGAUUCAUAUAGACCAAGAACUUGUGCGUACUUUAAGAGAACAGUGGAGGCAGCGAGUGUGUCAAGAACCAGCCAUGGAGGAAGUAGUUAAUAAUGGUGGAAAUAAUCCUCCACCAUUGCUACCACCACAACCAAGGCUCAUGCGUGAUUAUACAAAGCCAACGGAGUACAACGCACCGUCAUGCAUUGUUUUGGCUCCAAUUGCGCAGCGAUUUGAGAUUCGUCCACAAAUCUUUCAGUUGCUGCCUAUAUUUCUUGGGAAGGAGGAAGAAAAUCCAUACCAUCAUAUCAAGGCGUUUUUCAAGCUAUGUUCCACAUUCACAUUCACCAAUGUUACUGAAGAGCAAAUUCGACUUCGGUUAUUCCCAUUCUCUUUGAGGGAUAAAGCAAGCAGUUGGUUGGAUUCUCUUCCCGAAGCAUCUAUCGACACAUGGACAAAAUUAUCGAAGAAGUUUUUGUCCAAGUUCUUCCCCGCUCGAAGAACCAAUGCUCUGAUCAAUGAAAUCAUGAGCUUUCGACAACAAGAAGGUGAACAGUUUCAUGAAAGUUGGGAGCGCUAUAAGGACUUGUUUCUUCAAUGUCCUCAUCAUGGUUUCAACACUUGGCAAAAGGUUCAUUAUUUUUACAAAGGUUUGAACUCUCAAUGUAGGAGUUUGGUUGAUUCAACGGUUGGUGGAACCUUGAUAGACAAAACUCCAGAAGAUGCCAUACAUGCCUUUGAAACUAUAUGUGAAAAUUCUGAGCAUUGGGAUUUUCCUACAAAAGAUUUGAGAGUUCCAACUGCAUCGUCAACAAAAAAAGGAGGCAUUUAUGAAGUUAAUACAAGGACGGGCUUAGAGGCACAAGUGGCAGCCCUCACCAAGCUUCUCACACCACUUGUAAGCAAGAUAGCCACGCAGCCAUGUACUUUAUGUGCGAGCAUCGCCCAUGACAUGGAAAAUUGUCCAACAAAUGCUAAUCUAGAAGGCAUCCAAGAGGUCAAUGCAUUUAGUGGGAGGCCCCGGAAUGAUCCAUAUUCUAAUAAUUAUAACCCGGGAUGGAGAGAACAUCCAAAUUUUUCUUAGAGAGAUUCACAAAAUAGCAUGGGAUCAUUCACUUCAACAAAGCAAUAUCAGCAACCUUAUCAAGCUCCUCCAAUUCAACAAAAAGACUCGUCUAUCAAGGAUAUGUUAUCUCAACUCUUAAAGAAAACUGAUCGGUAUGAACAUGAAGUUGUGUCGCUUAGACAAAGUCAGACGGUGUUGGAAAAGGCUCGAUCUAAUUUUGAGACUCAGUUGGGACAGAUAGCUACUACUUUGAACAAGCUGGAGUGAGCACAAGGGCAAUUUCCAAGCCAAACUGAAACAAAUCCUAGGAAUCAAAAGCAUGUUCAAGCUGUCACCACUUUGAGGAGUGGAAAGACGAUUGGUAAUAAUGUGGAAAGUUCAAAAAUUAAUAAGGAAGAAGAUGAAGGGGUCAGCACAUAUCGGGCAGCAGCUUGACAAGACAAGCUAAAAAAGAGAAGUAUAUGGGAGAUAUUUUAGAGCAAUUUAGAAAGGUGCAGAUUAAUAUUCCUUUUCUCGAUGCCAUCAAACAAAUUCAAUCAUAUGCGAAGUUUUUGAAGGAACUUUGUACUAACAAGAGACGGUAUGAAGAACAUGAGGAGGUGAAGUUAUCAGACACGGUUAGUGCGGUUCUUCAAAGAAAAUUGCCACCAAAACUUCAAGAUCCUGGUAGCUUUACAGUCCCAUGUGUCAUUGGAGAAAGAAAAUUCGAAAAAGCUUUGCUUGACUUGGGAGCCAGUGUGAAUUUGAUGCCCUAUUCUGCUUAUAAACACCUCAAAUUAGGCGAACUAAAGCACAUAUCCAUUUCUCUACAAUGCACUGAUCGUUCUGUGAAAUAUCCAAGAGGGAUUGUUGAAAAUGUACUUGUGUGUGUUGAUCAAUUUAUUCUUCCUGCUGACUUCAUCAUUUUGGACAUGGAAGAAGCCGAAAUUCCUGGUCGUGACUUGCCUCUCAUUCUUGGCAGACCUUUCAUGGCUACUGCAGGUACGAAGAUUGAUGUUAAAUCGGGAUUAUUAACUAUGACUGUGCAAGGUAUUACUGUAGAAUUUCAGGUCUUCGAAGCAUUGAAGAAGCCCAUGGAUCUUUAUGACUGCUUUCGUGUUGAGGUAGUGGAUCCAAUUAUAAAAAAAAACAUUCAUUGAAUCAAGCAUCUCAGAUCCUCUGGAAGUUUGUAUCUCUCAACAUGGGAUGAGUUUUGAAAAGGCUACCAUCAUUGAAGCAGAACGAGAUCUCAAUGCCGUAACGUCCUACUCUCUUAGAUGCCAGCCCAAAUUUGAAGCGUUGCCACUCACAAGCCAAAAUUGUACCAUCCAUUAUACAACCUCCAAAGCUUGAAUUGAAGCCUCUUCCAGAGACUUUAAAGUAUGCAUAUUUGGUGAUUCAGAGACUCUUCCUGUGAUUAUAGCUGCUGAUCUUAACCAAACAGAAGAGGAAAAGUUGAUGCAAAUGUUGAGGGAGCAUAAAACAGCAUUGGGAUGGAGUAUUGCAGACAUAAAAGGAAUUAGUCCUCAAUUUGCAUGCAUCGGAUAUAUCUUGAGGACAAGUCAAAGCCUUCUAGAGAGGCACAGCGACGUCUAAAUCCACAUAUGCAAGAAGUGGUUCGGGCAGAAGUUCUUAAAUUACUGAAUGUCGGCAUUAUUUAUCCUAUAUCUAACAGCAAAUGGGUAAGUCCACUGCAGGUUGUACCACAGAGAUCUGGAAUUACAGUUGUCAAGAAUGAAAAUAAUGAGCUUAUACCCCAGAGGACUGUCACGGGUUGGAGAAUGUGUACAGAUUACAGAAAGAUCAAUAAUUCAACUCGAAAAUAUCAUUUUCCACUCCCUUUCCUUGAUCUCAUGCUUGAGAGACUUGCAGGCCAUAGUUAUUAUUGUUUUCUUGAUGGCUAUUCCAGAUAUAAUCAAAUUCCCAUAGCUCCGGAAGAUCAAGAAAAGACUACUUUCACAUGUCCAUUUGGAACUUUUGCCUAUCGACGAAUGCCUUUUGGGUUAUGUAAUGCUCCCGCAACAUUCCAAAGAUGCAUGAUGAGCAUUUUCUCAAACUUGGUGGAAAGGUGUAUCGAAGUGUUCGUGGAUGAUUUUUCCGUGUUUGGGUCAUCGUUUGAUCAAUGUCUUCAUCAUCUUUCAUUGGUGCUCUAACGGUGUCAAGAAACCAACUUGAUUUUAAAUUGGGAAAAAUGUCAGUUUAUGGUGAAAAGUGGUAUUGUUCUUGGUCAUGUAAUUUUAGCUGACGGAAUUGAAGUUGAUAAAGCUAAGGUGGAGCUGAUUUCGAAGCUUCCUCCUCCCACUUCUGUAAAAGAAGUUCGAUCCUUUCUCGAGCAUCCAAGUUUUUAUCGCCGAUUUAUUAAAGAUUUCUCGAAAAUCACCAAGCCACUUUGUGAUCUGCUUGCUAAAGAUUCUGUGUUUAAUUUAAAUGGUGAGUGCUUACAAGCUUUUGAGACCCUCAAGAAAGAAUUAACACAAGCCCCAAUCAUAAAAGCUCCAGAGUGGUCUCUUCCUUUUGAAAUCAUGUGUGACGCCUCUGAGUAUGCAAUAGGUGUUGUGUUAGGGCAGCGAGUUAACAAACUUCCUCAUGUUAUAUUUUAUGCUAGCCGAAUUCUCACUUAACAACUUUCAUAUCCCUUAGUUUCCAAAAUUUAAUAUACAAAUUUAGUCUCCCAAGCAUUGCUAUAUUACUUAAGUAUUGAUUAAUAGACUUAUUUCUUAUGGUGACACAUUAUUUAGUUUACAAAUUUAGUCUAUCUAACAUUACUCUUUUGACAUUGUCUUGUCCACUGAUAUAAUUCUAUUUUUCUUGUGAUCAAAACUUCAAAUGUUAGCAAGUCGCACGUAAAGUCGCUUCUGAGAGAAUGUGCUCACAUUGUAGUUGAAAGAUUAUGUGGCUAGCAACAUUACAAAUUUAAUUUGGUAUAAUUUUAAAAUAUAGAUUGAGGAAAAAAAGGAUCACAUUAACUAGAAACUGAAAAGGUUUCGGCGCAAUAUGUUCAAGCAAGAAACUCAAUUUUGAUGCUACCGAUCUUAACAGCCUGAGCGCCGUACCUGGGCACUAAAGUCACCACCACACUCUCAUCAUCUUCAGCACCCAAAUCCUCCAACAGGUCCGUUAACCCCAACCUUAAACAACUCUUGCUCUUUUCCUUCUGCUUAUGUGGCACACUCACAAAACUCCCAGCAAACUCGCUCUUGUCGGGUCCACUCGGUGCCGCAUCCUCAUCAUCCACGUCAUUCACAUACACAUCAAACUUCACAGCCACAUCUUUGUCAAGCUCAAUCCCCCGAAUCACCAAUAUCUCCUCCUCAUCCUCUUUCUCCUUCUUGCUCCUCUUCUUCGGCUUCGGCCUUGACACCACCGUAGUUAUCUUCGUCUCCAAAUUUAUUGGAAAAUCUUUACCCGCCACCACCUUCCCCGAUGACGUCGUCUCAGCGGCCUUCGCCACUCCAGCCGCCUUUGCCUUUCUCGCAAGCUUUGUCCGACGUGGCGUCGGUCUAGAGUUGAGCCAUGGAAUCUCAACAUCUUCAUACGUAUACCCUAGCUUUUUAUUAUCAAGAGUGUCCCUCACCGUGACCCUAACAAGCUCAGCAUUCUCGUCAUAAAACAAAAACCCCGUAUCCAACCAAUCCUUAUCGUUAAUAUCUUUAUUUUUAGUCCCUAUACUUUUCCAAAUAUUCCACAUUCGAUCCAGAUUCAAAUGGUGCGCAAAAAAUAUCGGAUCCCUUGCAGUGGAGUAAAAAUUCCCCAUGUCUUCAUAAUUAGGUUGCGUGUUAUCUCCGGUCCAUGUAUGAACCGGACCAUGUGGGGUCUGUUCGAUUGCACCGGCCCCUGGAUCUGGUUCAGUGCCAGCCCUGUAGGGCGAACCAAAGAACAACAGCGGUUUCUUGGAGUUGGAAACCAUCUGCCUAUACAUGAUUUUGAGGUUGGCUUCGAUUUGAGCAUCCUUGGACAUUGUUUCAUCCGUGCCGUUGAAGUCAAGAUCGAUGAGAGUUGGCGGCUGAUGGCUGGCAGCGCGGAGCUCGUCGUAAAGCGGAGAGUCAGGGUUAGCGUACAAGGCAGGGAGUUGCAUGCCAGCUGGCGCGUCCCAGUUCCAAAACGGCAACGCGAAGGUCGGAUCGUCUAUGAGUUUGGCCAAGAUUCUUUCGUGGAAAUAUAGGUAGUAACGAUGGAAGGGGAAGAAAAGCCAGGAUUGAUGGAUUUGGAGCUCGAGGUUGGGGAAGCCGACUUGGUCGUACGCACCGUUACAAUAGGCACAGUGGACAUCGGCUUGCUGGGUGAAGCUACGCGGAUCGUCGUCCGGGAGGGCUUUCAUGAGCUCGAUGGCUUUUGAGUAUUUUUCGAUGUAGGCUUUAUCCACGGCGUGAGCUGCCGGCCUGACGCGGAGUUUGGUAGGGGAGGGGAAUUUGAAGUCUACGAUUUUUUGGGACGUUGGCGGGCAACAGUUGGUCGGGACUGCUCCACUUGGAAAGUCCGCAGCUCCGCAUUUGGCUAGGUCAGGCGGCGACACUGGCUUUGCAACAGCGAAGGGGUCGCUGCCAAGACCAGCCACUCCACCGUACAGGCUUCCGAGACCUAUAAGUACAUGUCUUCUGUCUAGGUUUACUGGAGAAGGGUUUUCAUGGUCGUGAUCGUUGGAGCUAGUGGAAGGGUUUUUGUUUUGGUCACUACUAUUAUUUGUGGCUUUGCAUGAGACAGCUUGUAAAUUGGAAUGCCUAGGGUUUCCAAAUGAGGAUAUUCGGUGAUACUUUUGGGAGAAAGGAGAGAGAGAAGUUGUGGGGAUGAUACUUGUGGUGGGGGUGACGAGUGGAGCUGACAUAGAAGCCAUGGUUACUUGACUCUGAAUAAUACGUUGUAUGGGCUUUUGCUUUUAUAAUAUGUUCUAGGUUUACUUUUCUUUGCACAGGUGGCAGGCCGUGCACACGUUGUCGAGGAAUAGUACGUAGUCAUUUAGGAGAAAAAUCUAAUUGUGACGGAGGUGACGAGUGGAGCUGACAUAGAAGCCAUGGUUACUUGACUCUGAAUAAUACGUUGUAUUGGCCUUGCUUUUAUAAUAUGUUCUAG